rnacentral:lncRNA from 1 species
UUUUAUAUUUCUUUUAAAAAAAGAGAAGUUCCUUUGUUAGUUAAGAAAAAGGAUAAAUAACGUUAUUUUUCUAUAAUUUAUUAGUAUUUCAAAUUUAUUAAACUUUACCAACAAAUUAUUAGACAAGUGAUAAGUAAUUUAGUCCCCAUACAAUGAUAUCAAUUUUCAAAGUAUAUGGUUAUUGAGGGGAUGAAUCUAUACUUUUGUGACGCAGGAGCAAGUAGAGUUAGUAGGUUAAUUAUAUUAAUUGUAAUAAGGGAAUACAAGUCCCAUAUUGCUUAGGAUAGUGAACUUUGUGUUAUGUAUUAGUUCCACAUUGUCUAAGUUAUGAAGGUUUUUCCUUCUCCUACUAGUAUAAAUAACUCAUGUACCGUUUAUUUAUGAAAUAGAGUUGAAGUUUAUUUGAAUAUGAAAUAAGCUGUGUGCUUAUUUUCCUCUAGGCUCUUUGAGAGUAAGAGGUGCAUCAUUGUCUUGGCCAACCAAGGUGAAUUUAUGGCUAUUUUCACUAUAGUGGGGUUGUUAACCUCGCCAAGGUUAGUGACCCAAGCGAUGUCCCAGCGUCAUUUUGCAUCAUUAGUAUUAUAUAAUGUGAAUUGUUUUUUUUUUUAUCAGCUUUUUAGUGGCUCUAAAUUCUAUUGAAAUUCUUUUCGAAAUCUAUAUGCAAUUUCUAAAAUAACUGAAAUUUGUAAAUAUGUUAGAAUUAGUAUUAGGUUUAUAGUUCACUGAGAAUUAUGCAAAGUAUAUGGGUAUGCAUGAUGUAAUUGAAAACUUAAUUUUUGUUUGCCCUAAUCCAAAAAAUUUCUAUCUAACUCUCUCUGAUUUUCUUUUAUUUUUCUGUGUCUCUUGAUACAAUAUCGCAUCAAAUGGUGCUUUUAUGAACAUUAUGUCGGUAGCGAACACUGCUUCCCGUGGUGGUUCAGAUUGAAGUCACAUUUCUUGACAUGAUGAUCUUCCAAUGUUUGAUGUUGAGAAUGACUAUUGGUGGACCUUUUGUGUUUGGAAGUUAUGAAACGCCAAAGGAACAUCAGAAGCUCAAUAUUUUCGGGAGGUUACCGGGAGACUAAGCGGCCGCGAUCUAACGUGGUUCUAGCUGCAAUCUGGUGGCAGGUUGACCAACCUUAGAGAUAGCAUUCCUACAUCGUUACCAACUAGAUUUCCAACCAGUAUUACUAGAAAUAUCUCAAAACAACAUUUCAGAUUGAAAAAUUGAUUUAGAAAAAGCAAUGUCCAAAUUUAAAUAUCAAUCACACAGCUAUUCAACAAUAACAGAACAAAUUUAAAGCUUUAAUUUCAGAAAUUCCAACAACAACAAAUCCAUCACUUUCAGAAGCAAGCUAAUGAAGUUCCAAAAAUUACGAACAAAAAUGAUGAGGAAGUUACAAACAAACUUGGUGGCUUGGUAGUGAUACCGUGUGGACGGAAGGAGAUCAACAGUGGCCUGCAUCUAUGAUGGCGGAAGAGGAUAUUUGAAGACAGAUCGCAAUGAAAGAGGGGAGGAAGAAUGGCGGUUUUCAUCGUUGGAUUCGCCAAACCGGUGGACGCCCGUCACGAAUGAUGAAAAGAAGCAGAACGACGGAGUUUCCAUCAGCGCCGAGGACGACACCACUAUGAUGGGGAAGGACGAGUACACUGAGAUCUGAGGCGAUUCUGCGCUGGUGACAAAGCCAUGAGCAACACCGUGGUUGAUGCUUCCGCAAUGGAAAGGUGGACAAUGAUGGUGGAGGGCGAAAAGGUGGAGAUUCAUUCCGUCGCAUCCCUCCAUUAGUGGCCAAGCCACCACCACUCAUAGCGGCUCUCUUCCUUUGGAAUCGUGGCGGAGGACAAAACAACGACGACUAACAGUGGCAAGCGGCAGCUUCAGCGGGAGGUAGAGAAAACGCCACAGAGAACAGCGGAGUAGGAAGACGAAGAAGGAGGGAUAGGAGCUGGACAACGGUGUUGAGCGCACUGAAAGGGGACCAAAAGCGACACGGAUCGCCGGUUCCUCCCUGCGAGCUCAUGACGACUAGCGAUAAACUGGUUGGAGCUGCGGUGGUUGUUCCUUCCCUAUCUUCACCUUCAGGAAUGGAAAAGGAGGGGAAGGUAUUGCACCCUCCUCAUAGGGUUGGCCCCGAGUUAGUAUGUUAAGUCCAUCUUCAAUUUUCUACAGGGUGGGUUAACUAUUGGAACAACUUCGAAAGAGAAUUAUUUUGAUAUUUUAAAGGGCAUAUUUUUUUAAGACAAUGAGAUGUUGGUCGUAAAUUUUUUAUUUUAAGCAGUAACAUAAAAAAAAUUAUUUUAUGAUUAAUUAAUCUUUUAUUAAUUGUAAUUCAUAUUUAUAAUUUUAAUUAAAAUUUAUAAUUUUUUGCAAUUUUGAAUACAAAAUUAGUUUGAAGGGAAUUGUAAUGUUAGAAUUAGUAUUAGGUUUAUAGCUCACUAAAAGAAUUAUGCUAUAAAUAAAAAUACGAUAUAAUAAUGUAAAUAUACAUUAUGUAAUUAAAAAUUCUAAUUUCCCUCGUUAGCCUUAAUCCUAAGAACUUCUAUAUAAUUUUAUUUGAUUAUUUGUUAUUUUCUGUAUCUCUUGAUACAAUAUUAUAUUAAAAUGGUGCAAUAUAAUUUUUAGGCUACAUCUCUAUUAUAACUAGCAUAAAAUGAAAUUAUUAUAAUUUUUUUUGUGUCUAAAUAANNNNNNNNNNNNNNNNNNNNNNNNNNNNNNNNNNNNNNNNNNNNNNNNNNNNNNNNNNNNNNNNNNNNNUAGAUUUAAUUAUUCUAUUAGAAUAAUUAAACUAUAAAAUUACUAUAUAUAAUACUAAAUAAUGGUUCUUAAUAACAUUUGUUUGCUUUUCUGCAUUAAUUACCUUAUCGCAAAUAAUGCUUGAAAACUAUCUUAUUAUAAUAGUUAAUUUUCGUCAAUAUUAUACCAAGUUGAAUUUAAAUAAAUCCAACAUAAAAUACACUAAUUGAAUUUUAGAUUUUUUUAUUUUUAAGAGUUUUAAUUUUUUUUUCUUAAAUAUUAACUGCAAAAUUGAUGGUGUCGAUUUCAAGACUUCCCAUGAAGAAAAUCUAUAUUUUAGAAUAAAUAAAUACUACUUAAUCAACCUCUUAAAUAUGUUUAUUUUCUCUCUCUCUCUCUCUCUCUAUAUAUAUAUAUAUAUUAUUCGGUUGCUUGAUGCAUGAGUAUCUUUUUUCUCUUUUUCUAGUGAAUUUGUAUUUGAAUUUGUUAAGUUUAAUCAAGAUUUAAAUACUUUUUAGCCACUAUGAAUGUUACUUUGAGUUGUGUGUAAUUUGGUUUAUUUCAGGUAGCAUUCGAAUGGAUUUGACAGGCUUUUGUAGCAGAAAAGGGAGAAAGUGAAUGGUGCUGUCAACCCUGACCUUCUUACACUCCAACAAGAAUAACUUGAGCUACAGAUGUCCAAUUGAUGCGGUUCUAAUGGCAUUAGAAAGCUAAUUUUCAGAGCUUUCCAACGAUAUAUAAUAGUAUACACUUUUUCUCCAGAUUAAAUGGUCUUGGUGGCGCCAAACUUGGGAUCCUCCAAGUUUAGCGCCAUGAUCACUACAAGCCUCAAAUCACACGGCCUUGGUGGCGCCAAACUUGGGAUUCUCCAAGUUUGGCGCCAUGAUCACUAAAAAGCUCCCCUUUUGCGUUGCCUUGGUGGCACCAAACUUGGGGAAAUCCAAGUUUGGCGCUAGGUUGAAGAAUUGAAUGAUGUGAAACACGGGUGGAGUGGCGCCAAAUUUGGCCCAGCCCAAGUUUGGCGCCAGGUUCAGCAACUUGAAGUGGUCCCCACGCCUCAACGAGCCAACACGAGAUUUCUUAAUUAAUUUUGAUUAAAAUUUUAUUUUAUUUACAAAUAGAAAAAAUUAUUAUUUAGUUUUAGAAAAUAUAUUUUACAUUAAUUAGGAUUAGAUAAAAAAGGGAAAAGAAUCAGUCCUUCCGGAAAAUCUAUUCUCUUCUACCUCAUUCCGCACUUUACAGUUUUUUUGAAUCCUAGUUUUCUUUCUGAACCAUGAGCAACUAAACCUCCACUGUUAAGGUUAGGAGCUCUGUCUAUUGUAUAGAUUGAUACUAUUAUUUUUCUAUUUUAAUUCAUGUACUGAUUUCUAUUUCAAGAAUUAUUUUCGAUCUUUAUCUUAUGAAUUUGGGUGAAACGGAAGUAUGAUCCUUGUUCUAAUUGAGUUCAUGUAUAACUUGGAAAAGCUCUUUACUUGAACAACAUUUUGAAAAUAAUUUAUCCUAAAUUUCUAAUUAUCUGGACUUAACGGAAUACGUGAUAUAUAAUCCUCUUAUAUUUAGGUAAUUAGGGUUUCUGUGGCAUAUAAACUAGAAUUGAAUUUAACCCUCUAAUUGGAAUCAAGUGACCAAGGAAUUGGUAGUUGAUGAAGGUUAGAGGAGACUAAAAAGGUUUAAGGAAUUAGGGUUUAGUCACAUAUAGUUUGCCAUGAAUUGAAUCUUGCAUGAUUAAAAUAGUUGGUAAGAAAAGUCAAUCCAGAAGAUAGAUAUCUUUGAAACCUUAACUGUUUCUCCAUAUAUAUUUCACAACUUGUUUACUGCUUACUUUUUUCAUUCUCUGAAUUACUGUUUGAUACAUUUGAAUUCUCAACAGUCUUUUCUGUUUGUUUAACUAAGUAAAUCAUGCAAUUAUUGUUGCUUAGUCCAUCAAUCCUCGUGGGAUCGACCCUCAUUCACUUGAGGUACUACUUGGUACGACCCGGUGCACUUACCGGUUAGUUUGUGGAUUAUAAAUUUCGCACCAUUGCUCAGGUGAAUGGCAGUUUGGGUGAAGUCUAGACUGGAGCAACUGGGUGAGAUAGAGGAUUUAGACCUGAGUGUGAGCUUCUCAAGGAGGAUAACUAUCCGAAUCAUCGAUUGGUCGGCGGGUGGGGCCACCUGCAAGGACACUCUGAUGCUAAAGUUAGUGUCCGUACUAUGAGGUGGCUAAUUAGGGUAAAAAGGUGACGUACCUCUGGGGAGAGGUAGGUCUCUCUCCAUUUAUACUCCGAAUUCAAGUGGGCCCCUUCGCUUGGGCCCAUCUACAGGGAAGCUUCUGCUAGCUGUCCAGGUCUCCUCAGCAGGGUGUGAGGUGGCGCGUGGGUCACCUUUGGGUUCGGGUCGAGUGACCCGGAGGGUCAGUGGUCCACAGUCGGAUCGGGACCCUUGUUGGGCUGGGCCGGAAUAGUGCCCCCAACGUACCAACCGUGAAGCUAGAAGCUUGUGGUUGGUGCGUUCGAGUUACUCGCACCCGCUCAGGUUGAGUCCUGCUCAUCCCGGGAACCCAUUGACGAGGUCCAUGGCUUCAGUCCGUGAGUUGUCCCUAACCGUGGCUUGGGGCAUCGCUUUAGUUUUUGUGCUAAGAGCAGUAAAUGCUCUUUAUGGUUGAUUUGAAAGCAAGAAAAAAAAUUCAAUUUUACCCCUGUCUUUUUGCGCUCUCCCUGACGGUUAACAUUUCGCAUUCUUUUGCUUUUGUCUUCACAACUUCUUCACUUCUCUCACACAUUCUCUUCGUCUUUUUCUGCUUUCUAAUCACUGCGCAUUUGGAAUUCUACAGCUUUCUUGCUGCGAAUCCCACCACACUCGUCCUCUCUUCAUUUCUUCUACUUUCUUCAUUCACUAGUAAGCAAUCCUUCCUUUUUUUCCUUCGUUGUUGAUCGUUGUGCUUGCCUUUUGUUACCACUGUUGCUACAUGCAUUUCACAUUACUUCUGGUGCAUUUGUUUGGUUCUUGUCCUGUCUAGGUUAUAUUUGCCACUGUUAGCUAGUUCUUACGAGGGUACCAUUAGGUGUCUUUUUUCUUGGAUUUAGGCCAUUUAGGCCUUAGAAUAGUGGUGCAAAAUAGAUCACUGACGUAGAAGAAAGUAGUCUUCGUUUUUUCAUUUUCUGUGAGUUUUCGAUCUCUCGAGUUAACUUAAGUGGUGUCCCCACUGUAGGUAUGGCUUAGCAACCCGCGGCGUUGAACCUUGUUGAUCGCUAUAUUUGGGUCACCUCCAACGUGAAAGAUACGUCUUCCCAGGUAACCCGAGAGGAGCUACAGGAGCUUCGUGACUCUAGAGCUUUGUGUGGAGGAGGCCCAAAAGAAGCAAAUUACCAAGUUUUCAUCCCAGGUGACUGAGAGCAUAUAUGUCACUUGAACAUGGCGUCUCCUCGAGUAGUCGACUGGCUGUGGGUAUACAAACCAAUGUUCACCAUGCUAGGUGUUCGUCUUCCUUUUUUUCCUUUCAUCAUCUCUUUGCUAAACUGUUGUGACGUUGCCCAGUCAUAGCUUAAUCCAAACAGCUAGGCCACCAUCCAUACUUUUGAGAUGGUGUGUGAAUAUUUGGAGCUUCUGACUUCUAUCAACGUGUUUCUUUACCUUUUCUUACUCACUAACCCCUCCUGAGAAGGCAAGCACAAGAAAGGCUACCUUUCCUUUUGUACUGUACAGAAUAGACGAAUUUUUGCCCUUUUUGAAGAUUCUUUUCAUAGUUUCAAAAGUAAGAAUUUCAAAGUCAGACUGGCUCCGGGUUGCCACCCCUUUUGGUUUACCCUCGAGGGCGAAAUGCGGAUCUCGACUUACUGGAGCUUUGAUGCUGGCUCUGACUAUUUAAUAAAAGUGUCCUAUGAGAGGUUAAGUUCGGAGGACCAUCAGAUCGCAGAUAUCUUGUUGGCGAUUUUUGGCUCAAAAAAUUUUAACCCCCAUUUACUGAUGGGUGACCGGGUGUCGGGUUGCGAAUGCAUAGGUAAAAUUUUGAAUUUCAUCAUUAUCCAAGCCUUUGGGUCUCCCGAUCUGUUUAUCUCUUUUGCUUGUUUUGGGGCUUUCCGUUUUUUCGACUUCUUAACUUGGUUUUUCCUUCCAUUUUCUUGUAGUUGCCAUGGCUGCUGGGAAUACAGCAAUGUAAAUGGAACAAUUGAUGGGAUAUUUCUUUCCCUCGAAAGAUAGUGAUGACGAGAGCUCGACCAUUCCCUUAGUAGAGCCUAGGCUCGAAGCCGUCAGUGAAGGCAGUGGUCAGCCCGUCGGUGAAGGUAGUGGUCAGCCCCUCCCAUCUGCCGGCACACCUCUUGAGAACCCCGUGAACCUUGUUACCGAUGAGGCGGGCCAGGGUCAUGAGGUGGGACCCGAGGAUGAUCCCGAGAUGAUUGUUGUAACCAAUCCUAAAAAAAAGAAAGACAACCCUUGGCUCCAGCGAAGUUCUUAUUGUUAUGGAGAAGAACUUCGACACGGGAUACUUCAUUGACUCCUAGCUCCUCCCAGGCACUGACGAAUUCUUCAGGGAACAGGACCUCGCUUCCCAAGUGCGGUGGACCUACUGCAGUCUCCUCCGGGCAGCCGCUAUUGCAAGAAAAGUGGAACUCGUGUUGGCUCAAAGCCAACUUACGAAAGGUAAACUCAGGGAUGCCCACAAAGAUAUUGCUAAGCUGAAGGCCCAGGAAGAGUCACUGAGGACCCAUCUUAUCAAGGAAGAGAAAAAGGCUGAGGUGAGCUUUACCGAGAUUAACCAUAUGGUGGAAUGCGACCUCUCUCUUUCUAGUGAUCUCAACACUGCUCGAGGUCAAGCCACCACUGCGGAGGCAAAAGUGAAGGAGCUGAAAGAGAAGUUGGUUGAGGCCAGGCGGUUGGCUGAGGCAGCAAAGCAGGAAGCCUCAGCCAUGAAGAAAAAGAACAAGGAGAUUGUUAAGGAUACUCGGGAAGCAAUAAAGGCUACCGAGGAGGCGAUCAAAGCCCAAGUCACCAUCUUUGCUCCCGAUUUUGACACUUCUGCCGUUGGGACCUUCAAGAUGAUCCAAGAUGGGAAAAUUGUGGACAUCCCGAGAAAGUGACGGGCUCAUAACUUGGAAGUUUUUGUAAAUUUCUUGUAUUGUUUUGACUAGUGGGCUCGUGUGAUGCCCUUUUCCUUGUAACUGCUCUUUAUUUCUGUUUCGCCGUUAGGCCGUUGUUUUGCAACCUCUUUUACAACAAACAAAUUUAAAUCUAUUAUCGGGCCGAUGUGAUGCCAUUCCGUGCUAUCGUUUUAACGCCUUGAGUAGUUAUACUUAUUUGCAUGCAUUUGGAUAUCCGUUCAUUGUUGUUUCGUAGCACCCAGGGUGAUCAAUCCCGAAUUUCCAUUUGUGUAACUUAUGGUAAAGAAAUAAUAAAAAUAACUCAAAGUGAACACCUUAAAUAACGCAUUUUCUUAUCAAUAGUGGGCUUCGUCAAAAUCUCUCGUCGUUAUCCCGCACAGGGGGCUAGGGGAAAUAGUGCCUCCUCUUUAAUAACCAAAAGAAGAUACAAAAAUCUUUUGCAACCACUUUUCGAAAGGGAACAAACAAUCCAAUAAAAUAAAGCAUCUAAAAAAAGGAUGAUAAAGUAAACGACGACAGUAGAAACAAAAAUAAAGAAUAACCGUUAAGUUGGGAGGCUGGCAUUCAAGAGUAGAACCUCUUCAAGUUCACUGCAUUCCAUGUCCUCGGGACCUCGUUCCCAUCCAACCGUUCUAGCUUGUAUGCACCCUUCUUGAGAACUUCUCCUACUCUAUACGCACCUUCCCAGUUGGAUGCCAACUUACCUUCUCCCGGAGUCGGCGGUCCAAUAUCGUUAUGCCGUAACAUUGAUGAGUCCAUAUUUUCUGGUAUAUUUUUUGUUUGAUUUGAGUGAAUUUCAUCACAUAAACCCACAUUUAUUCAUGUAAAUAGCAUACUUUUGUGUUUUCUCUCCAAAUUGUACCUAAUUGUGAAAACAUGCUAUUUUGUGCCUAAUUUAAUAACUUUUAUCCCACUUUUAUGCCAUUCGAUGCCAUGACAUAUUUGUUGAGUGAUUUUAGGUCCUAGAGAGAAGUUUGGUAAGGCAAAAGUGGAAGGAAGCAUAUACAAUGAGAGAAAACAUGAAGAAAACAAAGAAGAAGCACACAUUGGAGUGUGCGUACGCACAACCACCUGUGCGUACGCACAAGAGCCACAAAACCAUGUGUGCGUACGCACAACAUCCCAUGCGUACGCACAAGAAGAAAAUCAGCAUGUGUGCGUACGCACACACCUGUGGGUACGCACACGUCCCAGCGCAUGACUCAUUUAUUGCAAAUCGCUGGGGGCGAUUUUUGGGCCUCCAGGGCCCAAUUUUGGGACUUUCUGAAGCUGAUUGAGUGCUAUAUGAAGGAAGGCCUCAUUCCGUGUGAAAGGGGGGGGGAGAGAAAUUAAGGUUAGAUUAGCAUUAUGUUGGUUGUAUUCUAGAGAGAGAAGCUCCCCCUUCUCUCUAGAAUUAGGGUUUCUUAGUUUAAUUUCCUUGUAAUUUCUACCUUUAAUUCUUGUUUUCAUUUAGUUUCAUUUAUAUUUCUAUACUUUCUUGUCUUUAUCUUCUCCAUUUCUUUUGUCAAUUUCUCUUUUAUGGCACUUUUCAUGUUAUGAACACUCUUUGUUAUUUUAAUUUACAAUUAAUGCAAUUUAUGUUUUAUGUUCAUUUAUUGCUUCCUUUAGUUGUUAUGAUUUUCUUGCUUUGGUAGCUUUAGAAUUUAUUUUAUUGCAAUUUAAUAUUAUUUUAUUUUUCAUGCACACUAAGUAUUUGAUAAAAUGCUUGGCUUAGUUUUUACUUAGUUUUUCUUCACUCUUGGCUUGAAAUUGAUGACUUUGGUGAUCCUUGAGUCAUUAAUGUCCAUUCUUGUUUGAUAUAUUAGAAUAGUUAGUUGAUUUGGUUUCCAUUGACUCUAUGUGACCCUUAGUGUUGACAUAGGACUUAUGGAUUGAAAUCAACUAUGCCUAUUUAACUUAUCUUCAAUGUAAGGUUGACUAAGUAGGAUUCACUCUUUAUAAUCAUCAUAUGUUUGUGGUCAAUGGCUAGGAUAGGUAACCUUAACUCUCAAUUACUUUCCAAGAGGUUUCUUGCAUUUGAACUUUCCUUUCCUUGCGUUUAAUUUCUUUGACUUCUAUUGCUUUGACUUUUAAUUCCUUGCAUGAUCAUUAAUUUCUUGCCAUUUACAUUCCUUGCUUUCAUUUUCUAUUCCCCAUGCUCUCUAAUAGCCAAUAACAUAACACUUCAUUUGCAACUCCUAGGGAAGACGACCCGGGAGUUCAAUACUCUCGGUUAAUAUAUUUUGUUGAAUUGUGAUAACAUUUGAUUGUUGGUCAAUUUGUUGGGUUAGGACUAUAUUUACAAUGCCAAUUCCAUUUUGAUAAUCAAACUCCUAACCUAUGCAAAAUUGGCCAACAUCAAAUUUGGCGCCAUUGCCAGGGAGUUGCAAUGGUGUUGUUUUUGGCUAUUGUAAAUAUGUUAAUAUGUAAAUAGUUUGGUUUUUGGUUAUCUUUUGUUUUUGUUGAUAGUUAGGAUUGGGAUCCCGGAGGACAUUGCAAAUUCUAGCAUUGGUGGGGAAGUCAAGCACAAGCCACCGUAGCAAGGGCUCUCCCAAUUGUCUAACUUAAAGACAUUAAAUAAAAGUGCUUGGUAACAUUGUUCUAACUCUUCUCUUUUUGUAUAUAUUUUGACUUAAUUGCAUUUUUGUUUGAUUGGUUAGCUUAGAAUUAGUUUAAUUUUGAGUUUUGUUAGGUUAAUUUUGGUUUGGAUCAUGAAUUUAUGGGCUCUUGCAUGAUUUGGUGUUGAGUUUUGAUUGAACUAAGGCUUUGUACCUUAGAAUUUUGAAGAAAAUUUUUUGAGAAAAACAGGACAUGUGCGUGCGCACACCCUUGUGCGCACGCACACAACAACGAAAAUUCACCUUCUGUGCGUACGCACCUAGCUGUGCGUAUGCACACAAGCCUUUAUGCCCUCUGUUCGCAGUGCCAGCACGCUUUGUGCGUGCGCAUUCCCCUGUGCCCGCACACCUACUCGUGCGUACGCGCACAUGCCCUUUUUCGCACUCUUUGUGUGAGCGCACAGACUUGUGCAUCCGCACGCCAACUUGCUUCCCUUCUGGUGGUAGCGUUGGCAUAGCUUGUGCGCGUGAACCCCUGCCCCCUUAUGCUCUUGUGCGUGCGCACGGACCUGUGUGCGUGUGCACACAUGAUCCUUCACCAUGUCAAAAAAAAAAAACCACACCUGUGCAUGCGCAUAGCUCGGUGCGCACGCACAGCCUUUGGAGCCCCCUCUGCUCGCAGCACACGCACCCCUUGUGCGUGGGAACACCCCUUCUUUUCCUUCUUGUGUGGCCGCACACACCCCUGUGCGCGCGCACAGACCCUUAUGCCAAUUCUGUUCGCAGCGCCCGCACGUUGUUGUGCGUGCACACAACCGCAUUUUUCACCUAGUGUGCGUACGCACACCCCUAUUUUCUCACCACUACACUCUUUUCUUCUCUUCUCUUUACUUCUUCUCUUCUUUUCCCCUCCACUCCUCUCUUUUUUACUUUUUCCCUCUUUUCUACUUAUUCUAGUUGCCUUUCAUUGCACUUUAUUUUUAUUUAGGUAAUUAUAUUAGUUUUAGUUUAGUUGUUUGUCAAUUAAAUAAAUUACAAGUGUUUGCUUAAUGAUUAUUGGGUUGCUUCUUGCUUGAAUUUUGAUCUAAUGAAUAUGUGCACUGAGCAUUAAGUCUUUGUUUGAUUGCCUAAUUGAAUUUUGAGUUUGAUUCAUAUGUUGUCGCGACCAUAUGUGUUAAGCUUUAUCCUUGUUUGGCAUUUUGAAUUGUGCACUUUUACUUUAGUGAAUUGAGUUGAGCUACUUAGUCAUCAUGGUUCUUAAGUGAAAAUAAUCACAUAAUAAGGUGUUUGCUCCUUGUUAAUGCAUUGCAUUUUCUUUAGUUGACUUGACUUGAUUCUUUUCAAGACUUGUCACUUUUUGUAACAAGCACCUUAUACAUGUGAUUAUUUCCUUAUUCCUAAGGGUGAAUAAGUAGUCUCUUUUCAUCAUUGAAUUGGUUGUUGUUGAUUGUGCCAUCUUCUAUUCACUAUGCUCUUUCACUUGCACGAUUUCAAUAACCAAUGUCUUAUAUACUCAAUUCACUUUAGUUGUGGUUACUUAGGUUGUUUGUGCCUUAAGUUUUGCUUAUUUAUUACUUGCAACCUAGGACUACUUGAUUUAAGAACAUGCUAUUUUUUUUGAUUGUGUGGUUUCUAUUUUUAAUUGACCAAUGUGUUAUGUUCUAAACCGUGCGCAUUUAGAAUAUGCAUAUUGCCCUUUCUCAUACCACACUUCUAUGACUUCUUCCUCAAUUGUUGUUUAUGUGUUUAUAUAGCAACUCGGAGGCCCCGGAUCCCACCAGCUGAAGGUGGAGCCUCACAAUCCUUUACCCCCGGAUCAUGUGCAUGCACGGAGGACCGUGCAUUAUUUAAGUGUGGGGGAGGAUCGCCAACUUCAAGGGGAUAAAAUUUCUUUUCUUAGACACUUUGCAAUACUCUUUCUGUUCUUUUUCUUCAAUUUUUGCAAUUUUUGUUGAGUGAUUGUAUUUUGUUUGGUUUGGUUUGUUUGUAUAUAUCUCUUUAAUGCUUAUAGUUUUAUAGUAGUUAUAUGUGCAUGUUGCAUAGUAUAGUAAAUAAGUUUAGUAAAACAACAAAGAAUUCUCAAGAAAUCUUUUUUUUGGCAUUCCAUUGAUUAGAUUUGAAAACUUGUUUUUGAACUUGCAUGAAAUAUUUUUCUUAAGGAACAUAGAAAAGAGCUUGAACAAAACAGCAAGUGAGAAUUGAGCUUUAAUGGAUGGUUGCACAUUUUUAACCACAAAUUUUGUUCUUAUGUGAUAAACUCCUUUUAUGAUUGUAAUCUUUGAUUUGCUUAAAUCUUUAUGUCCUAUAGUUGUUGUUUUGAAUGCAUCUAGUAUGAUUGAGGCCAUUAUUGAAAUUGAGCUCACAAACCCAUAUGGCCAACCCUUACAUCUACCUUUGCAACCACUUUUGAUCCUUUUAAUUCUCAUUUUGUUCUAAUAUUAAGCACAUCAUUUACCUAAGUGAAAGACCAUUAUAUCCUUGAAUUGUAUCUUUGAUUAGCUUGAGUUUGAGUGUGUGUGUUAAUCAAGUGUGGAUAAAAAUUUGUGGGACACAUUGGUAGUUAGUUUGGGUUUUCAUUGUGAAAUUUUGGAAAAAAAUGGGUAAACACUCAUGCAUCUGUUAAUUAAGGCAUAUGCAUCCCUUCUUUGUUAAAAGAAAAAAUUUGGUGUACAAAAAAAAAGGGAAAUGACAAUAAGAAUGUAAAUAAAGGGUGCAUAUGUGUAUGAAUUGGAAAGAGGAUGCAUGAGUGAAUGUGAGAAAGAGGAUGAAUGGGUAGUUAGGUUGUUUUGUUAUGUAUAUAGGAUGAUAUAGGAUUAGGUGGGUGCUUGAGCUAAUCAAAGAUCCAAUCUAAUAGCCCACUUAACCAUAUUAAUCCUACCCUUACCUAAGCCCCAUUUCAACCCACAAAAGUCCUCAUGAUAUUUGCAUUCAUUCAUCAAAUAUUAGUUGAUUGUUAGAUAACUUGCAAAUCUUUGAGAAACAUGAUUAAGGGAGGAUUGAGUGAUUAAACCCUACACACUGAGCGAUUAGAGUGUAAACACAUCCGGUGAGGGUUUCAAUUGCUCAAUUCCAUGUUCCCAUUGCUAAUCUUAUAUCUUCUUGCAAGUUGUUGAAAUGAAUUUUGAAAAUUUCAAAUCAAAUCUUUGGACAUUGAUCAUAUUGCUAUAUUUGCUUUCUCUUAGCCCUAAGCUUUGAUUUGGAUUUAUUGAGAUUUUUUUGUUUGCUAUUGCCAAACUCAAUAGGAAUUACAGUAUAUAUAUAGAUAGCAUUUAGUAUAGUUGCAUGCAUAUAGUUAGAUGGAUUUAAUAAAUUGCUUACCUUCCUUACCCUUCUCCUUUGAUUAUGAUUAGCAUGAGGACAUGCUAUUGUUUAAGUGUGGGGGGAUUGAUGAGUCCAUAUUUUUCGGUAUAUUUUUUGUUUGAUUUGAGUGGAUUUCAUCACAUAAACCCACAUUUAUUCAUGUAAAUAGCAUGCUUUUGUGUUUUCUCUCCAAAUUAUGCCUAAUUAUAAAAACAUGCUAUUUUGUGCCUAAUUUAAUAACUUUUAUCCCACUUUUAUGCCAUUCGAUGCCGUGACAUGUUUGUUGAGUGAUUUUAGGUCCUAGAGGGAAGUUUGGUAAGGCAAAAGUGGAAGGAAGCAUGUACAAAGAGAGAAAACAUGAAGAAAAUAAAGACGAAGCACACAUUGGAGUGUGUGUACGCACAAGAGCCAUAAAACCAUGUGUGCGUACGCACAACAUCCCGUGCGUACGCAUAAGAAGAAAAUCAGCACGUGUGCGUACGCACACACCUGUGUGUACGCAUACGUCCCAGCGCGUGACUCAUUUAUUGCAAAUUGCUGGGGGUAAUUUUUGGGCCUCCACGGCCCAAUUUUGGGACUUUUUGAAACUGAUUGAGUGCUAUAUGAAGGAAGGCCUCAUUUCGUGUGAAAGGGGAGAAAUUAGGGUUAGAUUAGCAUUAUGUUGGUUGUAUUCUAGAGAGAGAAGCUCCCCCUUCUCUCUAGAAUUAGAGUUUCUUAGUUUAAUUUUCUUGUAAUUUCUACCUUUAAUUCUUGUUUUCAUUUAGUUUCAUUUAUGUUUCUAUGCUUUCUUGUCUUUAUCUUUUCCAUUUCUUUUGUCAAUCUCUCUUUUAUGCCACUUUUCAUGUUAUGAACACUCUUUGUUAUUUUAAUUUACAAUUAAUGCAAUUUAUGUUUUAUGUUCAUUUAUUGCUUCCUUUAGUUGUUAUGAUUUUCUUGCUUUGGUAGCUUUAGAAUUUAUUUUAUUACAAUUUAAUAUUAUUUUAUUUUUCAUGCACACCAAGUGUUUGAUAAAAUGCUUGGCUUAGUUUUUACUUUGUUUUUCUUCACUCUUGGCUUGAAAUUGAUGACUUUGGUGAUCCUUGAGUCAUUGAUGUCCAUUCUUGUUUGAUAUAUUAGAGUAGUUAGUUGAUUUGGUUUCCAUUGACUCUAUGUGACCCUUAGUGUUGACAUAGGACUUAUGGAUUGAAAUCAACUAUGCCUAUUUAACUUAUCUUCAAUGUAAGGUUGACUAAGUAGGAUUCACUCUUUAUAAUCAUCAUAUGUUUGUGGUCAAUGGCUAGGAUAGGUAACCUUAACUCUCAAUUACUUUCCAAGAGGUUUCUUGCAUUUGAACUUUCCUUUCCUUGCGUUUAAUUUCUUUGACUUCUAUUGCUUUGACUUUUAAUUCCUUGCAUGAUCAUUAAUUUCUUGCCAUUUACAUUCCUUGCUUUCAUUCCCUAUUCCCCAUGCUCUCUAAUAGCCAAUAACAUAACACUUCAUUUGCAACUCCUAGGGAAGACAACCCGGGAGUUCAAUACUCUCGGUUAAUAUAUUUGGUUGAAUUGUGAUAACAUUUGAUUGAUGGUUAAUUUGUUGGGUUAGGACUAUAUUUACAACGCCAAUUCCAUUUUGAUAAUCAAAUUCCUAACCUAUGCAAAAUUGGCCAACAUCAAACACCAAAUCACCUUCCUCGAAGUUCUUGUUCAGCACCUUGCGAUUGUAACGCAAGGCUAUCCUCUGUUUUAGUGCAACUUCCGAUAAGUGGACCAUUUUUCUUGUUUCAUCAAUUAAAUCUUUUUCAAUUGCUUCACUACCACUGCCCAGGAGUAGCUUUGGGAUUGGUUCUCCGAUUUUCACAAGAAUGACCACAUCGACCCAAUAAGUAAGUCGGAAUGGCGUCUCCCUGGUGGAGGACUGCAGCAUUGUCCUAUAAGACCAUAAAACAGAAGCUAGCUCGUCUGACCAAGAGCCCUUUCGCUGAUCAAGGCACUUUUCUAACUCAUUGAGGAUAACCUUAUUCGCCACCUUGGCUUGACUAUUACUCUGGGGAUGUUCCACCGAGGAAAACUUUUGCUUGAUCCCCAACCCAGAUAAGAACUCUCUGAACCUCUUGUCAGAGAACUGCGUCCCAUUGUCCGAGACCACGAUCUUUGGGAUUCCAAAUCUGGAGAUUACUUGUUCCCACAGAAACUUCCGACAAUUUGCUGACGAUAUAUUGGCUAACGGUUCUGCCUCUACCUACUUCGUAUAGUAAUUAAUGGCUACAAUGAGGUACUUAACCUACCCCGAAGCUACCAAGAACGGCCCCAAAAGGUCGACUCCCCACUAGGAAAAAGGUCGGGGAGGCCAACAUGGAACUUAGCUCUUCUGCUAGGGCCUUGUAAAAAUUUUCAUUCUCUUGACAUUUCUUGCACUUUCUCACGAACUCUUGGACGUCCGCCAUCAUAGGGGGCUAAUAAUAUCCUACUCUGACACGCUUUUUUGGCUAGUGUCUUCCCUCCAAUGUGGUAGCCACAACAUCCCUCAUGGACUUUGUUUAAAACGUAGUCCGUCUGGUCAAAACGUAGGCACUUCAGCAGAGAUUGAUUAAGUCCUCGUUUGUACAGCAGCCCUUGUAUUACUACGUAUUUGGUAGCUUCUCUUCUUAUCACUUUGGCUUCUUUUUCCUCUUCGGAAAGUGUGCCAUCUUCGAAGAAACUUUGAAUUGGAUUGAUCCAUGAAGGAGGGCUCUAGACUUGGGUCAUGCAAAGGGUCACCGAUGGCUCCUUCACCAGACCUUAGAUUAGGGAUCAGUUUCCCGCCCCCGAUUUGGUGCUCGCCAGCUUUGAUAGGAGGUUGGUCCUAGCUUUUCUCUCUCUGGGUACAUGUUGGAUCACCACUUCUUCAAAACCCACACACAACCUUUUUGUUCUUUCCAAAUAUUUUUGUAACAAAGGAUCCCUGGCCGAAAUUGGCGAGUCAAAAAUUGUUAUAAGAUAUGCGUUGCAAGUAUAGUUCUUAACCAACCAGAAAUUCGCUUAUCAAUUUAGAAGGGUGUCACAAAAAUUAAAAUUAAAAUACUGGGAGUAUGAAUCCUAGGUCGUCUCCCAACGAGUUGCAGAAAGGUGUGCUAUUUUAUUAAUCAGAUGUUUUCAAAAUGGUUUGAAUUGAAUAACAGGAAAUUAAAUUAGAGAAUUUAUGUAAACUAAAUAAAAGCCUUGACUGGGAGUAGAUUAGCUGGAAGCCCUAUUCGUGUUAGAGUACUCUCAAGAUUAAUUGACAAUUAAAGGUUGUCUUGUUUAGUUAUCCCUUACUAGGUAAGGGAAAGUCAAACAAGUUGGAAUGCUACUUCUAUUCACAAGUUCCAACCCACUCAAUUAAAAGGGAUUGGUGUCAGUGACUAGAGGGCAAUCCAACAAUAAACCCAAUCACAAUUUUUCUUUUUUGAGCAUUCCAACUCAAGGGUUCCUUUCAAUCAACUCCCCAUCAAGUUAGGGAACUACUCGCUCAUUGUGAAUGUAGAAUUCAUAACAUAGAAAAGGGAAUUAAAGAAAGACAUGAUAAAUAAAAAUCAAAGAAAUCAAUUAAAAAUAAAAGUAAUUCUUGUAUUAAUAAAUUCUAAAAAUAAUUUAAUAGUAAAAUUGAGUAAAUGAAAGGACAUGGAAGAGUAAGAGCCAAAUAAAAAAAACGAACUAGAAUGACGAAGUCUUGAUGAGGUAAUAACUCUUCUCAAUAUCCCAAUGCAAAGAGCAAUAGAAAUAAAAUCCUAAGAACUAUGAAUGUAUAGAGAGAAAACCUAGAGGAGUAAAACUAGAUCUAAAAACUAAAAUUGUGUAGAAUGAAUAUUGUUCUCGGUCUCUACAUGUUCUUUGGCUCUAGUCUGUUUUUCUGGGCCGAAAACUGGGUCAAAACAGGGCCCAAAAUCACCCCCAACGAAUUCUACAGAUCGCGCACGUCACGCGAUCGCGUCAUUUAUGCGGCUGCGUCAUUCGGCGUUUUGCCCUGCCAUGCGAGCGCGUCGUCCACGCUUCCGCGUCACUUGUGCUAUUCCAAUCUGUGCAGUUGCGUGAGCCAUGAGGCCGCGUCACUGCGAUUUCCUUUCUUUCGCGCGGUCGCGUGAGUCAUGGGCCGCGUUACUUCUCGCUAGUCAUCUCCUCAAUUUCUUGUGUUCCUUCCAUUUUUGCAAGCUUCCUUUCCAAUCUCCAACUCAUUCAUGCCCUAUAAAGCCUGAAACACUUAACACACAGAUCACGGCAUCGAAUGGAAUAAAGGAGAAUUAAAAUACAUAAUUAAAAGUCUCUAGGAAGCAAGUUUUCAAUCAUGUAAUAAUUUUAGGAAGGAAAUAUAAAUGCAUGCUAAUCAUAUGAAUAAGUGGGUAAAGAUCAUGAUAAAACCAUACAAUUAAACACAUUAUAAACCAUAAAAUAGUGAUUUAUCAACCUCCCCACACUUAAACAUUAGCAUGUCCUCAUGCUUAGUUGAAGGAGAUAAAAUAAAUGAGUAGGAACAUGUAAAACUCAUGCAAUGCAAUGCAACCUAUAUAUGUGAAUGCAAAUAUAUGAUUCUUGUCCACUUGAUCAAUAGUAAAUAAGCUCUUCAAAAUAAUUACAAAUUAAAUUCCACUAAUUCAAUUCUUAUACAGUAAGAACAGAUAAAAAUGCAAGAAGGUAGCUCAUGAAAGCAGGAAACAUAGAAUUUUAAGCAUUGAACCCUCACUGAUGAUGUAUGUACGCUCUAAUCUCUCUAGUGUAUAGGGCAAUCACUCUAUCCUUCUCUAAUCAUGCUCUCUAAUUUUUGUUCUUCUCCUAACCAAUCAACAAUAUUUAAUAUACCAAUGCAAACAUCAUGAGGUCUUUUCAAGGUUGUAAUGGGGCCAAGGUAAUGGUAAGGAUACAUAUGUGGCUAAGUAAGCUUAUAAACUGAAUCUUUAAUUAACCCAAACUUUAACAUAACCUAUACAUAUUCUUUAUAACUUUAGAAUUCAUACCUAGCUACCCAGAAUUUCCCUUUCACAUUCCAUACUCGUGUAUCAACUUUUUAUUUUAAUUUUAUCAUACAUGCAUUGAUCUUUGAAUUCUUAGCUUAGCAUUGAGGUAAUUUUGUCCCCUUAUUUAUUUAUUGAAUAUUUUUUUAACAUAAACAUAAAAAUAAACAUAGCUUAUCAAUGCACAUAGAUUUUUAAUUCUUAUAGUUUCACAUGAGUAGGUAUCCAAAUUCCCAUUAUAUUAUCAUGACACAUUCCCUUAUUAUCUUUUGUUCCCACAAUUUUUCAUACUUAAUUAGUACACACAAUUCUAUCUUAAGCUAACCAAAGAUUCAAUUUGGGAUAUAUAAUUAUUUUUUCGCUUAAGGCUAGUAAUGUGGUAAAAUAUAGAACAAAUGGGAUUUAAAGGCUCAAAGUAGCUUUGCACCGUCCUCGGUGCCAUCUGUCAGGAACAAAGGUGGGCUGGUAGCAGUAUCUCCACAAUCGGGACCAUCAUGGCUUCCUGUGCUGGUAAAGAAAGUGGAGUCCGGGGUGUCUGAGUCCUUGAAUUUUCCCAUAAUCAGCUCCUUGAGGUAUGUGAAUCGGCGCUUGUUACGGCGCUCUCUCAUCUUAGCUUUGUGUUCCUGCCGAUCCAACCUUUCGAGUAUCUGAUGGAGCAGUUGGUCUGUUGUAGGUGCUUGUGGUGUUGAAGAAGGAAUAUCUUCAACCGGUUCAGUAGGAUGGCUUGUGGCGGCUGGUGAAGGUCUGAUGUAUUUCCUGUUAGGGACAUACUAAUCAUCCCGUGGGAGCAUGGCUUUGGUGUCCCCAGCUUUGUAGGAAAUUCUGGCUACUGAGACAAGAUCUGAGACCAAGGCGGGAAAAGGUAAGUUGCCCGCAAUUUGUACGUGUCCCAUGACAUUCCGGAUGUGUCUUGGUAGGUUCAGAGGUUGGUCUGUAAGGAUGCACCAUAGUAGAACGACCAUGUCCGCAGAGAAGGAGGACUCGUGAGUGCUCGGAAAGACGUAAUAGGACAUGAUCUGUGCCCAUACGCGAGCCUCCAAGGUAAGUGCUGAAGCCGAUAUUCCCUUAGGGCGGGUACGAUGGUAUCCGUAGAUCCAACGGCUGCCAGGUAGUACGAUAACUCUGAGAACGGCGUCCCAGUCAAAUUGGUACAUCUGGUGCUUGAGUGCGGCUUCUUGAAAGGCGUCCAAUCCUUCUGGAACAGGGGGAAGACCUAGAGCUUUUUGAAUGGCCUCUUCUGUAAUGGGGACUUACUUCUGACGGACAAAGACAGACUGCAGGGUUGGCACGUGGAAGUUGGAGUAGAACUCGACUAUCCAAGAAAGAUUGACCUACCUCGGCUGUCUCUGUAGGAAACUCCAUUGUCUUUGUGCAAUUUGCGGCUCAACAAAGGUAGCAAUAUGGUUUGGGAGGAGAAGAAGGUAUUCGUUGUUGUAACUCCUUUCUGCCAGGAUGGGGAACAUCUGCUCACAGUAGCGAUUGGAAAAUUGCGCAGUGUCCUUUGCUGGGAAGGCUUUUUCUUUAUCAUCAACCUUUAUAAUCCUCUUAGUUCUUUUUGUUGAGGGUUUAACCGCAGUUGAAGAGGGCUCUGCCACUAAUGCUCUUUUUGUUCCUCUUCUUACUGGUGGUUUGGGAGUAGCUUUCUCUUUUCCUUUCUUGGUGGCCAUCCUGAAAAGGGAAAAAAAAGAAAGUAACGUAAAUUCAAAGAGAUAGAGCAAGGAAGAGGGUUGUAUAAGUGAUAAACAAUGCACGAUAAAGAGGAUGUUGUUAACACAUGGUCAUGACUACAUGUGAAAAGUUCAUCAAUGGAAAUAUAGCAAAUGCAUUGGAGGAUAAUUAAAUGCAAGGGGUUUAUUGGCAUGCAGGCAAAGGCAUGAGUAGCAUAGAUCAAGCAUUUAAUUAGUUGAAUCUGUUAUCACUCAUAACAAACUAGCCAUCACAUUUGUAUCGACAAUUAAAUUUAAUUAAUACAAUAGUAAAGGAAAUUUGUGAAAAGCAGGCAUUGAAUAGUAGAAUAGAAUAAUGUAGAAAAAUGCAUGAUGCCAUAUGGGCUUUUUCACAAACACAUAGCAUGCAUGGUAAAUAAGGUAUAGAAAGUAUUAAAGUGAACAUGCAAGCAACCCUUUAAAAAGGUAAUAUAUAAUUGCCAAACAAUUUUACAACAAUCCACAAGCAUAUAAUGAGAAAUAAUGACUCAAAUAAAUUUUCAACACCAAGUAAAAAGAAAAAAGAAAGAAAAGAAAAUAUGGAUAAUGAAAGUAAAAAGAAAAGAAAAGAAGAUAACAUAUAAGAAUAAGAAGAAUAAUAGAAAAGUAAGGGGGGAAGAAGAAAAGAAAACCUUGUUAAUGAGGGUGAGAGAGAGAGAGAGAGAGUAGAAAGUGAGAAAGAAGGAAGAAGGAAGAAGGAAGAAAUAAGGAGGGAAAAGAGAAAAUAGGAUAUGGGAAAAAGAAAGAUAAGAUAAUUGGCAAAUCAGGGAAGCCGUGCGGCGCAAGCGACGCGGUCGCGUGGGGCACGCGGUCGCGUCGGACACGCGGUCGCGUGACACGUUUUAUGCUACUGGCGCGAGGGCAGCCUCGCACUUGCACAAGUCUCUGUUCAAACUCUUAUUGCGCCAAAUGUUGGGUGACGCGAUCGUGUGGGGCAUGCGAUCGCGUGAGUGGCCAUUAGAAGGAUAUGACGCGGACGCGUGAGCCAUGCGUCCGCGUGGGAAGAAUUGUGCGUUCAGCGCCAAUCCAGCACCACUCUAGCACAACUUUCGGUCGUGCACCCUUUUCACGUCGAAUUCCAGGGCACGCGGCCGCGUGAGUGACGCGGUCGCGUGGGAGGCCAAUGUUCCCACCCGACGCGGUCGCGUGGGGCGAUUUGUGCCACGGGCACGCCUCCAGCCACGCUCUCGCGUGACUCUCUGUUCGUUUUAUUAUUUUCUCCAAUCACCUGCGACGCGGACGCAUCAAUGAUGCGGUCGCGUCGCGUAAGUUUUUUUUUUUAAAUUAAAAGUAUGUAAAUGCAGAUGCACGAAAUGUACUAAUAAAGAGAAGAGUUAUUGAAUAGGAAAACUAAGAAUAAAGAAAAUAACGAUCAUACCAUGGUGGGUUGUCUCCCACCUAGCACUUUGCUUUAACGUCCGUAAGUUGGACGCUCCACUAGCUCAGUCUUCGGCUAUGUAGGGAUCUUCCAAGAGGAAGAUCUCGAGCUCCUUGUUUUUCUUCAUCUUCUCGCCAUGGUACAGCUUUAAACGUUGUCCAUUAACUUUGAUAAGUUCAAAGCUUGAAGGAUGACUUAGGUGAAAAACUCCGUACGGUUCGGCCUUCUCUACUCUGUAUGGACCUUCCCAUCUUGAUCUCAACUUGCCUGGCAUGAGCCUCAGUCGAGAUUUGUAAAGGAGGACUAAAUCCCCUGGUUGGAACUCUUUUCUCUUGAUGUGUUGAUCAUGUACAGCCUUCAUCUUCUCCUUGUAUAGUCUUGAGUUCUCAUAAGCUUCUAGGCGAAGGCUUUCCAGUUCUUGCAGUUGCAACUUCCUUUCAGCUCCGACUUUCUCAAUUCCCAUGUUGCACUCCUUUACUGCCCAAAAUCCUUUGUGCUCUACUUCAACAGGGAGAUGACAAGCUUUUCCAUAAACUAAGCGGAAAGGACUCAUCCCAAUGGGUGUUUUGUAUGCUGUUCUGUAUGCCCAGAGUGCAUAUUGUAGCCCGAGGCUCCAGUCUCUUCUAUGAGGUUUGACUAUCUUCUGCAAGAUACGCUUUAUCUCUCUGUUUGACACCUCGGCUUGCCCAUUAGUCUGAGGAUGGUAGGCUGUUGCAACCUUAUGAAUUAUCCCAUGCUUCUUCAUUAAUCCUGUUAGNNNNNNNNNNNNNNNNNNNNNNNNNNNNNNNNNNNNNNNNNNNNNNNNNNNNNNNNNNNNNNNNNNNNNNNNNNNNNNNNNNNNNNNNNNNNNNNNNNNNNNNNNNNNNNNNNNNNNNNNNNNNNNNNNNNNNNNNNNNNNNNNNNNNNNNNNNNNNNNNNNNNNNNNNNNNNNNNNNNNNNNNNNNNNNNNNNNNNNAUUUUUCUAGCUGUUCUUUGAGGGCCAAAAUAUCCUCCACUCUCAGAUGAGUGACAGGCCUCUAAGAUGGAUUGAAAUUCUGAUUGAGGCACACACCGUCUAAUUACCUGGUCAGCGCCACAUCUCCAUAAAUAUGGGUCAUCCCAUAUAUAAUAUUUAGAUUCGCUUUUCAGCUUGUCUCUUUGAUGUUUAGAGAAGUUUGGAGGAAAGGUGCGGCUAACUAGAUAAUUAGCUACAGGUGCAUACCAAGGGACUACCUCAGAUACUGCUUGCAGGUUAUCAAAUGGGAAAUUAUCAGCUAUAGGAGUGGGGUCAUCUGUAAUGUGCUCAAGGCGACUCAAGUGAUCUGCCACUAAAUUCUGGUUACCACUCCUAUCCUUAAUUUCCAAAUCAAAUUCUUGUAAUAGCAGUAUCCAACGUAUAAGCCUUGGUUUGGACUCCUUUUUAGCUAAUAGAUACUUUAGAGCUGCGUGGUCUGAGUACACUACUACCUUCGUACCAAGUAAAUAGGCUCAGAAUUUAUCCAGAGCAAAAACAAUAACAAGAAGCUCUUUCUCAGUAGUAGUGUAAUUAGACUGAGCGGCAUCUAAAGUUUUAGACGCAUAAGCAAUAACAAAGGGGUCUUUACCUUCACGCUGAGCCAGUGCUACUCCUACUGCAUGGUUGGAGGCGUCGCACAUUAUUUCAAAUGGUUGGCUCCAGUCUGGUCCUCUCACAAUUGGAGCUUGAGUCAGGGCGGUCUUCAGCUUAUCAAACACUUGUUUGCAAUCCUCACUGAACUCGAACUCAAUAUCCUUCUGCAGUAGUUUGGAUAAGGGAAGUGCUACCUUACUGAAGUCCUUAAUGAAUCUCCUGUAAAAACCUGCAUGGCCGAGGAACGAACGGACUUUCCUCACAGAGGAGGGGUAAGGUAAACUAGAAAUAACAUCCACCUUUGCUGGAUCUACAGAAAUGCCAGUAUUAGACACAACAUGUCCUAGUACAAUACCUUGUUUUACCAUAAAGUGACACUUUUCAAAAUUUAAUACAAGGUUUGUACUGACACAUCUAUCUAAUACUCUAGAUAAUCCAUCUAAGCAAAGGCUAAAGGAAUCGCCAUAUACACUAAAAUCAUCCAUAAAAACUUCCAUACAGUCCUCAAUAAGAUCAGAGAAAAGACUCAUCAUGCACCUUUGGAAGGUAGCUGGUGCAUUGCACAAGCCAAAAGGCAUUCUCUUGUAAGCAUAAGUCCCAAAAGGACAUGUAAAAGUGGUCUUUUCCUGAUCCUCAGGAGCUAUAUGAAUCUGGAAAUAACCUUUGUAACCAUCUAAAAAACAAUAAUGUGAUUUACCUGACAGGCGAUCCAGCAUUUGAUCAAUGAAUGGAAGAGGAUAGUGAUCCUUACGAGUGGUCUGGUUGAGGCGUCUGUAGUCAAUGUAGACCCUCCAGGCGUUCUGAACUCUGGUUGCCAUGAGAUCUCCAUGCUCAUUCUUCACUGUAGUGACUCCAGACUUCUUGGGCACCACUUGUACUGGGCUUACCCAUUCACUGUCUGAAAUGGGGUAUAUGAUAUCUGCCUCCAGUAGUCUGGUCACUUCCUUCUUGACAACCUCUAAGAUAGUGGGGUUCAGUCUUCUCUGGGGUUGACGGACAGGUCUUGCUCCCUCUUCUAAAAAUAUCCUAUACUCACAGACUUGAGGGUUGAUGCCUACUAUGUCUGCCAAACUCCAACCAAUUGCCUUCUUGUGCCUCCUCAGCACACUAAGUAGCUGCUCUUCUUGUUGAGAGGUGAGUUCCCUUGCAAUGAUAACUGGAAACUUCUGCUCGUCUUCAAGGUAAGCAUAUUUGAGGUGUGGAGGAAGGGGUUUUAAUUCUAACUUCUGAUCAUGGUCAGGCUCUGGGUUGUCUGGAGCUAGUAACAAUGGUAAAGCACUGUCAUUGUCCUCUGAGAAUGUCCCCACAUUUGGACCUUGUCCUAUGUACUUCUCUUCAAAUUCCUCCUGGUGAACUUCAGCCACGGUUUCAUCUAUGAUGUCACACUGGAGGAUAGAAUGAUCCUCCGGAGAAUGCUUCAUAACUCCAUUCAGAUUGAAGAUUACUACUCGGCCAUCUAUUUCAAAAGAGUAUGUUCCUGAAAAAGCAUCUAAUUUGAACUUCGAGGUCUUCAGGAAUGGUCUUCCGAGUAGGAUUGAUGAUGGCUUCUCUGAGUCAUUUUGGGGCAUCUCCAGGAUAUAAAAAUCAAUGGAAAAUGUGAGCCCCUUAAUGCCCACUAAGACAUCUUCAGCGACUCCAGCCACUGUAAUAAUGCUUUUAUCUGCUAACACAAAACGAGCUGCCGACCUUUUUAAAGGAGGGAGCCUCAAAAUAUCAUAUAUAGACAAAGGCAUUAUACUCACACAUGCUCCUAAAUCACACAUGCAAUCAGAAAAUGCCCUUAAUGCCAUCUUCAGCGACUCCAGCCACUGUAAUAAUGCUUUUAUCUGCUAACACAAAACGAGCUGCCGACCUUUUUAAAGGAGGGAAAGGAGGGAGNNNNNNNNNNNNNNNNNNNNNNNNNNNNNNNNNNNNNNNNNNNNNNNNNNNNNNNNNNNNNNNNNNNNNNNNNNNNNNNNNNNNNNNNNNNNNNNNNNNNNNNNNNNNNNNNNNNNNNNNNNNNNNNNNNNNNNNNNNNNNNNNNNNNNNNNNNNNNNNNNNNNNNNNNNNNNNNNNNNNNNNNNNNNNNNNNNNNNNNNNNNNNNNNNNNNNNNNNNNNNNNNNNNNNNNNNNNNNNNNNNNNNNNNNNNNNNNNNNNNNNNNNNNNNNNNNNNNNNNNNNNNNNNNNNNNNNNNNNNNNNNNNNNNNNNNNNNNNNNNNNNNNNNNNNNNNNNNNNNNNNNNNNNNNNNNNNNNNNNNNNNNNNNNNNNNNNNNNNNNNNNNNNNNNNNNNNNNNNNNNNNNNNNNNNNNNNNNNNNNNNNNNNNNNNNNNNNNNNNNNNNNNNNNNNNNNNNNNNNNNNNNNNNNNNNNNNNNNNNNNNNNNNNNNNNNNNNNNNNNNNNNNNNNNNNNNNNNNNNNNNNNNNNNNNNNNNNNNNNNNNNNNNNNNNNNNNNNNNNNNNNNNNNNNNNNNNNNNNNNNNNNNNNNNNNNNNNNNNNNNNNNNNNNNNNNNNNNNNNNNNNNNNNNNNNNNNNNNNNNNNNNNNNNNNNNNNNNNNNNNNNNNNNNNNNNNNNNNNNNNNNNNNNNNNNNNNNNNNNNNNNNNNNNNNNNNNNNNNNNNNNNNNNNNNNNNNNNNNNNNNNNNNNNNNNNNNNNNNNNNNNNNNNNNNNNNNNNNNNNNNNNNNNNNNNNNNNNNNNNNNNNNNNNNNNNNNNNNNNNNNNNNNNNNNNNNNNNNNNNNNNNNNNNNNNNNNNNNNNNNNNNNNNNNNNNNNNNNNNNNNNNNNNNNNNNNNNNNNNNNNNNNNNNNNNNNNNNNNNNNNNNNNNNNNNNNNNNNNNNNNNNNNNNNNNNNNNNNNNNNNNNNNNNNNNNNNNNNNNNNNNNNNNNNNNNNNNNNNNNNNNNNNNNNNNNNNNNNNNNNNNNNNNNNNNNNNNNNNNNNNNNNNNNNNNNNNNNNNNNNNNNNNNNNNNNNNNNNNNNNNNNNNNNNNNNNNNNNNNNNNNNNNNNNNNNNNNNNNNNNNNNNNNNNNNNNNNNNNNNNNNNNNNNNNNNNNNNNNNNNNNNNNNNNNNNNNNNNNNNNNNNNNNNNNNNNNNNNNNNNNNNNNNNNNNNNNNNNNNNNNNNNNNNNNNNNNNNNNNNNNNNNNNNNNNNNNNNNNNNNNNNNNNNNNNNNNNNNNNNNNNNNNNNNNNNNNNNNNNNNNNNNNNNNNNNNNNNNNNNNNNNNNNNNNNNNNNNNNNNNNNNNNNNNNNNNNNNNNNNNNNNNNNNNNNNNNNNNNNNNNNNNNNNNNNNNNNNNNNNNNNNNNNNNNNNNNNNNNNNNNNNNNNNNNNNNNNNNNNNNNNNNNNNNNNNNNNNNNNNNNNNNNNNNNNNNNNNNNNNNNNNNNNNNNNNNNNNNNNNNNNNNNNNNNNNNNNNNNNNNNNNNNNNNNNNNNNNNNNNNNNNNNNNNNNNNNNNNNNNNNNNNNNNNNNNNNNNNNNNNNNNNNNNNNNNNNNNNNNNNNNNNNNNNNNNNNNNNNNNNNNNNNNNNNNNNNNNNNNNNNNNNNNNNNNNNNNNNNNNNNNNNNNNNNNNNNNNNNNNNNNNNNNNNNNNNNNNNNNNNNNNNNNNNNNNNNNNNNNNNNNNNNNNNNNNNNNNNNNNNNNNNNNNNNNNNNNNNNNNNNNNNNNNNNNNNNNNNNNNNNNNNNNNNNNNNNNNNNNNNNNNNNNNNNNNNNNNNNNNNNNNNNNNNNNNNNNNNNNNNNNNNNNNNNNNNNNNNNNNNNNNNNNNNNNNNNNNNNNNNNNNNNNNNNNNNNNNNNNNNNNNNNNNNNNNNNNNNNNNNNNNNNNNNNNNNNNNNNNNNNNNNNNNNNNNNNNNNNNNNNNNNNNNNNNNNNNNNNNNNNNNNNNNNNNNNNNNNNNNNNNNNNNNNNNNNNNNNNNNNNNNNNNNNNNNNNNNNNNNNNNNNNNNNNNNNNNNNNNNNNNNNNNNNNNNNNNNNNNNNNNNNNNNNNNNNNNNNNNNNNNNNNNNNNNNNNNNNNNNNNNNNNNNNNNNNNNNNNNNNNNNNNNNNNNNNNNNNNNNNNNNNNNNNNNNNNNNNNNNNNNNNNNNNNNNNNNNNNNNNNNNNNNNNNNNNNNNNNNNNNNNNNNNNNNNNNNNNNNNNNNNNNNNNNNNNNNNNNNNNNNNNNNNNNNNNNNNNNNNNNNNNNNNNNNNNNNNNNNNNNNNNNNNNNNNNNNNNNNNNNNNNNNNNNNNNNNNNNNNNNNNNNNNNNNNNNNNNNNNNNNNNNNNNNNNNNNNNNNNNNNNNNNNNNNNNNNNNNNNNNNNNNNNNNNNNNNNNNNNNNNNNNNNNNNNNNNNNNNNNNNNNNNNNNNNNNNNNNNNNNNNNNNNNNNNNNNNNNNNNNNNNNNNNNNNNNNNNNNNNNNNNNNNNNNNNNNNNNNNNNNNNNNNNNNNNNNNNNNNNNNNNNNNNNNNNNNNNNNNNNNNNNNNNNNNNNNNNNNNNNNNNNNNNNNNNNNNNNNNNNNNNNNNNNNNNNNNNNNNNNNNNNNNNNNNNNNNNNNNNNNNNNNNNNNNNNNNNNNNNNNNNNNNNNNNNNNNNNNNNNNNNNNNNNNNNNNNNNNNNNNNNNNNNNNNNNNNNNNNNNNNNNNNNNNNNNNNNNNNNNNNNNNNNNNNNNNNNNNNNNNNNNNNUGGGCUUCCUUGCAAGUUGUGGAAAUGGAAUGGGAGUGGUGUCUUCUAUAGUGUCUGCGCCCUUUGGUGCUUCCUCCUGUGGUUGAACUUCUUCUUUUUCAGCCAUGUCCUGUAUGUCCUCUUCCUCUUCAACAUCUUCUAUUUCCACUACCUCUUUAGCUGAGGCGUGUUCUGGUGGGCUUGGCUCCUCCUGAUUCCCCUCCUGCAGUGUGGUUCCGGACCUUAGGGUGAUGGCAUUAAUGCCACCAUUUAGAUUGGGUAAUGGUUGAGAGGGGAUUCCACUGGAGCUCAAAGGCUGGUUAUUGGAGUUAUUCAUUGAUCCAAUCUGUGAGACAAGAGCUUGCAAAGUAGAGUUCAGACCAUUUAGUGUAGCAUAAAGGUUAUUUUCCAUGGUCUGUUGUCUCCGAUCAAUAGAUUAUAGUAAGUCGUCAUUAGAAGAUGAAGAAGGAUAAGUAAUUUGAGAGGUCUGCUGUUGAGUAUUCUGUGGUCCUUGGGAUUGCCUCAGGUGAGGUGCUCUGUAAGGCUGGUUCUGGUUCUGCUGCCUGUUAUUGUUAUUAUUCCACCUCUGAUUUCGCUGAUUGUCUCUGCCUCCUCUGUUGUUGUUGUCCCUCCAAUUCUGGUUAGAAUUGUCCUGCCAUCCAUGGCUGUAAUUGUCACCUUGAUUGUACCCUUGGUUGGGGCGGUCAUAGAAGUUAUGAGUGGCUGCCACGGUGUUGUCUUCCUGCUGGAGCUGCGGAUAUUCAUCAGUAUAAUGGCUAUAAUCAGCACAGACUCCGCAAACUCUCCGUGGGACUAACUGUUGGCUUUGCUAUGGUGGAGAAGGUUGAGCUUGCUGAACUUGUUGUUGAUUCAAUUGCAUCUGCUUCAGCAAGUUGGUCAUUUCACAGAUACUCUGAGUUAGAGCAGUAGUCUCUCUGCUAGAGGAUACUUCUGCAACGGCUUUUGAACGGCCUUUUUCUGCCUGUGAUUCUGAGUAGAUUCAGCUAAGUCGCUGAUCAAUUGCCAUGCCUCAUCAGUGGUCUUGUACUUUUUCAUAGACCCAUUGCUAGCACUUUCCAAUGUGGUCUUAUCUUGGGACCUCAUGCCUUGUGUGACGUAACCGAGUAACACUAUCUUGUCAAUCAUAUGGUGGGAGCAUGCUUCCAAAAGAUUAUUGAAGCGCUCCCAGUAUUCAUAGAGAGUCUCGGAUUCGUCCUGAACAAUCAUGGAAAUGUCUUUCCUCAGUUUAUUAGUAACUUCAGCUGGAAAGAACUUUUCCAAAAAUUCUCUUCUAAGUGUAUCCCAGUCGGAUACAGUUGCUGCAGGUUGAGUGUAGUACCACUCUCUUGCCUUUCCCUCAAGAGAAAACGGGAAAGCUUUCAACAAAAUUGAAGUUUCAUUUGCACCAUCACGCCUGACAGUAGAACAGGCUGCUUGAAAAUCUCUCAGGUGCUUGAUAGGCUCUUGAGCAGGUAAGCCAUGAAACUUGGGCAUCAAAUUGAGCAGUGCAGUCUUUAUUUCAAAGUCUGUAGCCACCGCUGGGUGAUGCGCUUGAAACGGUUGCAUUGAAAAAUCAGAGGCUCCAGCCUCCUGGAUAGUAACUCUCCUAGCUGCUGCCAUGUCACCUGCACGUAAAUCAACCAAAUCCGUAGAAUGAGGGCUGAUUUCUUCCUCAAGUGACGUUUCAGAUCCGCCCUCAGAGAGGACUAACCGAUGCCGAGCUUGCCUUAUUCGUGAAAUAGUUCUUUCAAUCUCAGGAUCGAAUACUGGCAAGCUUGGAUCAGGAAGUGAACGCGUCAUCUAACGAAAGAAACAAGCAGCUCAUAGUAGCAAGAUAAAAUAAAAUGCAAAUAAAUAAAUUCCAAUCAAUAACUUAGCAUUCUAUUGCAACUCCCCGGAACGGCGCCAAAAAUUGACGUGGCAGAAAUUGGCGAGUCAAGAAUUUUAUAAGAUAUGCGUUGCAAGUAUAGUUCUUAACCAACCAGAAAUCUGCUUAUCAAUUUAGAAGGGUGUCACAAAAAUUAAAAUUAAAAUACUGGGAGUAUGAAUCCCAGGUCGUCUCCCAAUGAGUUUCAGAAAGGUGUGCUAUUUUAUUAAUCAGAUGUUUUCAAAAUGGUUUGAAUUGAAUAACAGGAAAUUAAAUUAGAGAAUUUAUGUAAAUUAAAUAAAAGCCUUGACUGGGAGUAGAUUAGCUGGAAGCCCUAUUCUUGUUGGAGUACUCUCAAGAUUAAUUGACAAUUGAAGGUUGUCCUGUUUAGUUAUCCCUUACUAGGUAAGAGAAAGUCAAACAAGUUGGAAUGCUACUUCUAUUCACAAGUUUCAACCCACUCAAUUAAAAGGGAUUGGUGUCAGUGACUAGAGGGCAAUCCAACAAUAAACCCAAUUACCAUUUUUCUUUUUUGAGCAUUCCAACUCAAGGGUUCCUUUCAAUCAACUCCCCAUCAAGUUAGGGAACUACUCGCUCAUUGUGAAUGUAGAAUUCAUAACAUAGGAAAGGGAAUUAAAGAAAGACAUGAUAAAUAAAAAUCAAAGAAAUCAAUUAAAAAUAAAAGUAAUUCUUGUAUCAAUAAAUUCUAAAAAUAAUCCAAUAGUAAAAUUGAGUUAAUGAAAGGACAUGGAAGAGUAAGAGCCAAGUAAAGAAAACAAACUAGAAUGACGAAGUCUUGAUGAGGUAAUAACUCUUCUCAAUAUCCCAAUGCAAAGAGCAAUAGAAAUAAAAUCCUAAGAACUAUGAAUGUGUAGAGAGAAAACCUAAAAGAGGAGUAAAAUUAGAUCUAAAAACUAAAAUUGUGUAGAAUGAAUGUUGUUCUCGGUCUCUGCAUGUUCUGUGGCUCUAGUCUGCUUUUCUGGGCCGAAAACUGGGUCAAAACAAGGCCCAAAAUCGCCCCCAGCGAAUUCUGCACAUUAUGCAGAUCGCGCACAUCACGCAAUCGCGUCAUUCAUGCGGCUGCGUCAUUCGGCGUUUUGCCCUGCCAUGCGAGCGCGUCAUCCACACCUCCGCGUCACUUGUGCUAUUCCAAUCCGCGCGGUUGCGUGAGCCAUGAGGCCGCGUCACUGCAGUUUCCUUUCUUUCGCGCGGUCGCGUGAGCCAUGCGGUCGCGUCGCUUCUCGCUGGGCAUCUCCUCAAUUUCUUGUGUUCCUUCAAUUUUUGCAAGCUUCCUUUCCAAUCUCCAACUCAUUCAUGCCGUAUAAAGCCUGAAACACUUAACACACAGAUCACGACAUCGAAUGGAAUAAAGGAGAAUUAAAAUACAUAAUUAAAAGUCUCUAGGAAGCAAGUUUUCAAUCAUGUAAUAAUUUUAGGAAGUAGGAAGAAAUGCAUGCUAAUCAUAUGAAUAAGUGGGUAAAAAUCAUGAUAAAACCACACAAUUAAACACAUUAUAAACCAUAAAAUAGUGGUUUAUCAUAGGUCCCGUUUACUUGAGACGUCACGACCUGUGAGUCACUAUUGACUUCGAGUUUCACUGCUCCAACCUCUUUGGCUAAGAUCAAGCCGCCUAUUGGGGCCUCAUACUCCACUUGGUUGUUCGAGACUAGGAACUCAAAUUUGAUGGAUUGCUCGUAGGUCACUCCUUUCGAGCUUUCUAAAAUGAUCCCGGCUCCUCCAAAAGGCUGGUUUGAUGCUCCGUAUACAUGGAGCUUCCACCGUGUUCUCGAGUCUCGGGAGGAUCCCCAGUCACCUCCACCAAAAAAUCUACCAUCUCUUGCGCCUUAAUCGCAUGUCGGGGUUCGUAUUGGAUGUCGUAUUGGGCUAGCUCUAUUGCCCAUGUCAUCAUACAACCCGCCAGGUCGGGCUUCUGCAAGAUUUGUCGAAUGGCUUGCUUAGUCCUUAGCAUGAUCGGGUGCCCUUGGAAAUACUGUCUUAACCUCCGAAAGGAGAUUAAUAGAGCAUAAGCUAACUUUUCCAACUUAGUGUAUCUCAGUUCCGCACCCUGGAGCACCUUGCUAAUGAAGUAUAACGGUUGCUGGAGUUUGUCUUCUUUCCGAAUCAAAACGGCCACCAUGGCCUCCUCCGUCACAGCUAGAUAGAGGUACAUGGUCUCCCUUUCUUUCGGCUUCCCGAGCACAGGUGGUUCUGAUAGGAUCCUCUUGAAGUGGUUGAAUGCUUUCUCACAAGCUGGAGUCCAUUCAAAGGCUAUUCCUUUCUUCGUUAAAUUGAAGAAGGGAAGGACCCUUGCUGCCGACGUCCCGAGGAAGUGAGACAAAGCCGUUAGCCUACCGGACAGUGUUUGAACAUCCUUGAUACAUAUUUUCGGUUUUUCAUUGGCUUUCUUGACAAGGACCACAUUUAAGGCCACGUCGAGUACUCGAAUUCUCUUAUGAAACUGGCUUCUGACAAGAUGGCCAUCUGCCUGGCCACCUUGUUAGCCCUUUUUAGCGACAUCUUUCUUCGUCGUUGUGCUACUGGCUUGGCAUCUGGUUUCACAGCCAGACGAUGUGACAUGAAACUAGGGUCCACUCCUGACAUGUCAGCUGGAGUCCAAGCAAAUAAUUUACUGUUUGCUCUGAUGGCCUCGAUGAGAGGCUCCUUUGACUCAUGGGGGAGGUUUCGGUUUACAAAGGUAAACUUGUCCUUCGACUUCUUCCUUAGUGAGAGACUGACAUUGUUGCAAGUGACUACCAUUUCCAGGUCUCCUCGAAUAGAUCCUACAGCUCCUUGAUCCGUUACAAACUUCAUCAUGAGAAGUUUCGCGCAAAUGACAGCCGAUAGCUCAUUAAUAGUUCUCUUUCCUAAGAUCACAUUGUAUGUUGUGGAGUCCCUUUAGACCACGAACUCUGCCAUCACCGUUUUCUUUCUCUCUCCAGAACCAACACAGAUUGGAAGGGUGACCAGCCCGCCUGGUCUUAUGUAAUUAUCUCCCAAGCCAACGACCCCAUGUUGAUGGCUUCUGAGGUCACUUUCUUUGAGCCCUAGGGCAUCAAACGCAUUCCUAAACAUGAUAUUCGAGUCCGCUCCGGUGUCCACUAGGAUUAGUUUGACAAGGACCGUCUCGAUUCUCGCCAUAAUCACCAUUGGCGGAUCCUCGGGAAGGUCGUGGUACCAAUGAUCUUUUGGGCCGAAAGAUAUUUCGGGGAGCUCUCCAGAUUGGGCAUUGGGUCUUCCCGAUGUCAUGAUAGGACCUUUGCAUCCUUUUUUGCUGCUGAUUUUGACUUGGGUAAUACGUCUCUUCCAACCACAACAUUGAUGACUACAGUUGGAGCAUUUUCCACGUUGUCGGGAGGUCCUUGCCUUGGCUUCACAGCUCUGCUGCGGUCCUCCUCAGACCGUUCCUGCUUUCUCCUCCUCGGCUCUCGUAUGAACUGCACAAACUCAGUUAGCUUGCCUUCUCGAACGGCCUGCUUUAAAGCAACUUUCAAAUCGAAGCAGUAUUGGGUUUUGUGUCCAAAGCCCUUAUGGUAGUCACAGUACAAACUUUUGUUCCACCUGUUCUAUCCUUGAGCUGCUGAGGUUUCGACAAUACGCCUUUAUCUACGAUCUGGUGGUAAACUUCCGCAAUAGGUGCUGUUAAAGGGGUAUAGUUAGUAAACUUACCCACACGAGAAAAUGGUUUGAAUGGUUUCCCGGACAUUCUCUCCUUUGGCACCUCCGUUGGCAUUUCCACAUUCCCGGCUUGACGAGUUGGUGAGUUGAGCGGCUGCCACUUAUUAGCAGCCACCACUUGACUAACUUCUUCAUCAUUGAUAUACUCCCUUGUCACAUUUUGGAUCUCUUGCAUGGUCCAAACAGUCUUGGUAUUGAGAUGCUUUCUAAAGUCCUCGUUUAACAAGCCAUUUGUCAAGCAUAGACUCGCCACUGAUUCCGUUAGGUCAUUGAUCUCUAGACAUUUAUCAUUGAACCGGUCAAAGAAUUUCCUCGUCGGCUCGCCAGCGUGUUGGGUCACACCUAACAAGUUGAUCAGGUGCUUGGUCUUUGCUAUUUGUGUGAUGAAUUGCGCUAAGAACCUCUACGUGAUAUCCGCGAAGGCCGUAAUGGACUCUUGUCGGGGCGUGUUAAACCAAUGUAUCGCUGGACCUACCAAGGUUACAGAAAAUGCACGUCACCUUACAUCAUCAUCAACACCCUUCAGGUUUAUUCUGGACUCAAAGACCAUCAAAUGUUCCUGAGAGUCUUUCGUCCUAUCGUACCUCAUGACCGUGGGCUUGUCAAAGUUUUUUGACGGCCAGACCUUGAGGAUAGAAGGGUGGAAAGGGGUUGCCCCCUUAAUGACGGGGUCCAAAGGCUUUUUUCCUCUGUCUCUUCUGGUCUCCCUGUGGCCUUUCGACCUGACGUGAGUGUAGGUGUGAGAUCGAACAUUGGCCUGUUCAUGUUUAUUGUCCCUCCUGGAGCUACUCCUGCAGUCUUUUGACCUCUCAGUGGGAGAUCGGGUGCGAGACAGACUUGGGCGAGAGUCUCAGCUGUGCUCAGGACGGUAGUGGUCCCUCGCUGCUGGCUCUCUCUCCAAGUUCUGCACUCGGUGCCUGAGCUCUUGCAUAAUCUUUGAGUUGUCAUCAUCGGUGCCACCAAACGGGUGUCUCUAAAAGAUCGAGAGUGGGGGUUUCCUUGCCGAGAUAGAGGUCCCGGACGUUCCUGAGAAGAGGCUAAUGAACUCACUCUGCUCCUCAGGCAAACUCCCUAUCCUCUCAUACUUCCUCCAUGUGAGGAAAGAGCUCCAUACUCGCGCCAGGUCCCCACAAACGAUGGCAAUAUUCGGUUGCUCGGGUGAAUGAUGGUUUGGGUGAAGUCUAGACUGGAGCAACUAGGUGAGAUAGAGGAUUUGGACUGAGCACGAGCUUCUUAAGGAGGAUAACUGUCCGAAUCGUCGGUUGGUCGGCGGGUGGGACCACCUGCAAGGACACUCCAAUGCUAUAGUUAGUGUCCGUACUAUGAGGCGGCUGAUGAGGGUAAAUAUGUGACGUACUUCUGGAGAGGGGUAGGUCCCUCCCCAUUUAUACUCUGAACUCGAAUGGGCCCUUCGCUUGGGCCCAUCUUCCUGGAAGCUUCUGUUAGCUGUCCAGGUCUCCUCAGCAGGGCGUGAGGUGGCACAUGGGUCACCUUUGGGUUCGGGUCGAGUGACCCAACAAGUCCGUGGUCCACAGUCGGAUCGAGACCCUUAUUAAACUGGACCGAAACAUAUAUAUAUAUACUACAGAUUUUUAAGUUGUAUUAAUAAAUUUCAUUGAUAGACACAAAGAACAUAUAAUAACAAUAAUAACAUUUUUCCUGCCAUUUAAUAUUUUCUACAUGCCUUUGACUCUUUUCUCGAGUACCUUAGUCCUUUUCCAAAAAAGGAUUAAUAAAUUAGCACAACAAAUAUUUAAAAAAAAAAAACAAAGAAUGAGUUCUUACUUUCUUUAAAAAAUUUGUGAAAAAAAACUCAAAAUAAAAGGAGGACAUAAAACUAUACUGUUCGAAAAUUGUUGGAAAUAAAAUUUAACCUCAGUUCCAUAAAAAAAGCUAAUUUUAUUAAGAUAGUCAAAUUAAUCAUAGAAAUUUUAGGAUAAGUAUUGUUUUGGUCCCUAAUGUUUAGGGUCAAAAUCAAAACCGUCCUUAACGUAGUUUUUGAUUUAAAAUUGUCCUAAAUAUUUUAUUUGGUAUUAAAAUUGUCCUUUCUAAUAAUUUUUUUUCUAAAUGACGAAGCUACCCUUUUCAGCUUUUCUGUUUCAUGCGAAACACUUGAUGUCUUCAUUUGUAUGUAAACCCUCAACAUUAACCACAACAUUAACCACAACGUUUCAGAAAGCAAUGUGAUUGCUUCAUGUCCUAACCCAGAAUCGAAAAUGACGGAAGCUGUUCUUAGAGAGAAGAGAGCAGGUGAGUUCAAGUUGCUUGAAGGAAGGGACUUGAACAGUCAGUGAGGCAGUAUUCGCAGGUUUGGCAUAGGUAUGAUUUAUCCCCUUCCAUUGACUAUGGUAUCUCUCCUCCUAGUAGUUAGUUUUGGGUUAGAAGGUUUAGGUUUUGGUUUUUUGUUGAUGAUUGAAUGGAGAUCAAAGGUCUUUAUAGUGAGACCAGGGAUUAAUAUCAUCGUGAAAUAGGAAUGUUUGUGUAUUUUUUUUUUUAUUCUUGUAAUAUAGUAAUGUGUUCUGAUAGUUAUUUACUGAUAGAGUGUUGGAGAAGACAAUGGAAUAUUUUAAACUGAAAUUCUACCAUGGAAGAUGGUUUACUUAUCAAAAUGGGCUUUACAGUAUGUGGGAGGAGAAACAACAGUUAUAGAAGAUAUUGAUUGUGAUCGAUGGUCCAUAUUUGAAGCUUAUGCAGAGUUAAAGCAGUUUGAUUACGUUGAGGAGAAUAUCUCAUCAUUGUGGUUUAAGGAUCCUAUAUAGGAAGACAUGGAGAAAAAUUUGAAGUUAUUUAAAGGUGAUGCAGAUUCGAUUGUCAUGUAUAAAAUAGCUGAAUUAAGAGAAUAUGUAGAGUUGUUUAUUGUGCACAAUGUUGACGAGGACGAUGUGUUUCUUGAUGCUGGCUACAUUGAUGUUGGGGAGGAUCAAGGGAUUGUUGAUAAAGGUGAGGGACAAGAGCUGGUUGUGUAUGGUGGAGAACAGGCUGAGUAUGGUUAGCAAGGUGAUAAUGCGGCUAAUAUAGUCGAUAGACCUAAUGAGGCGGGACAAAACCAACCUGAACCAGGUGCUAAUGAUACUGGGACAGAGACUAGGGACAGUGAUGAGGAUGAUAAUCAUGAAGCUGAGUUUGGUAAUUUUGGUUAUAGUGAUAGUCUCGAUUCAGAGUAUAAACCAUCUGAAGAGGAGGAUGACAGUACAGAUGAGCUUGAUCCUAAUGUCAGUGGAUUUGAGGAUGUGAAUUUCAUGACUGAUAGAUGUAGGGCUGUAAAAAAGAAAGGUGUGGCAACUGAGAAUUUUAAAAAUGAUGAAGGAGUAGAUAGUGAUGAAUUAGAAUUAGACCACGAGGUUAAAGUUGAGGCCAAUGAGGAUGGUGAAAAUGAGGGUUCAAAUUUAGACCAUGAGGGAGUGAGGUAUCCAUUUCACAAGGCACAAAAAGACAUGAAGCAAUACAAGUGAAAAGUUGGGACAUCAUAUGUAUCUCGGGAGGAAUUCAAAGACAUUGUCACUACAUAUGCUGUGCAGAUCACAAGGGCAAUUACAUUUAGAAAGUGUGAUCUGAAGAGGAUAAGGGCAAUUUUUUCUUAGGAGUGUCCUUUUUGGCUGUAUACUGCAAAAAUGGGAGAAGAUGAUACUUGACAGCUUCGUAGCAUGAAUUUGAAUCACACAUAUACACAAGCACAUAGGGUGGGAAUUUUAUACUCCAAAUGGAUUGUCAAGGCAUUUAAGAAGAAGGUUGAAUCAAAUCCCAAGGUGAAGAUAAAGGAGUUGGUUUUAAAGGCUAAAAAAAAUUGAAACUUGACUAUCACUAAAUCAAUGGCAACUAGGACAAAGCAGAUUGCAUUGGACGAAAUUCAGGAAACUUUCAGAGAGCAAUAUAAGAGGAUAUAUGACUAUGAACAUGAGAUGUUAAUGGCAAAUCCAGGCUCUUCUGUUCUUAUACAAGUGCAAAAGUUCUCUGAUUUUGCUAAUGAAGUGCAAACAUCAUCCAUGACAAAUUAUUACUGCUUCCAAAAAAUCUAUGUGUGCUUGGAAGCAUGCAAGCAGAGCUUUCAACAUUGCAGGACCUUCAUUAGUUUAGAUGGAUGCUUUUUGAAGACACCUCAGGGUGGACAAUUGUUUACUGCAAUAGGUUGGAAUCCGAAUGACCAAAUGUUACCCAUUGCAUAUGUGGUUGUAGAGGCCGAGACCAAGGACUUAUGGACUUGGUUCUUGAAUCAUCUUGCAUCUGACAUUGGGAUUGAAAAGAUGGAAAGAUCCACAUUCAUAUCUAACCAAUAGAAAGUAAGUAUACUUCACUAAUAGCAUCUGCACAUUUAUAUUGUUCAUUAUAAAAUAUAAAGUAUGCCUAACUAUAUGCUCAUUAAUAUCACCUGUGUAGGGUUUGUUGUCAGCAUAUGAGGAUGUUAUACCAGGAGUGGAUAACCGAUUCUGUGUGAGACACUUAUACAGCAACUUCAGGAAAAAGUUUCCAGGUUUACAUUUAAAGCAAAUGAUGUAGAAGUGUGCUAAGGCGACUCACUAGAAAGAUUGGGAGAAGUAUAUGGCCGAACUAAAGCUGUGAAUUAGGAAUCUUUUCGGUACUUAAUUGCUAUUCCACCUAGAUAUUGGUCUACAUUUAGGUUCACCUUUUAUUCUAAAGUAGAUACACUAGUUAAAAAUAUAUCUGAGAGCUUUAAUUCUGCUAUAGUAGAUGCUAGAGAGAAGCCUAUAGUUACAAUGUUAGAGGAGAUCAGGGUUAAAUUAAUGACUAUAUGGGCACAAAAUAGGAAACCAGCUCAGAACUAUUCAGGGACAAUCUUACCUAUGAUUAGAAUGAGGUUGGAAAGAAGGUCUAGAUUAACUAGGGAGUGGCGGCCAUAUUGGUCUGCAGCUCAGAAAUAUGAGGUUGUUAAUGGUUUAGAAAAGUUUGCUGUGGAUAUAGGUAUUCAUAAGUGUUCAUGUAGAAGGUGGCAGAUGAGUGGCAUAUCUUGUGUGCAUGCUGUUAGUUGCAUUAAAUUCAAGGGGCUUGACUUGGAAGCUUUUGUGGCCGACUGUUAUAAGAAAGAAGUAUACUUGAAGUGCUACGAGUCAGUCAUACACCCAUUGAAUGGACCUGAUUUCUGGGAGAGGAUAGCUUAUGGUGAUGUUAUGCCACCACCGUAUAGAAGGCCUAGUCACCGGCUAGUGAAAAAGAGAAUAUCAGUUGUUGGGGAGGAAGAACAGAGCAGCCGCACUCACUUGUCAAGAAAGGAGAGAAACAAAGAUGCUCAAUAUGUGGUUUAGUUAGACACAACAAAAGUAGAUGCCCUAAACCUAUUGAAGAGGAGGUAUGAUGAUUUUUUCAUUUUCCUUAAAACUUGUCUGAUGUUUGUCAUAAGCCUAAUAGUCAUCUACUUAAUUUAUAAUUGUCUAUUAGGCCCAACAAUCAAAGAAGCUUAACAAAUGGAAGAAUAAGAAGUCAAGCACCAACUCACAUCCUCCAGCUGCCAAAGGAGAAAGGAAAACUGCAUCUUCACAGCCCACUCCUAAAAUAGAUGUCAAGAGGAAAACUGCUUCAACAAUACAGCCACCAUCUUCAGCCCAGUCCAACUCUGCAACAUAGCCCAAAAGGUCUAGAGGCAGGCCCAGGGGAACCACUAAGCCCAACUAUUCAACCCAACAUGAACCACAGUCCAAGAAGCAUACCAGCCCAAUAAGUUUAGCAUCUUCUUCAUUCUUAACACAGCCAAACACCACAUCCCUUCCAGCAUCUCAGCCACCUAUUUUUACAUCUUCAAGUCAACCUGUUGGACAAUUCUCUAUCAGAAAUUCUGGAGCACCUCAUGUUUCUCCAAAGAAACUGAGGUUAAUGGCAAAGUUGCCUCUAAGAAAAUGAAGAUUACUUUAGAAAAAUUAGACAAUUAGGAGCAUAUUUUGAUAUUUAGAUACAAUGCAUGUGGUCUUAUUUUGAGCUAAGUUAGUCUUAAGCUUUUAGUAACGUCAAUGUAGAUUCUGUUAUCUACUCAGUGUUGGUUAUAUUUUGUUUAUGAGCUACUCAGUGUUGUUCUGAAUUAUUGGCUUGGACCAUUUACCCUUUUGGGAUUUAGACAAGAUUCAAUGGAAUUCCACACGGUUGCCUUACUUUAGAAAAAUUCUGCAAUAGUAAAUACACAAACCCAACCUACUCAAAAAAUUCUAACACAGCAACGACCUUCAGCUUUCAUUCUGCCACUUUCAUUCUUGAUUUCAGUGAAGAAACCUUUCUCCUUAUUCCUGCAAUUUCUAAAUGUUCCACUUCUGUUUUUGGAUCUGUCCAACAAAAGAAGUUGCACCCUUGUUGAACCUAUACAUACCCAACGUGUUCACUCUUCAUUCGAUCACACAAACGACUCAAUUGAAAAUAAAACAAAACCUCAAAAUAGACACAGCUCCAGAAUUUGCAACCAGGAUUCUCCUUUGUCCCUGAAGUUCGCGAUAUCGCCGCUCACCAUGGGAGCAAAGUAGCAGUCUGCUAUGAGAAGAAGAUCGGCUUCGAGAAGAGGUUGAGCUUUGGGAAGUCAUGGAGUUCUCUCUCCAAGAUAUUCACGAUGGUGGAUUCUGCAACAGUGGAUUUCACAUGACUUUACCCUUUUUUUUCCAUUACUUAUAUAUUUAUAAUGUUUUUUUAUUGUCAUAAUUAUCGGAAACAAACAAAAGGGCAUUUAUGUCCGAAAAAAAUUAAAAAGGACGAUUUUAAUACCAAAUAAAACAUUCAGGACGAUUUUAAAUCGAAAACUACGUUAGGGAUGAUUUUGAUUUUGAUCCUAAACUUUAGGAACCAAAACAAUACUUAUCCCAAAACUAAUAGUUUGUAAAUAUUUAGGGAUUAUUGGAGGGUAGAUUUUAUAUUACUUUAUAAAUUAGAGGAUAAAUUUUGUGUCAGUUCCACAAAUUAAAAGGUAAAUUUUACAUUUUAAAAAUUAAAAUAAAUUAAACUUUACAAUUGAAGAAUCAAAUUUGUGAUCUUCAAUAAAAAAACACACCAAAUUUUACACAUUAUUUAAACAAAAAUUAUUAUAAAAAGAUGUUUUUAGUAUUUUUAUUGGAAUAUUUGUCUUAUUUAAAAAUACUACUAUAAAGGCAAUAUUACAGUGAAGAAAGUGAUUUUUUUUUCCUCACCUACUGAAAUGUGUUGGAAGAGAGAGAACACGUGAAAUGUUGGUUCUUUCUUGUCCGGCAAGUACUGUGGUAUUUGCAAAACGAUAUAAAAUGUACUGUAGUUUAUUAAUUAGAGUUAAUUUUGUAUAUAAUAAUAAUUUUUUAGCUCAUUUUUUAAAUAAAAAAUAGUAUUAGUUUCAAAAUUUUAUGGAACUAUUAUUUUGUUAUGGUAUUUUUGUAAUAAUUCUUAUUAUUAAUUUUUUUUGUUAGUUCCACAUAUUCAUAAAAAAGAAAAAAAAUGAGCUUCUAUAACUUAAAUUUGGCCCACAUUUCAUAUCACUCUACAAAUGUCACAAUACUUAUGAGAUAAUAUGGGACUAACAUUCUAGGUGUUUCCUUUUCCUUCCUCCAGUUGAGGAAAAAAAUCACUUUUCUCACCAUAGCAUUGGCCUUAUUAUAAAUUUAGGAUUUUGAUCCUUUAAAUUUUGAAUUUUAUUUUAGAGAAUAAAAUAUGAUUUCUCACCCUUAAAUAGUUUCUCUUUCAUAUUUUCUUUUGGUCCUACCUAUAAAAUAAAUGGUGAGAGAUCAAACUUUAUUCUCUAAAUUGAAAUUAAAAUUUAGAGGAUCCAAAUUUCAAAUCUAUAAAUCUAAUAUCAAAAUUAAAAAGCGUGAGUUCCAACUUCCAACACUGCAAAACCAUCGUCACCAGUAUAAAUAAAUAAAUGAAACGAACCAAAACGGGGGCGGAAAAGAACACAGGAAAAUGCUUUAAUUGAAAUCGAAGCUAGCUAGCAGUAAAAAUCUCAUCUCUACAGUCACAGAGAGAGAGAGAGAGAGAGAUGGCGACUGCAAUAGCUAUAGCACAUUUUUGUCCAGGAAGAGGCUUAACUCUUUCUUGCUACAAAAGAAACCGUUUCCACCUUCAUCAUCUUCAUUUUUCUUCUACUUCUCUCUCCCAUGCUGUCUUCUCCAGAGGUAAAGUUUACAACUUUUUGCUAAUUAACCAUCACCCAUCAAAUUGUUGAUUCUGUUUCUCAACUCUCUCUGGAUCAAAAUCACUCAUUUGUAGGUUACUUGUCAACUGAGAUGUUUACAAGGCCAAAAGUUCACCCCAUUAUUUGCAUGGCCAAAAGAUACGCACCAAACACCACAAAGAGAAAGGUAAACAAACUGGUUUUAUUCCAACCAAUCCCAUCCAAAGUUUUAUGAGAAACUUGAUCAGUGAUUUUCUAAUCUGAAAUGUUAUUGUUGGGCAGAGAUUGAGUAGAAAGAGGGGAGGUGACCCUGACAAGAAGAGACACAGGAGAAGGAAGGGGUCCAAGAAGAAGCUUUUCAAGAUCAUCAGGCUUGUCUCAGCAGCUGGGACUGGAUUCUUCUAUGCCAAGAAGAAGAGCAGGAGGAUUCACAAGAUUGAUCUCAAGAAAUAUGAUCCAAAGGUGAAGCUCCAUGUCCUCUUCACAGAAGCCAAAUGAUAUGUAACAUGCCACUUUUGCUUUUGGGCUUUAAUCAUCGUAUUAGUACUAAAAGAUGGCUGUUCUUCGAAUUCAUCUUGAAAAUUUUUAUUAAUUAAACUGUUCAAAGAUUAUAAAUUAAUUAUGUUUGGUUUUUAGUCACCAAAAAGAAAAAAAUCAUGUUUGUUUUUCUGUUAAUGAUGCAGAAUCUUAACUGAUAGCAUGCAUACAUGACAUCUAGUAUGUCUAAUUAGACUCACCCUGAUAUGUUUAUAAAAAUCUAUUAAUUUAAUGGAUAUGCUAUAUUGGAAUUAAGAUUUAUAUAUUUGGAAAAAGAGAUUAAAAAUGUGCAACCUACAAAUUCUUCCUGAAACAAUGAGCUCAAACAGAUAUAAAUUAUGGAUUACCAAAUUAUGUCUUUCACAAUCUGAUAAUGUUGAUAAAUCAAAUUUCAGAUGCAUUCAUGUUUUAACAAAGGAAUGCAGAGAGAACUAGCUUUGCUCUGAUAAGAUUCCUCACAAAUGUCUUAAUAACAUGACUUGAAUGUUUCAAGUUUCGAUUUUGUUUCAACUUUUGUGCCAAAUCAAAGGUCCUAUGAGUGGCUAUACACAGCGAGAAAAAUAUGCUGUUAGAAGCUGCAAGAGUUUUCUUUUCUCUUUUCCUGGGUCAACCAUCAAAGCAUAAGAACGUGAUAUUGUUUCUCAUUUAGCCAUUUAGUUCAUUUUUAUUAACCCAAUCAAGUAGUACUGUCACAUUUAUUUAUUUUGAACCAAAAUUAGGAUUGAUUUACACACUUGCAAGAAUAAAAAUCUCAUUAUUAUUUGAAUAAUACCCCAAAUUAAUCGUUAAAGAAUUUAGUUAGACAAUUUAAUUUUUAACAGCUUCUAAUCACCAAACCAGUCUCUAAUAUUUUAUUUUAUUAGACAAAUCAAUUUGACAUAAUAGUCUUUAGGAACUUUUAAAUUUAGGUCAAUCUUUCCCAUGUAAAAAUUAAUUUAUCUAAAAAUUUAAAAACUAAUUUGGUAAUUAAAAUUUAUUGAAAACUAAAUUGUCCGAGUAAAAACAAACAAUGUGAUGUAAAUACUCUUAGUAUUUCGAUCGUGAUCACAUAAUGUCAAAAGAAAUAUAGGUCUAUAAACAUUUCGAAACUCAAAACCCACUCUAAAUUUGUAAAAUCUAGAUUUGAGCAAACUAAUUACAGUUUAAUCUAGUGAUCUAGAGAAAAAGAAAAAGAAAAAAGAGAUUGUGUUUUCAAUUUCCUACUUUGAAUGUUGAAAAUAAUCGGUUUUUAUAAGUAACAGGAAAUGACAGUUUAAGCUUUAAACAAGGGUGACUAGAACUCUAUUCCAAGCCUUAUCAAAUAAAAACCCUUUCUACAUUCAUUUGUUUCUACAUAUUUCACUUUGAUAAUCCAUCCAUAUAUAGAUUCAAACUCAAGGAUGAAAAGAAACUCAGCAUCAUAAAGGCAGUAUCACAACACAGAACAUAGAAGAUAGAAGUGAACUUGAAAAUUGGGGGCAUAAACAGUCGGUGAAUAACCAUACAUGAAGAAAGAAAAAUCCUGCUCUCACUAAAACAUUUAACAGCUCUCCACAUGGCAACAUAUUUGUACAGUCGCAUCGAUCUCGCCAACUCGUAAAAACUACCCUCACCGAUUUAUAGAAUUUACAUCAUCCUUGACUUGCUGGCUGGCUUGUAUCGUCAUUUUAUCUCCUCUGCAUGAGCAUCAGGUAUGUGCGCGCGCGCCGCGCCGCACCUUACACGUACCCGAUACUCCAACUCACUUAAAUUCUACGUAUAAACUUAGAACUACAAAAUGUACAGUUCAUUACAACCGAUAAUUUUAUUUUUAAAUAUAGACAGAGGCAACCAUACCCUCUGGGUGCAGGUAGAAAAUGAGAGAGAGAGAGAAUGGGAGAAGCUCACACUAGCCUCAGUUAGCUGUACAAACAACAUACUUGUUCUAUGCCCAACUAAGCAGCAGGAUGAGGAGACUGUGCAGCAAUUCUCCUUUCUGCAAGAAACCGAAAGAUCGUUUAUGUUUAGCAAUGCUUGCAUGCACACGGAUAACUCAGCGCGAAACUUGCACCUAAAUGCACACAGUGUACAAGAUUUCGUACCUCCGGCGGCAACAAGUUUCUCUACACGGGCAACAAUAUGCUUUCCGUAGGUGUACUUCUUCAGUGCAUUUAAAUGGACUUUAAUUCGCGAAAGGAUUAGCUCACGCUGUUGGUCAUCGCAAGUCUCGAGCACCUUUUGCACGACAUAAUUUGCAAAUUGAUCUUUCAUCAUUGCCUGUAUUAUACAAAAAGAAAUAAGAUCAUAUCAGUAUCAAGAAUGGCAAAAUAGAAUAACACUUUUGUGAUCAAAGUUCAAAUACCAAAAAUGUCAAGGCUCAUCAUUCUUUUACAAACAAUAUAACAUUCAAUCCAUUGUGAAAAAUUAUUUUAAAAAGAUAUUCCCAGGUCAACAACAACAAAGCUUGUCCUACUAGGUGGGACCCAACUGGAUGGAUAAAUAGGCAAGAUAUUCGACAGACUGGCCUCCUCACAAUCUUAUUAGAACAUAAUUCAAACAUUCCAUAACAUAACACGAAUAAUAUCACAUUUAAGCAAACUUGACUAAGCGAGCAAAACAUCUGCAUUCCUCAAUAAACAAAACAUACAUCUCAUCAUAUGCAACUUGCUUCGAACAAAGGGAAGUUGGUAAUUGGAAUUGGAACUAAAAUUUAAGACAAACCUGAAGAGGCUCAUUUUCAUCUGUUGAUCCAAGCAUCUCAUUCACAAGUAAUUGGCGUUCAGAAGGACCUCCAAAGGUCAAACACUUCUCAACAACGUUUGAGGCAAACUUCUGUUGACUCAUUUGAACUAUCUUGCCUGCUAAUUCUUUGAUAAUGGCUGAACGCUCAUCAGGCUUCCCAUGUUCUAGUACAUGCUGUUUUAUGAGAGACGAUGAAACAAAAAGGAGAUUAAGCGACAGGUCCGAUAAAAUGAUAUGUGAAUAUAAUUUCAAGUAUUAAAACAGUUGAACACAAUAAUGGUGGAGCAGGGACUAGAAGGCAACAUGCCAAAGAUCCAUCAAUGAUUGUAGCAAAAGGAGUCCCAAAUUCUAAGUAAUCAGAAUAAAUAAUAAACCUGGACGACGUAGUUUCCAUACUGAUCUUGCGCUAACAUGCUAACAGCACCUAAAAUCUCAUCCAUAACUUUCUGUUGUGUAUUAGGGUCAUUGCAGUGCUCCAGUACUCUCUGCCACGUGAAAGAGAUAAUUAAACGUUCAAUGAUCUUAAGGGCUUCAAGAAAGGAGUAACAUUAGCGGCCAAGAAUUCCUACCUGUAUCACCCGACAGCCAUAUGGGUGGGUUGAUAAUGCCACAACUUGACCAAAAAAGGUUGAGACAAUAAAGUUGAUUGCAUCCUCAGGGACACAUUCUAUACACUUCUGAAUGACAUGAUUACCAUUUUGAUCUCGAACACAGCGCAUGACAUUACCAUCAAGCUCUUGAACCAUUUUUAUCUUUUGGUCUAAAUCAACAACCUCUAUAGCCUAAGGCAGGAUACAUAAAGAACAAAAGCCAAAAGAGAAAAAGAUUAAUAUACAAAAUACUAAGAAAACAGAGCCACAAAUAGAAAUAUCAGCUAAUGCACUAAAAUUGGCUAAUACCUUUUGGAUGACCCGACAACCAUACAUUUGAAGGCUGAGACUCAGAACAUUACCAAAAAGCUUGUUGGCCAAUUCUCUUCUCUGGGAUGCAAGUCCAUGCUCAAAAAACUGCAAGAUAUCAAUUGUCACUCACAAGAUGUGACAAAGAAUCAAUCGGAGUGUCCAGCAAAAAUAUAGAAGGUAAUAGUUACCUUUUGAACAACAUAGUUACCAAAGACAUCAGUCAUCAAAUUAACAGCUUGUGGCAUGAUUUCCUGAUAAACCAUGUUUUUUUCUUCUGUAGUAGCUGUUUCAAGCUUUUGUUGAAUAAAUCGGCUCCCAUAUUGAUCAGCACUGUCCAUGAGAGCAAAUUCAUUAAAUGAAAUUCUUCAGAAGGUCAAAACAAAAUUACGCAUGAUAAAAAUUAACAUAAAAAUAAGGGCAUACCUGAAGUCGACGACAUGACCAGCAAUUUCAGCAAGCUCAAAACACUUGGUUUUAUUGCUUUUAAACUCUUCCAACAAAGAAGCAGCAAUGCUUUCAUCCACGUUUCCAGCAUCCAGAUGCCAACCUCCCAUGACCCCAGUUAAAUUCCUUAUUCCAGAUGCAAAGCGCAUAUUUAGGUCAUUGUGUCUAAUAGGACUGCCAGAUCCAACAGGAGAAUUGGAUAAAGAAUUUGCUAGUGGACUUCCAGGGUAAGACAAGCCGACACCAUAUGGAGAAUUUCCAUAAUAACCAUGAUGAUUAGAACCACCAGACUUGCCACCCAGUGGAACAUUAUAUUGCGACUUCGGUGGAGAAAGCACCGUCCCAAGAUAAGCUUUCUGAAGCUCAAGCAUAUUCACGUAAGAGUUACCUAAGUAGUUCCUGUCCAUAGAGGGGUCAUUAAGAGCAGCAAGUUGUGCUGCCGCAUAAUCAGAUGUCCUCAUGUACUGAAGAUACCCGGGAUCAAUGAAAGGAGACUGCAGAGCACCACCUGCAAUUUGAUUUCCAAGCCGACCAUGACUAUGCACAUCAGCUGGGGUGGCAACUCCAGAAGGCAAACCACCUCCAAGAAUUCUCGAGUCCAUUCCAGGGGCUCCCAUUGCUGAAGCUGCAGCAACGUUUUCAAGAAGGGGUGGCAGAUUAGCAGUUCCAAGUUGAUUAGCCAUCAAGGAAGCCAGUGCAGGAUUUCCAGCAUACCCACUCAUGCUGUAGUUGGUAAAUGAUGGAUUUGUACCAUCCAAGGGCUGGUAUUGAACUGGCAUACCACCACUAGAACUAAAAGGGGAAGUAGGUGAUCCCUUGAAAUAUGACUUAUUGGAAGGAACACCAGAUUUCUGUUGAUCAAUUUGCCUAUCAAAGGCCAGACUGUUGAUGUCUGAUCCAGUCACACUGCUCUUAACUGACUCAGAGUAGGAUGAUUUCUGCAAGUGCCCGGAUUCAGACUUUUUAAAAUAUGCAUGCUGCUUGCCAUGAUCCUGGCCACCUUGCAUACCGAAAAGAUAUCUCCGAUGAUUAUCAACCUCUGACUCAACUUGUGAUUGGAAAUGGUUAUCACCAUCUAGCACAUCAUCUGCUGACAAGUUCAUGCCAGAUAGUGCAGCCACAAUAUCAGCAGACUCAUUCCCAGUGGAAACACCAUUAUAUGCAUCAGGACUUGUAAUGCCUCUCUUCUCAGCAGCGGCAACUCUCCCGCCACCGAUAGGCGUGGGGCAUGGACUGGGAGCCCUAGCUAGAUGCUGCGGAUCAGGAGUAGUGCUUCGUGACAUGGAAGAACCUAGUGCAGCAGCAUAAGUAUAUGAAGAUUGAGAGCCAAUAUUUUGGACGCAAGAUGACCCCUGAAGAUUUGAUCCUGGUCUUAAAGCAUCAGCGGCAGAAGAAUCACGCCGUAAAUGAGCAAGUUCUGCUUCAGCAGCACUUAUGGUAUCAGCAUUCUCAUCGUAUGCAUUACGGCUGGCUGGACGAGAAGGAAAGCCACUAACAGGUGUGCUGCGUCCCAUAUCAUCCUGGAGAAUUACAAACCAUAAAUGACCAAGUAGAAGAAAAAGUGUGCAGAAACAAAAUAGAACAGAUCAAAUCAUACACACACAUUACAAAUAUGUCAAAAAGAUAAUUUCUUUGCAACUGUUGAGUGUGAAUGAUAACCGAAAAAAUGACAUUAACUCAUCUUAUUCAAUACCGUAUGAAGUCUAAUAAAUUUAAUGUGCCCAUAAUAUUUUGAAGUAAACGUAGCAAAUAAACUAUAUAGAGUAAGGUAAAGAACUAUCAGUACCAAUCUGAAUCUAAUGCAUGUCCACAACUUGUGUACAAACCAGAAGGAACAGAACAUCAGUAGAACUGGAACAAAAACAAAAUGCAUUUUUUGAAGUUCAGACAAUAUGUCAUGCUGCCAUCUUAAACACCACAAGCACUAUAAAUAACAUUGCACAAGCGCACCGAGAAAUUUUGCGUUUAAAUGAUCAGACUUAAAUUCUUAACGACAUACAUAGUAUAACUGAUAUCAGAGUUUUUACAAAAUCCAUUAAGAAAAAAAUUGAUUGUUCAAGUCGAGUCUUGCAGCUACAAUAAACCAAAUAUAUACACUUUGGUAAUGAAUCACAUGCUCAACAAUUACAAGAGCAUGGGCCUUCUUAUCUAUAUAGACCUAAUACUUAAUAACAGAACCCGAAGAGCUUAAUCAAAGAGAAAUAACAGAAAAAUAACAGCUUGAGAAUGGGGGAAACUAAUACACAAACUGAUUUAAAAUCAAAUAUGAAUCUAGGGGUUGAGAAGAUACCUGAAAAAUUUCUGCAAGGCUCUUCUGUUUGGUCCCAAGUCCCAGACCAGGCAAACCAAUGAGUCCAUCACCACCCCACUCAGAAGAGCCUCCCAUUUUUUCGUUAUCCACCUCAUUUUCUUGUUUCCUUAAGUUAAAACCCGGUGGUGUUGCAAGCAAAGAUCUACCGCCAUUAUCAUCAGUCCUGUUCACUUUCCUCCUAUCUCCAAUUCCGCCCAGAGCAGAAGCUCCACUUUUUAGCCUCUGUGAGAACCUCCAAUCUUCCUUUGACAGCAAAGGAGGCGGAAGCCGAGGAUUCAAAUUAACAUUUGAAUAGUAGUAAGAUAGAUAAGCUGGAUCAGACCUCAUCUCUUCCUCGGAAGCAAAACCAUUACCAUUCUUAGCUCUGGAAAACUCCGAAAAGGCUGCAGCAGCAGAAGCACCCCCCACACCUGCGCCUGCACCACCGCUACUACUGCCGCCAAAUAACCCUCCAACAGCACUCAGAGAACCCUCAACAGUUGGAGGUGCCGAUCCACUUCUGUACAAAUUGAGCUCCCUCUCGCGAUCAUGAGCCUCUUGUCUUCUUUGUUCACGAAGCAACAUUCCAAUCUCUUUUUCUAAGUCAUCACCAAAUGAACCCUCGUUACCACCAAGCAUCGGCCUCCUUCCCAAUUCAGAUAACAUUUUAUUUCAUAAACCCAAAUUGAUCAUCCACAACCCUUCACCAAUCUAAUACUGAUCACUACCAUAAACCUUAAACCAAAAACUAAAUCACCAACAAUCUCAAAAAUCUAAUCUUUUCUCGUAACAAAACAUAAUCUUGUAUUUACAACUUAUGGGAGUGGUACCUUACAAGUUAUAACUACUAACUUGAAAAGCAAAAUAAAAAUGUAAGAAAACUGCACCGGUCAUUCAGGGAGCUGAAACUCUAAAUAGCUGAAGAAUCAAUCAGGAAACUGCAUAAUUUAAUUUAAGCUUCCAUGAGUUAGGUGCCCAUGAUCACUGAGUACGAAUUUGUAGGGUAUGUUGUUCAAUACCUAAUCUAAAGGGAACAAAAUAAACGUGAGAAAUGAAAGGGAGAGGAGCAAGAACAGUUAGAAAAUAAUGAGAGUGGCGAUGUUAAGAGGUGAAUCCGGCGGCGAUUGGUUCUUACAAGAACCCUUAGGGUUUUGUUCUAUUUCGAGGAGGAUUAAAUACAAUCAUAAUGGCAAACCCAACCCAAAUUUAUUAGUUUUUAAUUUUUCUUCUGGAAGAAUUUGGGAAAAGUUUCUAUUUUUACCCAAACCAAACCGAAAUGAGAAAUGUAAGGCUGUAUAUGUAUAAUUAUCAUAACUUUUAAAUCAAAAGUAUAUUAAUUAGUUAAAUCUAAUAAUAUAUAUAUAUAUAUAUAUCACAUAAUUUUGAGAAAAAUNNNNNNNNNNNNNNNNNNNNNNNNNNNNNNNNNNNNNNNNNNNNNNNNNNNNNNNNNNNNNNNNNNNNNNNNNNNNNNNNNNNNNNNNNNNNNNNNNNNNNNNNNNNNNNNNNNNNNNNNNNNNNNNNNNNNNNNNNNNNNNNNNNNNNNNNNNNNNNNNNNNNNNNNNNNNNNNNNNNNNNNNNNNNNNNNNNNNNNNNNNNNNNNNNNNNNNNNNNNNNNNNNNNNNNNNNNNNNNNNNNNNNNNNNNNNNNNNNNNNNNNNNNNNNNNNNNNNNNNNNNNNNNNNNNNNNNNNNNNNNNNNNNNNNNNNNNNNNNNNNNNNNNNNNNNNNNNNNNNNNNNNNNNNNNNNNNNNNNNNNNNNNNNNNNNNNNNNNNNNNNNNNNNNNNNNNNNNNNNNNNNNNNNNNNNNNNNNNNNNNNNNNNNNNNNNNNNNNNNNNNNNNNNNNNNNNNNNNNNNNNNNNNNNNNNNNNNNNNNNNNNNNNNNNNNNNNNNNNNNNNNNNNNNNNNNNNNNNNNNNNNNNNNNNNNNNNNNNNNNNNNNNNNNNNNNNNNNNNNNNNNNNNNNNNNNNNNNNNNNNNNNNNNNNNNNNNNNNNNNNNNNNNNNNNNNNNNNNNNNNNNNNNNNNNNNNNNNNNNNNNNNNNNNNNNNNNNNNNNNNNNNNNNNNNNNNNNNAUGUAGUGAUAUGGGCAUGGCCAUGGUAUAGAGAGAGAGAGAGAGUUGUUUUUGUUUUUCCUUUUUUGGUGGUAAUGUAAAAGAAAAAUCUCUGAGGGACUCUUAAAAGAUUCAUUGGUUGAAUAAAAGUAUAAACUAAAGCAUGAACAUGAAUCCCUGCAUCAAUGAAAAAUGAUUAAAUAUCUCUAACUUGUUAACAAUCUUAAUUGUACAAAUUGAAUCUUAAUGAACAAUUGAAACGCUUAGGGGUGACAAUGGACAGGGUAGGGUAGAGUUUGGAUUCAACCUUAAUUCUAUCUGCGAGUUGAAAUUUUUAUAUAAAUUCAACCCUACUCUACUCGCGGGUUGAGAAUAUCCCAACCCUAACCUUAUACGUUCUUAACUCGCGGGUACCCGACUCUAUCCACCGGUUACAAAAAUAUAUAAUAUUAUUAUAUAACUUGAUGAUAAUUUAAAAUAGAACUUAUUUUUAUGUAAAAAAAAAAGAUAUUAAAUUAUCAAUUAAUGAUUUUUUUAGUAGUUAAGGAUCUUUUGCAUUUAGUGAGAGGUCUUUGGUUCAACAUCCACUUAAAAUAUAUUUUUAUAUAGGUAUAUAAUAUAUGGAGUGCGAGUUGGUUGGGUUGGGUUGAAGCUCAACCCGCACCCUACCCGACCCGCACGAGAAUCCUACCCGCUGCGGAUCGGGUUGACAACCCUAUCUGAUCGGGUGGGGUCGGGUUGAGUACCCGCGAGUAGAGUACAUAUUGCUACCUCUACGCUUAAUGUAGUAAUACAUGUUAUUUAUGUUAUUUGCUAAACUAAUGAUGUUUUAUUAAGAAAAUAAUUUAUCAUAUAUAAUNNNNAAAAAUUAUAUAUUUUAAUUUGUUAGGAUAGUAAAUUAUGUUUUUUAAGAUAAGAAAUAUUUGAUAUGAGGAUAAUUUAAAUAUACAUAGAAAUACAGUACUCUCAUGUAUAUCUUUAUUAGGAUAGAAAAUUAUGCAUUCUAAUUUGUUAGAAUAAUAAAUUAUGCUUUUUAAGAUAAAAAAUAUUUGAUAUAAUUUCAUAUCAAAAAUUGUAUAUAUAUGUGUUCAUAACUAAUAGAAAAACAGGUUAAAUUUUCUACAACUAUAAAAAAAACCUCUCUCACUGAGCCCUAAACAAUAUUGUUAAAACUGAAAAAGGUCGUCGUCGAAAGAUCUCGUGGAUAAAAAGCACAAAAAAAAAGUCAAGAUAGAUGAUCUUUCAAAGGAAGAUGAUAAUAUAAAGAAUAGUAGACAAAAUGUAAAAGAAAUAGACAUACGUUUAGACGAAUUUAAACUCAUGCUAAAAGAUAAUCCUAUAACUAAAGUGCCUCCACCUCAAUCACCAAAAAUCUCGUACAAAGAUUGUUUGGUGGGUGAUGGAUUGGACAAAAUGAACCCGAAAGAAAUUGUAAAUUUUGUGGUAGAAGAUUAUCUUUUGGACAAAAAAAUUUAUGGAGCUGAAAGUGGAAGACGAGACUCUCUUCAAUCCAAAACCAAUUAUUGAAGUUAGCGUAGAAGAGUAUGACGAAUGGUGUAGGUCUUGGACUGAUCAUAAAAUCUCUUUAGUAAAAGAAUUACUUUGCAAAUGAUGGAACAUUAGAUCGUAAGAAAAUGGGGCAAGACUGAAAUAGUAAAAGUGAUGGACCUGGAAGAAGGCUUCUUUUUAGUUCGUUUUGCUAAUAAGGAGGAUUACUCUUAAGCCCUUUUAAAUGGCCUUGGAUGAUCGCUCAUCACUACUUUCUAGUCCAAGGUGGGAGACCUCUAUUUAUCCCUUACGAGAUGAAGUAAAAAAGGUUGCGGUUUGGGUCAGAAUUCCUAAUUUACCUGCGGAGCUCUACAAAAAAUAUUUUCUUGGAAGGUGGAAGGAAUCCUAGGUAGAUGUUUAAAGUGGAUGAGACAACUUCUAUUAAUUCUAUAGGUAAAUUUGUAAGGAUUUAUGUUGAAUUAGAUCUGCGAAGGAAACUGGUUUUCUCUUUCUCAGCUUUGGGUAAAGAUUUUAAAUUGGAGUACGAAGGGCUACAUCAAAUUUGUUUCAAUUAUGGAAGGUAUGGCAACAAAUUUGAUGGUUGUCCAAAAUAACGUUAUUGAAGACAUGUGUGGAAUAAAAAUGACAAAUCUGAUGGUUCACCAUAGCAACGGUAAUGGAAGCAGCGGUGCAUCCAGCAAUGAACAGCGACAACAGGAGAAUCAAGAUAUCUCAAAAGAGAAGCAAAAGAUAGUGGAUAUAAAUCAGGAAAGAACUAUUAAUGAUUUCCUCCUUAAUAAUAAUGAUGGAAAUCAAUUUCUAAUAUUUUUCAUGAGAUGAUAUCAUAUGUGAAAGUUAAAGAAGAAAUUUUUCUGGACCUUGAAUGGUAGUUAAAAAGCUACAUAGAAAAAAUAAAAAGGAAGAGAAAAUACCGUUGCCAAAAAGAAAAAUAUCUUCAACGAAAUUUGAUUCCCUAAAACAUAAGACGAUUCAGGUGAGGACUGGUGCACGAAAUUACAAUCACACUUUUGCAAUUUCACACAACUAACCAGCAAGUGUACUGGGUCGUCCAAGUAAUACUUUACGUGAGUAAGGGUCAAUCCCAUAGAGAUUAUCGGCUUGAAGCAAGCUAUGGUUAUCUUGUAACUCUUAGUCAGGAUAUCAAUAAUUCUCAGAUUUAAUUGUAAAAAGUAAAAGAACAUGAAAUAAAUACUUGUUAUGCAGUAAUGGAGAAUAGGUUGAGGUUUUGGAGAUGCUCUGUCUUCAGAAUCUCUGCUUUCCUACUGUCUUCUUCUUCACACACGCAAGGCUCCUUCCAUGGCAAGCUGUAUGUUGGUGAAUCACCGUUGUCAAUGUCUACCAUCCGUCCUCUCAGUGAAAAUGGUCCAAAUGCGCUGUCACCGCACGGCUAAUCAUCUGUCGGUUCUCACUCAUGCUGGAAUAGGAUCCAUUGAUCCUUUUGCGUCUGUCACUACGCCCAGCACUCGUGAGUUUGAAGCUCGUUACAGUCAUCCCUUCCCAGAUCCUACUUGGAAUACCACAAACAAGAUUUAGACUUUUCGGAUCUCAGGAAUGGCCGCCAAUAAUUCUAGCCUAUACCACGAAGGUUCUAAUCUUAGAUUAGAAACCCAAGAGAUACACAUUCAAACUUGAUUGCAUGUAGAACGGAGGUGGUUGUCAGGCACACGUUCAUAGGUGAGAAUGAUGAUUAGUGUUACGGAUCAUCACAUUCAUCAGGUUGAAGUGCGAAUGAAUAUCUUAAAAUAGAAGCUAGCGUGAUAGAAUGGAAAACAGUAGUAAUUGCAUUAAUUCAUCGAGAUACAGCAGAGCUCCUCACCCCCAACAAUGGGGUUUAGAGACUCAUGCCGUCAGAAAUACAAUAUGAAACGUGUAAAGUGUCAUGAGGUACAAGAUGAAUCAUUAAAAGUAGUUUUUAUAAUAAACUAGUGACCUAGGGUUACAGAAAAUGAGUAAGCUAGAAUAAUUAGUGUAGAAAUCCACUUCCGGGGCCCACUUGGUGUGUGCUUGGGCUGAGCAUUGAAGCUUUCACGUGUAGAGACCUUUCUUGGAGUUAAACGCCAGCUUUUGUGCCAGAUUGGGCGUUUAACUCCAGCUUUUAUGCCAGUUCUGGCGUUUUGACGCCAGAAUUUUUAUGCUGACUUGGAACGCCGGUUUGGGCCAUCAAAUCUCGGACAAAGUAUGAAUUAUUAUAUAUUGCUAAAAAGUCCAGGAUGUCUACUUUCCAAAACAAUUGAGAGUGCGCCAAUUGGGCUUCUGUAGCUCCAGAAAAUCCACUUCGAGUGCAGGGAGGUCAGAAUCCAACAGCAUCUGCAGUCCUUUUUCAGCCUCUGAAUCAGAUUUUUGCUCAGGUCCCUCAAUUUCGGCCAGAAAAUACCUGAAAUCACAGAAAAACACACAAACUCAUAGUAAAGUCCAUAAAUAUGAUUUUUGAAUAAAAACUAACUAAAAUAUACUAAAAAUAUACUAAAAACAAUGCCAAAAAGCGUAUAAAUUAUCCGCUCAUCAAUGACCAUAAUGGCGAUGAAGCUAGCAAAAAUAUGGGAAAUCAGGUUAGUAAUGGAGAAAGCUCCAAAGGUAAUGAUCAUGGAGCCAAAUUCGAUAAUAAUAGAGGGAAACAAAAGUAGGCAGCUAACAAAAACAAAAACAACAAAAUGGUUACCGGCAAGCACAAUGAAAAACCUAAGCAGCAAAAUAACAGACAAAUCCAAUUAGGAGGCCCUAAACAAAUGUAGAAGGAGAAAAAACCAAAUUUAAAAGAAAAAUCAGAGUUUAAUUCAAGUGAAUAUAGAAAGCAGCAGGCAGUAGAUCUCAUGGGGAUCAGUUUUAUAAUAUUGCCAAUAAUAUAAGUAAAGAGAGCCAGAAAGAAAGCCAUAUUUCUCGAAAGGAUAACCAUAAAAAUCAAUGUAAUUUUAGGAAUUAGGACAUCAAAAAAUAAGAUUGGUGGUGAAGGAGGUCAUGGUGUAAGAGAAUAUAAAGACAAACCCCAGAGCAAUAUGAUGUGCAACAAAACAACAUGAUGAUGGAAGAUGAAAAUAAUGCAGAAAAGUGUUUGGGUCUAGAAGGAAGAGAUGGAGUUGAUGCUCCAGAACACAGACCCAUGGAAGCUUAAUUGCUUCUUGAUCUCAGGGUUCAAGGGGUCUUUCUUAUAAUUCUAUUUUUUUCCUUGUUAAUUUUUUAAGUUUUUUAAUGAAUAUCAUCAUUGGGAACAAUAGAGGGGCCUCAGCUAAGGGGAAAAGCUAGAUAUUGUUCUAAGUUUUGCGUUUUACCUAAAGCUCAUGUUUCAGGCGCUAAGGUCAAAGCUGUUAUCAAGAAAAUGGGGUUCAAUUUGUGGUGUCUUAGUGAAGCAGAGAGUUUCUCUAGGGAGAUUUGGUGCCUCUGGAUGAAAGAUAAUUGGAACGUUAAGCCUCAACAGAUUCACAAACAGUUCAUCCAUCUUGAAAUGUAGUAUGAGAACACGAAUUCAUAGUUCUUCGCAACCAUUUAUAUAAGCCCUCAAGCAAGUCGAAGAUUUGAUCUUUGGAAUAAUUUAGAGAACAUAGCUUCUGCUAUUCAUGGGGCUUGGUGUUUGGAUGGAGACUUCAACUCUAUCCUCUGUCUCUCAAUGACUCAUGGGGUUCUUCUAACCUUUUUCAAAAUACAUAUAAAUUUGUAGAUAUCAUUAAUAAUUGUGAUCAAACUGACCUUGGCUUUUCUGGUCCCCUUUUUACGUAGCAAGUAGGGAUGCAUACAGAUCAGAUCGGAUCCAAUAUCCGCAUAUUUUAACCUUGGAUCCGAUUCGAUUCGCACAUGGGCGGAUCGGAUCGGAUCGGGUAUCGGAUAUAUCCAAUUAAAAAAGUUAUUUCUAAGAAUUAAAAAAGUUUGAAAAAAUCUCUUAAAGAACCAGAAUCAUUAUUCAAACAACAGCAGAGAAGAUUCAACAACAGAAAUUUUAUAAAUAAUAGUACCAAUUCAAAAUAAUAACAAGAGAACCAAAAUUUUCUAAUAGCAAUACAUCUAAAUUUAAUAGCUAAUAGAAUCCAAAUUUAAAACAAAAAAAUUAAACUAAAAGCCAAAACCCAUAAUUUAAAGAAGUAGAACCCAGAACUUAAUGAAAACAGAAACAGAAUCAAAAUCCAGAAGAAAGUGCACAAGCAGAAGCCAAAAGAAACAGAAGCUAGAAGAAGCAGAUGUAGAAGCAGAAACCAGAAGUAGAAGCCCGAAGAAGAACGGCGAGGACAAACCUCGAUGAACAUUGAAACUUAGGCAAUUAAUAGAGUUGAGGAAGAGAGCGGCAAGAAGGCGAGCGACAUGGAGAGGACUAGGCGGCGCAGAGAACAGGGAAAGAAGAACAGAUGGACCGAGGAAGAGAAGACUGGGAGAUCUAAGACGUCUUGCGGCACAAUUAUCAUGGGAUUAGUUUGUAUGUGCCGUUAUUGUUAUUUCUACUAUCUCAUAUAUAUUGUUCGUACUCAUAUCAUUAUUAUGCAAAACCUGGUGAAAAGGAGAAUAGACAUUCUCAAGGUGUCACUCCCCAACUAACCAUAGAUCUAAAAUUCAGAUAUUCGAAUCAGAAAUGUGAACAUAAUCCGUCUCAUUACAUAGCUACCCCCUCUUUCCUCCAUUUAGAAAACCAAAAGUUUUGGUCCAAAUUUCCAAUGCACCAAUCAAAACCAUCCUUCAAAAUAUCCCAUAGCAUUCUCUCUUACAACCCUGAUGUGCAAGCGGGUUCAGUGGUAGGAUGGACUUGGUCCGGUAGGGCGGUUAAGGUUUAUGAUGUCAGUAAUAGAUACUUAUGGCUCUGCAAGGAGAUGUUUGAAUGGGAGGAGAGAGGGAAUUAACUUUGGAUUUGGCGUCAACUUGUUCCAGAAAAGAUCAAAUUCUUGGUUUGGCUUUGUGUGCGAGAGGCACUGCCCACUGCUAUUUUUCAUCUCAGGAGAGACCUUUCACCUACAGAUAGUUGUCCCAGUUGCUUAAUGGUGCGCGAAAUUGUUACUCUGAGGUUGUAAAAUUUGUUGUUCGUUCUCUCCCUGGUAAUGGCGCCAACAAACUGGUGCACAAUACCAUGGUCCAAGCAUAACUUCACAACUUCGCACAACUAACCAGCAAGUGCACUGGGUCGUCCAAGUUAGAAACUCUACCGUUUGAAGAUACAUAAGUGAAAUUUUCAAGUAUGGCCGAAUGGCCAGCCCCCAUGAUCUAAGAACCAGACGUCCCAAGAUGCCUAAUACAAUAGUAAAAGGUCCUAUUUAUACUAAACUAGUUACUAGGGUUUACAGAAGUAAGUAAUUGAUGCAUAAAUCCACUUCCGGGGCCCACUUGGUGUGUGCUUGGGCUGAGCUUGAAUGUUACACAUGCAGAGGCUCUCUCUGGAGUUGAACGCCAGGUUGUAACGUGUUUCUGGCGUUCAACUCUGGUUCGUGACAUGUUUCUGGCGUUUAACUCCAGACUGCAGCGUAGAACUGGCGUUCAACGCCCUUUUACGUCAUCUAACCUCGGCCAAAGUAUGAACUAUUAUAUAUUGUUGAAAAGCCCUAGAUGUCUACUUUCCAACGCAAUUGGAAGCGCGCCAUUUUGAGUUCUGUAGCUCCAGAAAAUCCACUUUGAGUGUAGGGAGGUCAGAAUCCAACAGCAUCAGCAGUCCUUCUUCAACUUCUGAAUCUGAUUUCUGCUCAAGUCCCUCAAUUUCAGCCAGAAAAUACCUGAAAUCAUAGAAAAACACACAAACUCAUAGUAAAGUCCAGAAAUGUGAAUUUAACAUAAAAACUAAUAAAAACAUCCCUAAAAGUAACUAGAUCCUACUAAAAACAUACUAAAAAUAAUGCCAAAAAGCGUAUAAAUUAUCCGCUCAUCACAACACCAAACUUAAAUUGUUGCUUGUCCCCAAGUAAUUGAAAAUCAAAUAGGAUAAAAAGAAGAGAAUAUACUAUAAAUUCCAAACUAUCAAUAAAACAUAGCUCCAAUCAGAUGAGUGGGACUUGUAGCUUUUUGCCUCUUGAAUAGUUUUGGCAUCUUACUUUAUCCAUUGAGGUUCAGAAUAAUUGGCAUCUAUAGGAACUCAGAGUUUAGAUAGUGUUAUUGAUUCUCCUAGUUCAGUAUGUUGAUUCUUGAACACAGCUACUUUAUGAGUCUUGGUCGUGGCCCUAAGCACUUUGUUUUCCAGUAUUACCACCGGAUACAUAAAUGCCACAGACACAUAAUUGGGUGAACCUUUUCAGAUUGUGACUUAGCUUUGCAAAGUCCCCAAUUAGAGGGGUCUAGGGUUCUUAAGCACACUCUUCUUUUGCUUUGGACCUUGACUUUAACCGCUCAGUCUCAAGUUUUCACUUGACACCUUCACGCCACAAGCACAUGGUUAGGGACAGUUUGGUUUAGCCGCUUAGGCCAGGAUUUUAUUCCUUUAGGCCCUCCUAUCCACUGAUGCUCAAAGCCUUGGGAUCCUUUUUAUUUACCCUUGCCUCUUGGUUUUAAGAGCUUUUGGCUUUUUCUGCUUGCUUUUUAUUUUUAUUUUUUUCGCCUAUAUUUUUUUUUUCUGCAAGCUUUUGUAUUCACUGCUUUUUCUUGCUUCAAGAAUCAUUUUUAUGAUUUUUUAGAUUAUCAAAUCAUAUGUCUCCUUGUCAGAGGAACCAAUGAUGUCCUUGAGCUCUUCUAUGUCUCUUCAUUGUCUUUAUUGCUCCUCCCUCAUUGCUUUUUGAUCUUCUCUAAUUUCAUGAAGGAUGAUGGAGUGCUCUUGAUGUUCCACCUUUAGUUGUCCCAUGUUGGAACUUAAUUCUCCUAGGGAGGUGUUGAUUUGCUCCCAAUAGUUUUGUGGAGGAAGAUGCAUUUGAGGCAUCUCCGGGAUCUCAUGGUGAUGAGCUUCAUGCGUUUCUUGAGAUCCAUGAAUGGGAUCUCUUGUUUGCUUCAUCCUUUUCUUAGUGAUGGGCUUCUCUUCCUCAAUGGGAAUGUCUCCUUCUAUGAAAGCUUCAGCUGAGUAACAUAGAUGGCAAAUAAGAUGAGGGAAAGCUAGCCUUGCCAAGGGAGAGGACUUUUCGGCUAUUUUGUAGAGUUCAAGGGAGAUGACUUCAUGAACUUCUACUUCCUCACCAGUCAUGAUGCUAUGAAUCAUGAUGGCCCGAUCCACAGUAACUUCAGAUCGGUUGCUAGUGGGGAUGAUGGAGCGUUGGAUGAACUCCAACCAUCCUCUAGCCACAGGCUUAAGGUCCAGUCUUCUAAAUUGAACCGGUUUGCCUUUUGAGUCAAUCUUCCAUUGAGCUCCUUCCACACAUAUGUCCAUGAGGACUUGGUCAAACCUUUGAUUAAAGUUGACCCUUCUAGUGUAGGGGCGUGCAUCUCCUUGCAUCAUGGGCAAGUUAAACGCCAACCUCACGUUUUCCGGACUAAAAUCUAAGUAUUUCCCCCGAACCAUGGUGAGAUAAUUUUUUGGGUUCGGGUUCUUACUUUGAUCAUGGUUCCUAGUGAUCCAUGCAUUGGCAUAGAACUCUUGAACCAUUAGGAUGCCGACUUGUUGGAUGGGGUUUGUUAGAACUUCCCAACCUCUUCUUUGGAUUUCAUGUUGGAUCUCCAGAUACUCAUUUCUCUUGAGCUUGAAAGGGACCUCGGGGAUCACCUUCUUCUUGGCCACAACAUCAUAGAAGUGGUCUUGAUGAGCUUUGGAGAUGAAUCUUUCCAUCUCCCAUGACUCGGAGGUGGAAGCUUUUGUCUUUCCUUUUUCCUUUUCUAGAGGAUUCUCCGGUCUUAGGUGCCAUCAAUGGUAAUGGAAAAACAAAAAACUUAUGCUUUUACCGCACCAAACUUAGAAUAUUGCUCGCCCUCGAGCAAGAGAAGAAAUAAUAGAUGAAGAAGAAGAAGAAAUGGAGGAGAGGGAGAGAGAGAUGUGUUUCAGCCAAGAAGAGGAGGAGAGGGUUGUGUUGUGUGAAAAUGAAGAAGAAUGGAGGGCUUUAUAUAGGGAAGGGAGGGGGGUUAAGGUUCGGCCAUAUAGGGUGGGUUUGGGUGGGAAAUUGGUUUUCAAUUUUGAAGGUAGGUGGAGUUUAUGGGGAAGAGUGGAUGGAUGUGAGUGGUGAAGUGGUGAUAGGGAAGAGAGAUUGAGGUGAUUGGUGAAGAGUUUUGGGGAAGAGUGUUUAUUGGGAAGAGAGGAUGUGGGGUCCACAUAUGCUGAGGUGUCAAGGAAUUGCAUCCCUGCACCAAUUAGGCAUGUAAAAUGCCUUUGCAUGCAAUUCUGGCGUUUAAACGCCGAAUUGAUGCUUGUUCUGGGCGUUCAGCGCCCAGAUGCAGCAUAUUUCUGGCGUUGAACGCCAGUUCUAUGCUUGUUUCUGACGUUCAGCGCCAGCUUUUCUCACUGUGCAUUUCUGGCGUCUGAACGCCAGGAUGCUGCUUGUUUCUGGCGUUCAACGCUAGAUCCAUGCUCUGUUCUGGUGUUGAACGCCAGCCAGAUGCUCCUUACUGGCGUUUAAACGCCAGUAAGAUCCUCCUCCAGGGUGUGAUUUUUUUUCUGCUGUUUUUGAUUCCGUUUCAAUUUUUAUAUUUAUUUUGUGACUCCACAUGAUCAUGAACCUAAUAAAACAUGAAAUAACAAUAAAAAUAAAUUAAAAUUAGAUAAAUAAAAAUUGGGUUGCCUCCCAACAAGCGCUUCUUUAAUGUCAAUAGCUUGACAGUGGGCUCUCAUGGAGCCUCACAGAUGUUCAGAGCAUUGUUGAGACUUCCCAACACCAAACUUAGAGUUUGGAUAUGGGAAUUCAACACCAAACUUAGAGUUUAGUUGAGGCCUUCCAACACCAAACUUAGAGUUUGACUGUGGGAGCUCUAGUUGACUCUAUUUUGAGAGAAGCUUACUGUGCCUCUUUUUCAUGUUUACAGAAGGAUGUCCUUGAGUUUUAAACUCAAGGGAGUCCUCAUUCAAUUGAAGGACUAGUUCACCUCUGUUAACAUCAAUUACAGCUCUUGCUGUGGCUAGGAAGGGUCUUCCAAGAAUGAUGGAUUCAUCCUCAUCCUUCCAGUAUCUAGGAUUAUGAAAUCAGCAGGGAUGUAAAGGCCUUCAACCUUUACUAAUAUGUCCUCUACUUGUCCAUAAGCCUGUUUUCUGGAGUUGUCUGCCAUCUCUAAUGAGAUUCUGGUAGCUUGCACCUCAAAGAUUCCCAGUUUCUCCAUUACAGAGAGGGGCAUGAGGUUUAUCCCUGACCCAAGGUCACAUAGAGCCUUCUCAAAGGUCAUGGUGCCUAUGGUACAAGGUAUUAGGAAUCUUCCAGGAUCCUGUUUCUUCUGAGGCAAUCUCAGUUGAUCCAAUGCAUUUAAUUCAUUGGUAAACAGGGGAGGUUCAUCUCCCCAAGUNNNNNNNNUCCCAGGAGGUCUUCCUCCUUGGGAUUCACGUUCUCCUCCUCUUUUGUGGUUUCGGCCAUGAUGGUCAUUUCAAUGGCCUUGCACUCUCCUUUUGGAUUUUCUUCUGUAUUGCUUGGGAGAGUAUUAGGAGGGAUUUCAAUAAUCUUUUUACUCAGCUGGCCCACUUGUGCUUCCAAAUUUCUAAUGGAGGACCUUGUUUCAUUCAUGAAACUCACAGUGGCCUUAGAUAGAUUAGAGACUAAAUUUGCUAAAUUAGAUGUAUUUUGUUCAGAGUUCUCUGUCUAUUGCUGAGUGGAUGAUGGAAAAGGCUUGCUAUUGCUAAACCUGUUUCUUCCACCAUUAUUAAGGCCUUGUUGAGGCUUUUGUUGAUCCUUCCAUGAGAGAUUUGGGUGAUUUCUCCAUGAGGGAUUAUAGGUGUUUCCAUAGGGUUCACCCAUGUAAUUCACCUCUGCAAUUGCAGGAUUCUUAGGAUCAUAAGCUUCUUCUUCAGAAGCUGCUUCUUGAGUACUGUUGGAUGCAGCUUGCAUUCCAUUUAGACUCUGAGAAAUCAUAUUGACUUGCUGAGUCAAUAUUUUGUUCUGAGCCAAUAUGGCAUUCAGAGUACUGUUCAAAAAUUUCUGAAAGGUGCUUGCUGGAUUGUUGUAAUUUAGCUUCUCUUAGUUUCCUCUUCAGAGUCCUUUCAGGUUCUGGAUCUGCUUCAACAAGAAUGUUCUUGUCCUUGCUCCUGCUCAUAUGAAAAAAAGAGGAAACAGAAAAAUAAUAAUAAUAGGGAUCCUUUUUGCCCAGGUAUAGAGGUUUCCUUAGGUGAGUGGAAGAAAAGAAGAGUAGAAGAAAAGAAGAAGAGAAAAUCUGAACUUAGAGAGAGAGAGAGAGGGGGUUCGGAUUUUUGGUGAGUGAGGAAGAGAUGUUAGUAAAUAAAUAAAUAAAUAGAAGGAGAUGAGAGAGAAAGAGAAUUUUCGAAAAUUAUUUUUGAAAAAUGGUUAGUGAUUUUCGAAAAUUAAAAGAAGAAAUAAAUUAAAAUUGAAUUUUGAAACAAUUAGUUAAUUAAAAAGAAUUUUUGAAAAAGAGGGAGAUAUUUUCGAAAAUUAGAGAGAGAGAGUUAGUUAGGUAGUUUUGAAAAAGAUAAGAAACAAACAAAAAGUUAGUUAGUUAGUUGAAACAAAUUUUGAAAAUCAAUUUUGAAAAGAUAAGAAGAUAAGAAGUUAGAAGGGAUAUUUUAAAAUCAAAUUUUUGAAAAAGAUAAGAUUUUUUAAAAAGAUAUGUUUGAAAUUAGUUUUGAAAAAGAUUUGAUUUUUAAAAUCACAAUUAAUGACUUGAUUCAUAAGAAAUCACAAAAUAUGAUUCUAGAACUUAAAGUUUGAAUCUUUCUUAACAAGUAAGUAACAAACUUGAAAUUUUUGAAUCAAAACAUUAAUUGUUGAUGAUAUUUUCGAAAAUAUGAUGUAAAAUUAAGAAAAAGAUUUUUGAAAAAGAUUUUUGAAAUUUUCGAAAAUAGAUAAGAAAAAUGAAAAAGAUUUGAUUUUUGAAAAAGAUUUUGAAAAAUAUAAGAUUUUUAAAUUGAAAAUUUGAUUUGACUCAUAAGAAACAAUUGAAUUUUUUAAAAUUUUUGAAAAAGUCAAUCCAAAUUUUCGAAAUUUAUGAGAGAAAAAAAGGAAAGAUAUUUUUUUUUUUGAAUUUUUAAUGAUGAAAGAGAAAAAACAUAAAAAUGAUGCAAUGCAUGAAAAUUUUGGAUCAAAACAAUGAAUGCAUGCAAGAAUGCUAUGAAUGUCAAGAUGAACACCAAGAACACUUUGAAGAUCAUGAUGAACAUCAAGAACAUAUUUUUGAAAAUUUUUAUAUGCAAAGAAAACAUGCAAGACACCAAACUUAGAAUUCUUUCAUGUUCAGACAUUAUGAAUGCAAAAAUGCACAUGAAAAACAAGAAAAGACACAACAAUAAAAUAUGAAGAUCAAUCAAGAAGGUUUAUCAAGAACAACUUGAAGAUCAUGAUGAAUGCAAUGCAUGAAUGCAAUUUUCGAAAAAUGCAAGAUGAGUAUGCAAUUGACACCAAACUUAAAAAUGGACUCAAGACUCAAACAAGAAACAUGAAAUUUUUUUUUUAUGAUUUUCUAAUUUUUUUGGAUUUUUCGAAAAUUAUUUGUGAAAAAGAAAAAUAAGGAUUCCAAAAUUUUUAAUAUGAAUUCCAGGAAUCUUGCACUCUUAGUCUAAAGCUCCAAUCUGAGGGUUAGACAUGGCUUAAUAGCCAGUCAAGCUUUAGCAUGUAAAUCAAGUGGAUCAGGAACAGCAGCAGGUGGAUUAGCAACAACUAGCUUGCUCUUGAUAAUGUUGGGUUGGAAGCCCCAGUCUAAAUGAAUUUAGACAUGGCUUUUACAGCCAGUCAGGCUUCAACAUGCUUCAUGAAACACUAGAAUUCAUUCUUAAAAAUUCUGAAGAACAUAAUAAAAAUUUUUGAAAAGAAUUUUUUUUAUUUUUUUUUCGAAAAUAAUGGAGAAAUUUUUUGAAAAUUUUUUUUUGAAAACUUUUUGAAAAUAAAAUAAGAAGAAAAUUACCCAAUGUGAGCAACAUGAUGAACCGUCAGUUGUCCAAACUCGAACAAUCUCCGGCAACGGCGCCAAAAACUUGGUGCGCGAAAUUGUUACUCUGAGGUUAUAAAAUUUGUUGUUCGUUCUCUCCCUGGUAAUGGCACCAACAAACUGGUGCACAAUACCAUGGUCCAAGCAUAACUUCACAACUUCGCACAACUAACCAGCAAGUGCACUGGGUCGUCCAAGUAAUAAAACCUUACGUGAGUAAGGGUCGAUCCCACGGAGAUUGUUGGUAUGAAGCAAGCUAUGGUCACCUUGUAAAUCUCAGUCAGGCGGAUAAUAAUUGAUUGUGGAGUUUUCAAAAAUAAAUAAUAAAUAAUUAGAAAAUAAAGAUAGAAACACUUAUGUAGAUCAUUGGUGAGAAUUUCAGAUAAAUGUAUAGAGAUGCGUUCGUUCCUCUGAACUUCUGCUUUCCUGCUGUCUUCAUCCAAUCAAUCCUACUCCUUUCUAUGGCUGGCUUUAUGUAAGGACAUCACCGUUGUCAAUGGCUACUUUUCAUCCUCUCUGUGAAAAUGGUCCGAUGCGCUGUCACUGCAUGGCUAAUCAUCUGGAGGCAUCACCGUUGUCAAUGGCUGCAUCCCAUCCUCUCUGUGAAAAUGGUCCUAUGCGCUAUCACUGCAUGGCUAAUCAUCUAGAGGUUCUCGAUCAUAUUGGAAUAGGAUUCACCCUCCUUUUGAGUCUGUCACUAUGCCCAACACUCGCGAGUUUGAAGUUCGUCACAGUCAUUCAAUCCCAGAAUCCUACUCGAAAUACCACAGAUAAGGUUUAGACUUUCCGGAUUCUCAUGAAUGCCGCCAUCAAUCUAGCUUAUACCACGAAGAUCCUGAUUAAGAGAUCCAAGAGAUACUCAUCCAAUCUAAGGUGGAACAGAAGUGGUUGUCAGGCACGCGUUCGUGGGGGAAUAAUGAUGAUUGUCACGUUCAUCACAUUCAUAUUGAAGUGCGAAUGAAUAUCUUAGAAGCGGAAUAAGUUGAAUUGAAUAGAAAAAUAGUAGUACUUUGCAUUAAUUCAUGAGGAACAGCAGAGCUCCACACCUUAAUCUAUGGAGUGUAGAAACUCUACCGUUUGAAGAUACAUAAGUGAAAGGUUCAGGCAUGGCCGAAUGGCCAGCCCCCAUGAUCUAAGAACCAGACGUCCCAAGAUGCCUAAUACAAUAGUAAAAGAUCCUAUUUAUACUAAACUAGUUACUAGGGUUUACAGAAAUAAGUAAUUGAUGCAUAAAUCCACUUCCGGGGCCCACUUGGUGUGUGCUUGGACUGAGCUUGAAUGUUACACGUGCAGAGGCUCUCUCUGGAGUUGAACGCCAGGUUGUAACGUGUUUCUGGCGUUCAACUCUGGUUCGUGACGUGUUUCUGGCGUUUAACUCCAUACUGCAGCAUAGAACUGGCGUUCAACGCCCUUUUACGUCAUCUAAACUCAGCCAAAGUAUAGACUAUUAUAUAUUUCUGGAAAGCCCUGGAUGUCUACUUUCCAACGCAAUUGAAAGCGUGCCAUUUUGAGUUCUGUAGCUCCAGAAAAUCCACUUUGAGUGUAGGGAGGUCAGAAUCCAACAGCAUCAGCAGUCCUUCUUCAACCUCUGAAUCUGAUUUUUGCUCAAGUCCCUCAAUUUCAGACAGAAAAUACCUGAAAUCACAGAAAAACACACAAACUCAUAGUAAAGUCCAGAAAUGUAAAUUUAACAUAAAAACUAAUAAAAACAUCCCUAAAAGUAACUAGAUCCUACUAAAAACAUACUAAAAACAAUGCCAAAAAGCGUAUAAAUUAUCCGCUCAUCACUUAACUUUCUAGGAAACAGUUUUUCACUGUAUUCGGAAUUGUCCGAAGGCUCAAUUUGUUUGGCAGACUCUAGAGAUUUCCAGUCAUCUUUAGGAUUUGAAGAACUAGUUCUUGUCCCAUAACAAAGAGCAUCCUUUUUUAUUCUUUUCUGGUCUGUGGUGGAUUUAGAGAGUUAGGAACAAUGAGAUUUUUAACCAUCAUGAGCCUUGGUCUCCUUUUAAAGUGGCUCGUAUAGCUUUAGCCUUCGAGAAAGAAUUUUGGAAUGUCUUUGAAUUGCAACGAGUUUCUAUUCCUUCUAUGAUUAGUUGCUCUUAGGUUCCUCCUUUGAUGGAUACUUUUAAAGAUCAAUUGUGAUGUUAGUUACUCUGGUUCUGGGGAUCGAAUUGGUUUUGCUUAUGUUAAUAGAGAUUGGAAUAGAAAUUGACAACGAGGCUAUUUGGGAAUAAUAGAGAGUUGCAAUAUUCUUCAAGGAGAGUUGUUUGCUAUUUGGAGAUGAUUUCUUUUAACUUAGGACUUGAGGAAAAGAGAUGUGAUUUGCGAAGCGAAUUGUUUGGAGGCUUUCAUUCUUAUUAACAAUUCUCAUGAUAAUGCUGGGUGUGUAGAUUCUUUGGUGCUUAAAGUCAGAGAUAUCAUGACUUGGAACUUGGAAGUGGUGCGUUGAUUUUCACUUGAUCCUGCGAGAUGCAAACACAAUGGUGGAUACCAUGGCAAAGACGACGUUGAGAUCACAUUCGCAGCAUGUAGAGCUUCCAAUACCUUGGAAAGAGUUUGAGAUGAGUAUUCAGAGGGAUUGUCCUGCGCCUUCUUAGUCACUUAGGACUUUGUUUUUCUUUUCUACUUGGUUGUUUUAAAUUUUCAAUCACAAAAAAAAAAUCAUUAUUAUUAUCAUUAUCAUUUUUCUUUACAUUUUCAUUCUCACUAUUCUAUAACAAUAUCUAUAACAAUAUAUAAAGGGGAUAUAGGAGUUUGGUGUCCAAUUCUUCUUCCCAUUUUAUCCCUAUGCACUACAACCUAAAACCAUGUGUAGUUAUUCUUAUCAUGGAGUAGUUUCUAUUAUCAUGCAAUUAAUUUGUAUGUGCAGUUAUUGUUAUUUUUACUAUCCUAUAUAUAUUGUUCGUACUCAUAUCAUUAUUGUCAUUACAUUUCUCUUUACAUUUUCAUUCUCAUUCUUUUUUAAUUUUUUCUUUUAUUUAUAUUAAUAUCACUACAAAAUUCUUCACGUAUAACUACAACAAAUUAUAACGAUAUAUAAAGGGAAUGAAAAUUUGCUAUCAAAUUAUUUCUUUCCAUUUUAUCCCUACUAUAACCCAAAAUCACGUGUAGUUAUUUCUAUCACGGAGUCGUUUUUAUUAUCAUGAAUAUUGUUAUUUCUACUUCUAUAACAAUAUAAAGGGAAUAUAAAAAUUUGAUGUCUAAUUCUUUUUUUCCAUUUUAUCCAUGGGAAUUGCAACCCAAACCCACGUGUAGUUGUUUUUACUAUGGAACAAUUUCUAUUAUCAUGAAAUUAGUUUGUAUGUGCAGUUGUUGUUAUUUUUACUAUUCUAUAUAUAUUGUUCGUAUUCAUAUUAUUAUUGUCAUUAUCAUUUCUCUUUGCAUUUUCAUUUUCAAUCUUUUCUAAUUCUUUCUUCUAUUUAUAUUAACAUCGCUACAAAAUUCUACACGUAUAACUACAACAAACUAUAAUAAUAUAUAAAAGAAUAUGGAAAUUUGGUAUCAAAUUCUUUCUUUUCAUUUUAUUCCUAUGCACUAAAAUCCAAAAUCACGUGUAAUUAUUUCUAUUAUGGAGUCGUUUCUAUUAUCAUGGAUAUUGUUAUUUCUACUACACAUGUAUAUUGUUUAUACUAUCUUAUAUCAUUAUUAUCAUUAUUCUUUCUUUUUGUAUUUUCAUUCUCACUCUUUUCUAAUUUUUUCUCCUAUUUAUAUUAACAUGGAUGUUGACUACAAAAUUUUACACAUACAACUACAACAAACAAAAAAUAUGGACACCAAAUUUUUUCUUUUCAAUUAUUUAUCUUUAUUUUAUUAUUAUAUGUUGUGUUCCUCUUUUUCUCUCCGAAUUUAUUUAUUUCUUUCUUUUUUUUUCAACCGUAACAUACCUCAUUGCAAAUACAAUAUAAAAAGAAGCAUAGUACGGUAAAUACAUUGUCUUUUAAUUUAUGUUAAUAUUAAUUUGCAUAGUUUUAUUCUGAAUAUAGUACUUUGUGAGUGAUGUAUACGAUUCAGUCUCAUUCUAAUUAUUUUAUUAGAGUUUUUUUAACUAUCAAAAUAAAUACUAUAUAUAAAGGCAAUCUUUUUCUCCUCAUCCACUCUCUUCUUAUAUUGUUUAGUUUUACGUUAAUUUUGGUUUGUAUUUUUUGUUUUGAAUAGAUAUUAGUGUUAUAUACAAUUUGCUGUCACUUUAAUUAUUUUAUUAAAUUUUGUAUUGUAACGAUAAAAAAAUAUGAUGUAUAAAGAUAAUAUUUUUUUUAUUCUUAUAUCAACUAAUUGAUUUGAUUAAAUAUUUAAAUAUCACACAAUUUAAUAUUAUGUAUAUCAAUUAAUUGAAUAUAAUUGUUAGAGUAGAAUUAGGAUCAAUUAGAUCAAUUAGCAUUAUUCAACAUAUCUGAAUAUUUAUUAUAGGAUAUUACGUCUUUAUUAUUUCGAUUCUCUUAUCACCUAUAAAUAUCAUUCUAUAUUGUAUCAUUCUAUACAACUUGAAUACUCACAAACCUUUUUCCUAUUGCUCCAUCUCCCCUUUCUAACAUAGUAUCAGAGUCAUGGUAUCCUCCUUGAGGAGGAUAAGUUGAUUUUUCUUCUGGUAAAAUUACCGUACUUUUCAUACUUUUCUUCUGUGCUAUUUUUUUUCUUCUCUUUUGUCAAUGCUUUAAUGCUUUUUUGACCUCACCGAUUAGCUCAUCCACUACUUACUUAUUCUAAUGGAGGAAUCAUAUGUUUUUUUUUGUCACUUUCUGAUAGUUUGUCAUCUCUUCGCACUUUGUCACUUUUCAGCAAUUUUUUGGCAGUUCGCCAUCUUUUUAGUAGUUUUUCGGCAGUUGGCCACUCUUGCGGCAGUUCCGUUUGCAUUCUCCUCCAGCAGUUCCAUCUGCGUUUUCUUCUGGCAGUUUCAUCUACGCUUCCUUCCAACAGUUCUGUCUGCGCUUCCUUGUGGCAAUUCCGUCUGCACUUCCUUCCGGCAGUUCCGUCUGUGCUUCCUUCCGGCAGUUCCGUCUGCACUUCUUUCCGACAGUUCUAUCUGCGCUUUCUUUAGGCAGUUCCAUUCGCACCCAUUCUAUCAGUUUAUGCAUUUUUUUAUUUAGUUGUUUCAAGUAAGUUUUCAAACUCAAGUUGUCACUUGAGUUUGAGGGGGGAUGUUAGAGUGUAAUUAGCAUAAAAUAGAUCAAUUAGACAUUAUUUAACAUAUCUAAAUAUUUAUUAUAGGAUAUUACAUCUUUAUUAUUUUGAUUCUUUUUAGCACUUAUAAAUACCUUUCUAUAUUGUAUCAUUUUACACAACUUGAAUACACACAAAUUUUUUCUCUACUGCCCUCUCUUACCCUUUUUAAUAAUAAUAAAUAUAACUUAAUUUAGUUAGAAGUUCAUUGUUUUAUAGUCUUCUAUAUAUAUAUAAACAUGACAGAAUAAAAUUGUAAAAAUAAUCUUUUUAUCACUUUGGAUAUUUUAACUCUUUUUUCUUUUUUUCUCUUUACGUAUAAUUUUGUUUUGCGUUAACUUUGUUUAUUUAAUGAUAAAAUAUACUCAUGUUAAUUCUAUUAUAUAAUAGUUUGUUUUUCUUCUAUGUAUUUUGAUUAGUAUAGUUACUAUUGAUCUUGCUGUUUUCGUUUUCUUGAACUGUUCUUUAUUUUUUUAUGACUUGAUAGUUUAAAUAAAAAAAAAAAGCAAAAAAAGAAAAAAAAUGAUGGCCAAAAGCGGAGGUUAGAAGCCUAAAGCAGCAACAUCAUUUCUCAGUAUUAUUAUUAUUAUUAUUAUUAUGAACUUUAUUAUUUCUUUUCUAACAUUCUUUAAUACAGGAUUCGUUUCUUUUUCUUAAUUAUUAUUAAUACUUUUAUUCUUUUCUUCUCUAAUUAUUGAAAAUUUUCAAAUACUAUUAUAAAAUUCUAGAUAUUUUUUAUUUUAUUAUUCUUAAAUUAUACAUUAUACCGUGUAUUUGAAGAGUUUCAUCUGACAUUAUAUAUUUUUUUGGAUACAAAGGGAUAAUGAAGUUGAAGUGAGUAACAAAAUUGAUUAUAUAAUAAGAUGCAAAUUUUUAGAACUUCUAGCAUAAUUGACAAAUUUGUUAGUUUCAAAAUAAAUUGUUACUCUAUUUUUUAUCUUUUAUUUAAUUUUUUAAUAAUUUUUUUCUUGAUUUUCUUAAUUAAUUAUGAUUGUAAUAAUUCAUCACAAAUUUGUAUUUUGUAAAAAAAAUUUAUCAAUCAUAAAAUAUAGAAACUUAACCAAAAAAUUUAAAAAAUGUUGAUUAAUCACAAAAUAAAAAAUUAUAAAUUGUACUUUAAUCAUGUUGUAAAAUACAGAUUGGGCUAUUCAGAAUUAGUUUUUUAUCAUUAAUGUUAACUUAAAUUAUAAUAAGAUAAAAAGUAAAAAUUGUAUAUAAUAAUUUAAUUUAAUUAUUUAUACUACCAAAAUUAUUUUUUAUUAUAUCUCAUUUAUUUUUAUCCAUUGGUGAUCUUUAAUCCAGUAACCACUUCGUCUCAGAAGUCCAGACGCCUAACGAGAUGCCUCUCGACCUGCAUUUGAAAGACAACAACAUAGUAUGGGAUGAGAACCAGAGGUUCUUAGUAUGGUAAAGGUGUCACACACAUAAUAUACAAGGUCCUGGGAAUGCCAGAGGCAAUCCUAGAACGCCGACACUCAGAUUAUAGAGCUUAAAGUAUUAAACAGAAGACAUAAGGGUGGUUUUCUAAGAGUAUCCAAUGCCUAACUUAACUUAAUCUUAAAUCUAAGUCCCAUUCUGCCAUUCCUUCAUACCCCCAUCUCCGUCAGCAUUUUACAGACAAAUAAACAGAUAAAGGCAAGCACAAGAAGGUUACAAAUACUGCAGGUAACAAAUAUACAUAUAGCAUGGCAAGUACACUUAGGCACACCUAGUUAAUGCACAAACAAGUAAUUCAAGUAGUAUGCAUAUGAUGCAUGCAUGUCCUAUGGCUGAUGAGGCUCAUCUGUCGGUUAUCCAGCCAACCUGACAAGUCCGAAAACAUUAGACUGUCCCUCGACGUGCAUCCCCAAGAGUCUAUGCAUAGCUUUUUCUCAAAUAAUCAAUAUUGCUCAAUGGGGGUUAACAUUCUCGGGAAUUUAUAAGUGCCCGGUCACCCUUACGUCGUAGGGUCAACAGAGUAUCAAGUUUUCAACUUGGUACACGUGGUGGCAAGGCACGGUACUUUACCCAGGGAAACUCGUAUCUCAGAUCAUUUAAUCAUUCAAGCCAAAUAUCAUACAUGAUCAUUCAUUUGGUUAUCAAGCCAAGUAUCAUACAUAAUCAUCCGUAACAUUUCAUAAUCAAUUCAUCACUUUCCUUUUUAGCUUUACUUCACCUCCAAGUUAUCCCCAUUUCCUAGCUUCAUCUGAUUGUCAAGUUUAAUACCACUAUUUAUGACUAAAGGAAAGGAAAUAGAAGUUUAGAGGUUUGAAAUAAGGUUUUAAAACUCAAAAAUCAUGUUUGCUGGAACAGGGGCCAUGCAUACGCGUGGCUCACGCGUGCGCGUGAAAAUAUAAAACUGCAGCUCGCGCGCGCGUCCCCUUGUCACGCGUACACGUGGACAUACUUGUUGGCUCCUUUCGCAUACGCAUAGGACCAGUCACGUACGCAUCGCCAAAACUCAUGCCACGCGUGCGCGUCGGCCACGUGUAACACCCUACCACACAGAGCUUUACACCUAGGAUGUAAAACAGAGGUGACGAGGUGCUACGACUUUUAAAAUUAAAAUACAUACGUAUAAUAGCAGAAAGAAUAUAAUAAACUAGGAGCCUUGAAAUACGGGUAAAAUAAAAUCGCGAAACAAAAAGCGCAAUGCUCCAGAAACGGAAUAACUUGCGUGUGAAGAAAACUAUAACUAUCAAACAUAAGAUAAUAAAAGUAGGAAUAGAGAGCCAAGGAUACAAAGUAACAAGCUCCUAACUCAGUCCGCGAAGUCAAGACUGGCCGUAGAACAUACACACAUAUAUAUACAUAUCCAAAACCCAAAUGUACAUAAACAAAAUCCUGUCUCUCCAUAAACAUCUAAGAGGAUCAAAAAGAAUAAGUUAUGCGAAGAGAAAGCUAUAUAUAUAUAUAUACAUCACCGUACAACAAAAUAACCCAGUAACCAUUUUGUCUCGAGAGUCCAGACGCCUAAUGAGAUGCCUCUCGACCUGCAUCUGAAAGACAACAACAUAGUAUGGGGUGAGAACCAGAGGUUCUCAGUAUGGUAAAGGUGCCACACACAUAAUAUAUAAGGUCCUGGGAAUGCCAGAGGCAAUCCUAGAAUGCCGACACUCAAAUUAUAGAGCUUAAAGUAUUAAACAGAAGCCAUAAAGGGUGGUUUUCUAAGAGUAUCAAACGCAUAACUUAACUUAAUCUUAAAUCUAAGUACCAUUCUGCCAUUCCUCUAUACCCCAUCUCCGUCAGCAUUUCACAGACAAAUAAAUAGAUAAAGGUAAGCACAAGAAGGUUACAAAUACUACAGGUAACAAAUAUACAUAUAGCAUGGCAAGUACACUUACCCAGUUAAUGCGCAAAUAAGUAAUUUGAGUAGUAUGCAUAUUAUGCAUGCCUGUCCUUUGGCUGAUGAGACUCAUCUGUCGGUUAUCCAGCCAACCCGACAAGUCCAAAAACCUUAGAUUGUUCCUCGACGUGCAUUCCCAAGAGUCUAUGCAUAGUUUUUUCUCAAAUAAUCAAUAUUGCUCAAUGGGGGUUAACAUUCCCAGGAAUUUAUAAGUGCCCGGUCACCCUUACGUCGUAGAGUCAACAGAGUAUCAAGUUUUCAACCUGGUACACAUGGUAGCAAGCCACGGUACUUUACCUAGGGAAGCUCAUAUCUCAAAUCAUUUAAUCAUUCAAGCCAAAUAUCAUACAUGAUCAUUCAUUUGAUCAUCAAGCCAAGUAUCAUACAUAAUCAUCCGUAAUAUUUCAUAAUCAAUUCAUCACUUUCCUUUUUAGCUUUACUUCACCGCCAAGUUAUCCCCAUUUCCUAGCUUCAUCUGAUUAUCAGGUUUAAUAUUUAUGACUAAAGGAAAGGAAAUAGAAGUUUAGAGGUUUGAAAUAAGGUUUUAAAACUCAAAAAUCAUGUUUGCUGGAACAGGGGCCACGCGUGCACGUGGAAAUAUAAAAUUGUAGCUCGCGCACGCGUCCCUUUGUCAUGCGUACGUGUAGGUGCAAACUUCAUGUCAUGCGUGCGCGUGGGUCACGCAUACGCGUGGACAUGCUUGUUGGCUCCUUUCGCGUACGCAUAGGACCAAUCGCGUACGCACCCCCAAAAUCCAUGCCACGCGUGCACGUGGACGUACGUUCUUUUAAAAAUACAGAAUCAGUUGCAAGAGCUGCAGAAUGGUAGUAAAAGACAGUUUUUAGAUACAACUUUCCAACAACCGUAACUUCUUCAAUUUAAAAUAUUUUUCUCUCGUUCUUCGAAUGGCAUAAACUUCACGAACCUAAUUUUUACUUUAAAACAAGUUGGGAGCAAAUUGAGGGUCCGAAAGCCAAGUAUGCAUCGCCUAAGUUCGACCAAAAACCAACUUUUUAAAACCCACAAAACCUCUUUCCCAUUCAACACCAUUUCCAUAUUACUAAUACAAUAACCUGCACAUGCUAACUCCAAAAGCUCUUCUUCCACAACGCAACAUCCACCAUGAGAAUCACACUUCAUACCAACUUUAAUUACACAUACACAUGCCUAAUCUACCAACCACAAUUACAUGUACACUUGCCAAAUCCCACAACCAAACCAUAGCUUAUAAAUCACAUACUUGUAUCCUCAAAUCAAUGAUUAACAAUUUACCAAACCUUCAACUUUUCAGCACCAUAUCAAUCCACAUUUAAAAAUAAGAUACUAAUCCACAAUGUACACAUACGUUCCUACUUAUCUUAUGGUCAUCUAGACUAAGUUUUCUCAGAAUAUUAUAUAUUAAAUGCAAGAAACCUAAACCAUACCUUGGCCGAUUUUCACGUAGCGACCAAAGCAAUUUAAUUAAAGCCAAGACCGCCCCUCAAAAGCUCAAUACACUCUAAGCUCAGCUUCCUCCAAGUUUCAAUAUUCACAAUUAUUUCAAGCUCUAAUUAUUUAUUCACAGCCUAAUACAUAUUUAUAACACAUAUAUACCCAAUUUAAUACUCAAAGCUCAAAUUCGAUGAAAUUAAAAUAGAAUUAUGGUAUCCUCACCUUACCCAAGCUUCACAUAAGCAAGAGUGAAAGUUUUCCUCAAGCCAAUUAGAUCCUAAAACAUCAGAAAUCAAAGAAAUUCAACAUUCCUACUCAAUUUUCAAAAAAUUGGGGGAAGAGGAGGAUGAGAGUGAUUAAACAAGUUACCAAUAAAAUUGUUCCAGUAUAAAUGUAGAGCUCGACGCGGUGGACACGUGGCCGCAAACAGUGUGGCGAUCAGAGCUCAGACAGAGAAGAAGAAUGAGGAGAAGAAGAAGCGUGGGUCCAUUUAAAGGUUGGCCCGGUUGGGCCCACGGCCCAGUUUUGGCCCGGUUCAACCGGUUCGGCUCGUUCGGUCCAAUCUUGGGCCGAUUUCUUCAAAAUUGGUGUCAAAAUUCUCGUUUCAAUGAGCUCUAUCCUAAUUUAAUAUAAUAUUCGCAUUUCUAAUUUUUUUUAUUAAAAACUAAUUUAUUAACUAAUUAUCUACUAAUUUAACGGGGUUUACAUCCUACCCACCUAACAAAGAAUUUUGCCCUCAAAAUUUAGAUGUAGUUACCUGAAAAGAGAUGUGGGUAGUCUUUCCGUAUAUCUGAUUCGAGUUUCCAAGUGUGUUUUUCAAUACCAGCUCGACUCCAGGAUACUUUUACCAGUGAUACUUCCUUCCCACGCAAUCGUUUAACACUAGUGUCAUCAAUUCUCACCGAAAUUACUGGAAGUGUUAGGUCUUCUCUCACUUGAAUCGGUUCCGGUUCUAGGACAUGACUUGCGUCAGGAGUAUAUUUCCGAAGCUGUGACACAUGAAAUACGUCGUGUAAGUUUGAAAGAUAUGGCGGUAAGGCAAUCCUAUAAGCCACCGAACCAAUUCUUCUCAGGAUAUCAAACGGUCCAAUAUAACGGGGAUUCAUUUUCUUAAUUUUAAUAGCUCUUCCCACUCCAGUAGUUGGUGUAACCUUCAGAAAGACAUGCUUUCCUUCAAAUUCCAAAGGCUUUCGCCUUUGAUCAGUAUAACUUUUUUGACGGCUCUGGGCUAUAAGCAUUCGGUUACAAAUUUUCUUUAUCUGCUCAGUAGUUUCAGCUAUCAUCUCAGGCCCUAAUAAGCUUUUUUCUCCAGUUUCAUACCAACAUAGCAGAGAUUGGCAUUUCCUACCAUACAGAGCUUCAUAUGGAGCCAUUCCAAUGCUCGCAUGGUAGCUAUUAUUAUAAGCGAACUUUACUAAUGGCGUAUACUGAUCCCAGCUAGCCGGCUGGUCUAAAACACAAGCCCUUAACAUAUCCUCCAAGGUCUGAAUAGUUCUCUCUGAUUGACCAUCUGUCUGAGGGUAAUAUGCAAUACUCAAACUCAAUUAAGUUCCAAAUGCACGCUGAAAAGUUCUCCAGAACCUUGAUGUAAAACGAGGGUCUCUGUCAGAUAUAAUGGUAGAAGGCAUGCCGUGCAACCUAACAAUCUUUUUGAUGUACAUUCGGGCCAAUUCCUCCAUUGUGCAACUUAUUCGAAUGGGGAGAAGGUGAGCUAAUUUUUUCAGUCGAUCCACAACUACCCAAAUAGCAUCACAGCCAGUCCGAGUCCUAGACAAACCUGUCACAAAAUCUAUUGCGAUACUCUCCCAUUUCCAGUGUGGAAUAUUUAAGGCUGAAAGGUUCCUGAUGGUCUCUUAUGCUCUAUCACUUUCAGAUCUUGGUACAUUUUGGUGCUUCUUGGAUGAGUUAAAAACCCACUCUUAUGAGCUUCCUUUAAGAUACUCUGUCGCAGGUCUCUGACAUAUGGUACAAUAAUCCGGUUCUUGAACUUUCACAAACCAUCCUUACCUUCUGACACUUUCCAUUGUCUUCCCUGUUCAAUUGCUGGAAAUAUCUUAUGUAAGGCUUCACCAUCUGGAUGAGCCUUCAGAAGUUCUGAUUUAAAAUCACUUAAAAAUUGUAACUGAUUCAAACACAAAAUUUCAGAUUCUUCCCUAACUCCCAGUUUUAAACCUUGAAAUGCCUUUAAUAACUUUUCUUCUCGCAACAUCAUCCAAGCUGCAUAUAAAAAUUUCCAACUUAAAGCAUCCAUCACAACGUUUGCUUUUCCUGGAUGGUAAUUUAAUUCAAAAUCAUAGUUCUUUGGAAGCUCCAUUCACCUCAUCUGACGCAUAUUUAACUCUUUCUGUUUUAAGCAGAUACUUCAAACUCUUUUGGUCUGAGAAAAUGUGAAACUUGACAUUAUAGGGAUAAUGCCUCCAGAUUUUCAAAUCAAACACAACAGUAGCAAGUUCUAAGUCGUGAGUCAGGUAGUUUAUCUCAUGCGGCUUUAAUUGCCGUGAGGCGUAUGCUACAACAUUUCGGUGUUGCGUCAGAAUGCACCCCAACUCCUUUAAUGAUGCAUCACAGUACACUUCAAACGGUUCACUUAGCUCAGGCAAUACCAAUACGGGUACAGUAUUCAACCUUUCCUUCAAUGCUUGGAAAUUCUCCUCGCACUCCGGAGUCUAAACAAAAGGUGUAUCCUUCCUAGUCAACUUAGUUAAAGGUAAGGCGAGUUGUGAAAAUCUUUUAAUGAAUAUGCGACAAUACCCCGCCAAACCUAGGAAACUCCUAAUCUCUGUCACUGAAGUUGGCCGCUCCCAUUUCAUCACUGCUUCUACCUUAGCAGGAUCCACAGCUAUUCCCUGCUUACUCACCACAUGACUGAGAAACUUUACCUCACUCUUCCAGAACUCGCAUUUAGAUAACUUAGCAUAUAACUUCAUGUUUCUUAGAAUUUGCAGCACAGUUCGUAAUUGAUCAGCAUGUUCCUCCUCAGUCUUAGAGUAAACAAGAAUAUCAUCAAUAAAGACAAUAACAAACUUGUCCAGGUACGGUCGGAAAAUCCUGUUCAUAUAAUCCAUAAAUACUGCCAGAGCAUUGGUUAACCCAAAAGACAUCACCGUAUACUCAUAAUGACCAUAACGUAUACUGAAGCAGUUUCCAGAAUAUCUUCACCUCAAACCCUUAUCUAUUUUAAACCUAACAUCACUCCAAACUAAUCCACCAUUCUAAGUUAUCUAAACAUUACUCUGUCUUAACAACUAAUAGCCUUCGACCAAUCAUCGACUUGGGCUUUACAAUUAUUAACGCGCGUCAUAUAUUACAAAUGAAUAUCACAUAUUAAUGUUAUGCAAGGAAGUUUGAAAUUCAACUACCAGUUUAUGAUUACCUCGGGUCUGAGAAUUGGAUUUGGCUGCAUCCCAGCGUUUCCUGUGUGAACAGUCUCGAACCAUAUGCCCCGGCUUCCCGCACUUGUAGCAUUCAUCGAGCCCGACCCUAUGCGGCUCGCUUGGAGCAGUCUCUCCAUAGCCUUCCUGUAGCAUCGCCCACUUCAUGGAGUAAUUUUCUGUGAAUUGACUCUUCUUAACCAGUUCAGUGAAAUUUGUUAACCUUUGCGGGUGCACGUAGUUAAAGAUGUCUCUCCUAAGUCCUUUCUCAUAUUGAGCACACUUUCACUCCUCAUAGUCGGCUAUAUUUCCUUGACAAACUCUUGAGAGACGGCACAUGUUGUCGAAUUUACGGGUGUAGUCAGCAACAGACAUAUUCUUUUGCUUCAGCUGCAUUAACUCCAACUCCUUUGCAGUGCGAAGUGCAUGUAAGAAAUAUUUCCCGUAAAAUUUCGUCUUGAAUCUAUUCCAAGGGACAUCUGUUAACUCUAUCUGUAAGGUAUGACAUAACUCCUGCCACCAUUUCUGAGCAUCUUCCUCCAACAUGUAGGUCACUAUUUCCACUAAUUGUACUUCAGGAACGUGCUGAGUAUAUAAAAACCUCUCUAUAUCUCGAAACCACCGAUCCGCCUCCAAUACAUUGGCAUUCCAUUAAACCGAGGUGAACCACUCUUGAGGAAAUCAGUAAGGGUCAUGGACCUGUAGUAUUGACCUACAUUGCUUGUACCAGCACCCGAGCUUCCAUCUCGAGGUCCUUGCUUCGAUUCGGUCCUAAGAUUUUUCCUUUGGGCACCUCGCUCGGAUCCGGGAGACGACAUUUGGUCCCUAUUCACACCAAACAAUCGAUAUUAAGGUGAUCAGUCUCAAUAUCUCAAGUAUAAUGCUUUAAAGUCACAAAUGCAUGCUCACGAACAUGUAUGCUACACAUACCAGUCAGAUAACCUAGGUAGCAAAUAGUCACACACAGAGUAUGCACAAAAGUAUAGUCAGUCCAUCUCUCAGCCUCUAUAGGAACGAACUGCUCUGAUAUCAUCAAUUGUAAGGUCCCACAUCGAUUGGGGAGGAGAACAAAGCAUGCCUUAUAAGGGUGUGGAUACCUCUCCCUAGCAUGACGCGUUUUGACGAGUGAGUGUGGAGGGCUUCUGCUAUCAUCCCUAUCGUCAAAGACAAAAUCGUGAGGCCUUGUGUGCCAAAACGGACAAUAUCGUGCUAGCGGGUGGUCUGGGCUGUUACAGAUGGUAUCAGAGUCGGAGCCCGGAUCGAUGUGACAGCGAGGGCGCUAGGCUCCCUUAGGGGGUAGAUUGUAAGGUCCCACAUCGGUUGGGGAGGGGAACGAGCAUGCCUUAUAAGGGUGUGGAUACCUCUACCUAGCAUGACGCGUUUUGACGAGUGAGUGUGGAGGACUUCGGCUAUCAUCCCUAUCGUCAAAGGCAAAACCGUGAGGCCUUAUAUGCCAAAGCGGACAAUAUCGUGCUAGCGGGUGGUCUGGACUAUUAUAAUUAAUGCAUUAAGACAAUUUUAAUAUUUAUAGGUUAUUAAUAAUAAUAAUAAUCUCAUUUUAAAGUGACAUUUUAUUAUUAUUUUUUAUUUUUGAUAUUAAUUCAGAUAUUUAGUUUCUUUUUAUUAUUAUUUUUUAUUAUCUUAUUCUAUGUGUUUAUUCCUAUAAAUCUUGCUAAAUUAAACAAAGUACUAUAUAUCUUCUUUUUAUUCCUCUUUUAUAUACACAUAAAAUUUAUUAAAUUAUUUUUCUUUCAUCUGAUAAUUUUGUUUCUCUUCUAUUUAUAUUUCUUUCCUUCAAUAUUUUAUUGGUUCUUAUUUUUCUAAAUUUUACUUUCAUUUAUGUAUUUAUUCUUAUUACACCUAAUAUUUUUUAUUUAUGUGUAAUAUACAUUCUUAUAUAUGUUAUAGAAAUAUGAUUUAAUUCCAUUAACUUGCCAAAUUUUUUUGAAAAAUCUAAAGCUAAAGCACAAAAUAUAUUUAUAGAUAUUUUAUAUUUUUAACUAAAAAAUAUAAUAUUUUUUGCUAUAUUUGUUAAAAUUCUAAGUUAAAUACGAAUAUUAAUUUUUGAAAUAGAAUAAAUAUAUUUUAAAUUUUUUGCAUCUAAAAACAAUAUUCUAUCAAUGUUAGAAUUAUUUAGAUGGAUAAGUAAGAGUGAAUAUAGAAUUAUUUAGGAUGGAUAGAAUUAAGUACAUCUUUUUAUUGAAAAUACGAAUUUAAAAAUAUUAUAUUCAAUUCUCAAUGGUCAACCUCUCAUUAAAUCAUUGUAUGUUCAAAAGAUUUUUGAAGAAAUGAAAUAAUUUUAGGUAUAUAAUUUUUCGUAAAAAUGUAAUUAAUUCAAGAUAUUUAUUGUCGUUGAUUAGAAAAGUAAAGUGAAAUGACAAUUUAAUAUUUUUAUACUCUCAAAAUAUUAUUUAUUUAUUUCUUUUAGCAUUAUUUAUCAUCCAAUGAUCACAUUAAUAUAAUUUAAUUUAAUAAAAUUAUUUAUCAUCAUUUGAUUGAAUAAAAAUUCUAUUUUAUCUGAAAAUUUUAGGAUUUCUCAAUCUUAAGAUCAUCCAUGUUAAAUCAUUAAGAAAUAUAACUGAGAGCGCGAAAGCGUCCCUUCAUUCAAGAGUAUGAUUGAGAUCAGAGAGCUUGACUCUUGUGGUUCUUUGAUCUUCGUCAACCAAAAUCUUUUGUAUUCCUGAUAGGGCUGAAUCACAAGUUCGCUGUGGAAAAAGAGCUAUGGAGGCGAGUUUAAUGUGUUAGAAACCAAAAUGCUGAAGUCAUUAUUUAUAUUUGAAUGUGACACUCAUUAAACCCUAAAACUCAAAUAAAAUAGUAUCUAUGGUUUUAAUCUCAUUUAUCCAAAUCAAAAGUAAUAAUGACUUAUUUAAUUCAAUAUUUAUGACAAUAAAUGAGAUCACCAUUAUAUAAGUCAUUUAAUGUGAAAUUACUUUAUUUGUGAUUAUAAUUAAUAUAUGUAUUGUCCAUAAAUAUAUUAAGAAAUAAUAAUUUUCUAACCAUCUUCCACUUGGUCUAUACAUAUAUAUUUUCUUGAGAUAAUCACAUCUUAUAAAUUUUAUGCGCACAUCUAAAUGUUAUUUUCCUGAUUACUUUAAUAAUUUGGUUUGUCUCAUAUAUUAGUUAUGAAAUUACCGUAGCUUUAUCACAUUAGUGUCUCAACGAAACCACGAUGAUCGCCAUACUAAAAGACUCAACCACAUAGAUCAAAUUUGGAUUAGAAAAUUCAGAAAUUACAUGCAAAAAUGAUUUCUUGCAUGCCUAUUUUCAACUUGUCUAAUUUAAAUAAAAAUUCUAUUUUAUUCGGUGACAGACUCAGAUGAAACUACAAUGGCAAUGCCCAGGCUCAUAGCGACGGUGACUAAGUGAUGAGUUUGUAGAAGAAGAAGAGAAUAACUUAACAGACUCACAAAGAGAGAGAGAGGGGGGGCUAAUGAGGGUUAUAUUUAUCUGUUUCUUAUGUUUAUUUAUAUUUUUGUUUGUGAAUGCUUGGUUAUUUUACUUUCUUAAACGUUUCAAAAAAAAAUUUUACCCGUAAAAACGAUAACGCUCUAACAAGGCAACAUGCUCAUAUAUUAAAUAGUAGAUAAAGUUAAGAAAAGCAAGUUGGUGACACUCGACUUCUUAUAUGAUCAUGACAUACCAUAAGUUGGGUCAUUACAAAUCACAUAUCCUAAAAUCAAAUCAGAAAAGGGACUCGGCAGGAGAAAGGUGGCGACGGGCUCAACAGCGAUGGUAACGGGAUAAGUAGCGACGACGAUAUGAGCUAUGAAGGAAGAUGGGAGCUGUGAAGAGGGUAGGUGGCGAUGGGCUCAGCAACGACGAUGACAAGAGCUUUGAGGUUUUUUGUGAAGAAGCCGAGAAAAAGAAGACUCUGGGUGAGGAUGACUGGGUUUCUCUUGCAUGGCUAUAGAGUAUGAACUGAAGCUGUGAAUCACUGAAUCUGUGAUGUGAGGCAAAUUCUAAUACCUAAAAAGUGUUUAUAUGUAUAUAUUUGGAGUGGGUACACCCUAAACCUGACCAUGCCCUGUUUUGAGCAAAAUCUGUCCCGACUCGGGUCAAGUUAUUACCCUCCCCAACUGGUAUGGACGGGUCGGGUACCCACAUAUUCAGGUACUCCUGCCAAGUUUAACCACGCAUUGAUGCUCCAUUUAUUAAGUGUUUAUCGCUAGCCAAUGGAUUGCUACACACACAAGAUGAGAUUCUAACUCUUAAUAAUUGUUUAAGCAGACAGGUGAGAUGAUCACUUAACAAAUUCAAAUUGACUAAGACAAAUACUAAUUUUUUUAAUAUUUUAAUAUUAAAAAUCCUUAAAAUUUGAUUUCAAUUAUAAUUUUAUAAAAUAUUUAUAAUAAUAAUUACUAUAUAUAUUUUAUUUAAUUUUUUUUAAAAAAAUUAUAUAAUUUUAUGUAUUAUCCCGUAUAGUGUACGGAAACAUACUAUUUGUUCUUCAAAUAUAGAUUUAAGUCAUUUAAAAUAUAUCUAUUUAUAAAUAGUAACGGAUAUAACUGCCAUUUUAAAAAUGAUACAAAAAUAUAAUUAUUAUUUAAUUUUUUAUCACUCGAAUUAUUGCAGUUAUCUUUUUAUUUUAUACAUAACUUCCACCCGUAUUAUCACAGUUAUCUUUUUAUUUUACACAUAACUUUCACCUAUGUUGUCCUUUUCUUUAUCCCAUCAAAUAUAAGUAAUUUUCUCUUUUUAUCUUUCUUCCACUUAAUCUUAUUAGUUUUACGUGUACAAAAAAUAGUUUUAACAAUUUCCUGUAAUUAACAUGUAAUUUACUUAUUGUGUCAACAUUUACAUUUUUUUUCUAUCGUCUUCUAUUUUUUGGUCAUGUAAAUUCUAAUUUAUUAUUUUUUUCAUAUAUUUUAUGUUUUUUCUAAUCAUUAAUUUUUUAUAAAAAAAAUUUUAUUUAAUUUAUUUAUUUAUUUAAUUUGGAGUGUUGAGUAUAAAUAAGAUUAUGGAUACAAAAAUCUUCUCAACAUUAAAAUAAAACUAAUUUGAAGAGAAAGUAAAACUUUACGUCUGUUAUUUAAGGUCGAUUACAAGAUUAAAACUUCAGAAUAUAUUUAGUUUGAACCGUUGCAACUAUCUGAUCAACAAGCAGUUUGAGAAAAUAUAUUUGAAUUUGAAUAGCUAACCUUAAGUAUUGGGUAUGUUAUUUAUUGAAUUUUUUUCUUUUAAAGAAUAUGUGUGUAUUUAAGUAUUAUGUUUUAGUUUUGUGGUAGAUACAACAGCAAUCUCACACCAGAAUAUCAUGCUUCAUUUUGUAUCUAUAUUAAUUCAUCUAAAUUUAUUUGUGAAAUACCUUACAAAAAUUAUAUUUAAGUAAUUUUUUAUUUUAUAACUAUUUUAUAUUUUGGAAUUCAAAAUUUUGUAUUUUUAUUUUUAAUAUUUUAUUUUAGUUUUGUUAAUCAAAAAGUAUUUAUAUUAGUUUUAAUUUUUACUUUUUAGGAUAAAUAAAAAUGUUAUAUGACCAGCAAAAAUUAUCAUUUUUGGCACAUAACCAAGAAUAAUUUGUACCUAUAUUUACAGGAAUUUUUCACACAGGAACAUUAUAGUUUGCGCCUAUAUUUGUGUCACCCAGAAUAUAUAUUUUUUACUUCUAUUAGGGGUGUUUAUAUGUCGGAUGAAACCGAGUUUGUCCUGACUCAGACCCGCCUCAAAAUAUAUACUAGAUUUAUUUUUUAGACCCUAACCCGAUCCUAAACCUGAUGAAAUCUAAACAUUUUCGAGCCACAACUAUACCAAGUCCAAAUCGAGUGAAAACCGGGUCUUUAAAGCUUUAACAAUAAUUUAUAAAGAAACUUAUUUAUGAUGCACUUAUUUAUAAAGAAGAAACUUUGUUACCGAAAAGUUGAUAUCUAUAUUUGAAUUUGAAUUUGUCCAUAAAUUAUAAUUUGAUGCUUCUUUGAUCUAUUUUCUAAUUCAACAAGUGUGAUUAAAAAUAAAACAAUAAACUUAUAAUUAAUAUAACAUAAUAUUAAAAUUAAUUUAAAACAUAUAUAUUUUUUUAUUUCUCUUAUGGUGCACAUGAAUCAGGUGAAGAUAGGUUUCACCUUGACCUGGACCUGACCUGAAAUAAUAACUGGGUCUAUUUUUGAGACCCUUAUCCAAUCAUAGAUCCAGUAAAAUUAUACCAAAUUAGCCCCUAAAAUAUUUAAAAUCAGACUAGAUCUUCGAAUCGAACCGGGCCAUAUGCACCCCUAACUUCUAUCCUGUCCCGGAUACGCAGGAAAAGGUAAAUUGUAAAUUAUUUACACAUUUUGAUAAAUAUUAUAUUUAUUUAAUUUAAAUAAAAAAAUUCCAAUCCCAUGAUCAAAACUGAAAAUUUAAAUUUUAAAACACUAACAUUUUCUUUGUAGAUUAAACAAAUAAUAAUAAUCACAAAUUUUUAAUUCUCGAGUUAAUAUCCCAUUUGCUUCCUGCAAGUUAUCGAGCUUCAUUUCCAGCAUCCCUUUGUUGUUGUGCGCAUCGACAUACUCCAUAAUAAUGGGUCAAGAAUUUUCGCAAGAAGUUAAUAGUGAACAUAUAUCAUAUAACCCGUAUAAGCAGGACGAAGUAAAACAGGAAGAAGUUGACGGGGAGUAUAUGGAUGAGGACGGCAUCUUGUGCCGACUCGUGAAUGUGACAAAUAGUGUCAAAGCCAACUCCAGGAGUUGCAAAAGGUGUUCGUUAAAAUCGGCUAAUGAAAAAAAAAGUUAAGGGACUGUAAAUACUAAAAUCGUGUGAAGCUUCGGUUGAUAUGGUAGUCACUGAUUUAUACUUGCUAAUUUUGACUUGUAAAUGAUAUAAAUUUUUUAAGAGUAUCAUUUCCUCUUACUCAUCUUAUUUUAUUAAAAUAAUUAUUCUUUUAUCUCUUUAUUCUUAUGUUAUUUCAAGGCUUAAUAAAUUAAACCUAAAUAUGAUUUAUAAAAAAAUUGUCACCAUUAUAUAAGUUUUUAAAACUGAAUUGCACACUGAUUUAAAGUGAACCAUCAAGCAUAUAAAUAUAUUUUGUCUAUUUUUUUAAGUAACUGAUUAUAUAUUGAAAAUUGCUCAACAUAUUUGUCCUAAGGUGCACCCUUAUUUUCUCAAAAUUAUCACUCUUAUACCGUUGGGAUCAACUUCUUGGAUCUUAGUUUUAGUUUUAAAAAGCGGUAUUAUAUCACAUCUCUAGAAUAAUGAACUAUUUUAAUAUAGUUAAUCUUUCUUUUUUAUUAGAUAAUACGAACAAAGUUCAAUACAUGUAAUUAUAUAAAGGGACAAAGUAUAACAUCAAUCAUAAAACAAAGUCACACAAUUAUUGCACCAGAAUAUUACUCCGAUUUUUGAGAACCAAUAUACACCUUCUUCUACUACUUCAAUGCCUAGAACAUUUCCUAAUCACUUCCAAUUUUAAGCAACCAACAUAGUAAAAAUCAUUCUGUGCCAGUUAACUUCAAGUUCAUAAAGCAAUUAUGAGUAAAUUUAUUUUCCAAGACCAUUUUACUUGAAUACUCUAGAGUUUUAUAUUUAAAAUACAAUUAUCUGUUGUUGGUUCAAUAAUCACUACUCUUGCUUUCAUCUUGCACUUGUAAAGAUGCAUUGAUGCAAAACUUCUUUCCUGUAAACAAAAGAACAAACAAAGAUGAAGUCCAAUGCAGUGAACUAAUAUUUAGCUCAUUCACCGGAUAAAUGGAUUCAAAAUAAGAGAGCACUAAUGGAUAAAUAAAUUUUGUUAUAUAAUUUAGAUUGUGAGACUCUUCUUAAUACACCGGUGAAUCACUUCUUUUGCUCCAAUACUUCAAAACUAAAAAUUCCUAAAAAUCACAGCAUGUCACAAAUUAAACACAAAAAGGAAAUAAUGAUGAAAUAAAUCAGAGGUACAAGUUCAGAAAUGCAAACAAGAAACAUAGUGCUACUCGAUACUUUCCUACAAUUAGAGAAUAUAUGAACUGCAACCUAGCUGCUUCAUGCAUUUCAUCAUAAUAGACACAAGUUUAUAACAAGUAACACCAACUUACACCAUCUUAAAGGUAAAAUAUUAACAUCAUUCUCGUUUUACUAACAUUUAAAUUUUGACAAAUUUUACAAGCAACUUAGGACUCUUGCUACAAUUCACACCUUGUUUUCAAGAUUUAUUUCAAAUCAGUAUUACCAAACACUUUCGAAACUUUAAACGCCAGUUAAAAUGUUGCAUGAUAAAUUUCAUGUUCCGGAUAUAAGGGUGGAUGUUUCACUGGCCAAGUGAAAACCGUGAAAUGCAUUCUUCAUAAAUUCUUACCAUCUUAUGUCAUUGUCAGCUAAAGAGACAAUUUUGAACAAUUCAUCAAUCUUUACUGGUCAGAAACAUUUGUUCAUGAAUACUCAAAAGUUAUUGCAAAAAUCCAUUGAAAUAUUCCACUUUGGCUACAGUUGACUGGACAAGCAUUGUCUAUUUACAUAGAUCUUUACAUAGAUCAUUACAUAAUAGAGAUACUGAGUUAGGUACAAGUUAUACCUGCAUCGAGUCUCAAAUUUAUCGUGAAAUCUUACCAGAACAAGAGCAUCCAAAUUCACAUAAUUUUCAUAGAAAAGACAAUAAAAUAAAAUAAAAUAAAAAUAAAACCUUCCAGGAGUAGUUCGUAGGGGCAGAGGUGCGGGAGAAGGACCGAGAUCGGAGUUAGUAGUGAGGAAGAAGAACAAAGCGGCAAUGUGUAAAAAGGGAAGGGAGAAGGAGGAAGCGUAAAAGGAAAUUGUCUCAUAUGGAGAAAGGGUGAAGAAUGAAUGAUGAACCUUGGCAGAGGCAACUGAUUCAUCUCUUUGAAAUUUUGAUUAAAAGAGGAGAAUGUGUAAAAAGUAAAAAACAGAGGCAAAUUUUAAUUAUUGAUUUUUUCAAAAACAAAAAAAACGGGGUUCUACUUAUAAAUAUUUUUAUGGUGGUUAAAAUGAUACUCCCACAUAAAAGUGGGGAGUAAGGAAUCCGUGGCCAGAUUUUCAUUCUUCUUCUCUUGAGGGGGUGUGGGUUCAACGCUGCAAAAAAAACUAUCAUCACCAAUCAAAACCAGUAAAAUAAAUAAAUAAACACAACAAAACAGUGGCGGUAAAGAACACAGAAAAAAGCUUUACUUGAAAUCAAAGAGAGCUAGCAGUUAAAAUCUCAUCUUUACCCAUACGCUGUCAGAUACAAAGAAACAGAGAGAGAUGGCGACUGCUAUAGCUAUAGCACAUUUUUGUCCAAAAACAGGCUUAACUCUUUCUUGUCACAAAAGAAAUCCUUUCCUCUCUCAUCACCUUCAUUUUUCUUCUGCUUCCCUCUCCCAUGCUGUGUUCUCCAGAGGUAAGUACUGUAUGUAGUGUAAACUCAUAAAGCUUACAACUAUUUGCUGAUUAACCAUCACCAAUAGUUGACUCUGUUUCUCAACUUUCUCUGAAUCAAAAUCACUCAUUUGUUAUUUCAGGCUAUUUGUCAACUAGAUGUUUAGAAGGCCAAAAAUUCACCCCAUUAUUUGUAAGGCCAAAAGAUAUGCUCCAAACAACCACAAAGAGAAAGGUACAAACUAUUUCUAUUCCAACAAAUCAAAUCCAAAGUUUUAUUCGAAACUUUAUCAGUGAUUUUCUAAUAAAAGGAAUAAACUUCAAUAUUAUUGUUGGGCAGAGAUUGAGUAGAAAGAGGGGAGGUGAACCUGACAAGAAGACACACAGGAGAAGGAUGGGGUCCAAGAAGAAGCUGCUUUUCAAGAUCAUCAGGUUUGUCUCAACAGCUGGGACUAGAUUCUUCUAUGCCAAGAAAAAGAGCAGGAAGAUUGACCUCAAGAAAUAUGAUCUAAAGCUAAAGCACCAUGUCCUAUUCACAGAAGCCAGUUGAUAUGUAACAUGGCACUUUCGUCUUUGAUAUUUCCCUGCUUUGGUUUUCAUGCAAGAAUUGUAUGACUAAGCUGUAAAUAUACAAAUUUCCAUUUUUUAUCACAUGUGUGUAGUUCUGGUGAUACUGAAGCUGCAAAACUGAGCUGAGAAAUUGUAGAAAUCAUUCCCAAUUACCAGAUCUCUUCAAUCAGACUAAAUUGUAAAUAAUUUUAAUUCAAGGCCUCAAAAACUAAAUGCCUUCACUGUCAAAACAUUUACUUACUAAAAACACAAAGAAUCAAGAAAAACAAACAGAGGCCAAAGUCAACCAACAUAAUACACGCAUCAAUUUUAUAAGAAACUUCCAUUUCAAACUCUAUCACUCUUCAAAUCCUCCAUUCCUUUCUUCAGCGGUACAUUUUCUCAUUUUCCAAGCACUGUUUGAUUGAGACUAAGUUGAGAUAGUUCCUCCUAUUGCUUCCACCGGCUGAAUUCUCUUUUUUAAACAUUAGUAGAAAAUCUGCCGAGGUGCUUAAUUGGAUGAGAAAAUGUAAGCUUAUCCAACUAACACAGCUAUCAUAAACAGAUAAGGGAGCAAAAUAACCCCAGCCUUCUAAUUUCUGGACCCUCUAAUUAACAUAAAAUCUCGAAUCAUAAAAUUUGGUGUCGGGUUAUCUCCUUUCCUUGCUUCUUGACAGUCUAAAGAGUUUGGCAAGAUAUCUCAAUGUUCGAAAAUUCAACCAAAUCAACAUCCUAUGCGUCUAAGUGUAUUAGCACUCAAUGGCCUUCAAAGAUAUAUUACUGUUGGCAAUUUUCGACUUAGAGAACCCGAACCAAUGGCAAUGAAGUUAUUGGAAGAAUUGGAUCACUAGAUAACUCCAAUACCAUCAUCCUUUUUGUUUUUCUGUUCUUUCUUUUGACUGAAUGUUCAUGGAACUCAAUAGUUUCUCAGUUCUUGGCUCAGGCUCCAUUCCCUUAGACACCAUCUCCCUAAAAUAGCGCAAGGCAUCCUUCGUCCUCCCACUUUUGAGGUGCCCAUGAAUCAGGAUUGUAUAAGAUCGCCUAUCUAGUCCCCAUCCAUUCCUUUCCAUCUCUUCCCAUGUUCUUCUCACCCCAUCCUGGUCAUCCCAUUCCAUGUACAACCUCAAAACCAAGUUGUAAACAUCAUCAUUCAUGCUACACCCAUUUCUCUCCAUCCUCUCCAAAAUCACAGGAACUUCCUUCGGCUCCUUCAAGGAACCCAGCAAGUAGCUAUAAGUAACAGCAUUAGGCAAACAAUUCCCCUCCCUCCUUUCCAUAUCACUCACUAGCUCAUAUACCUUCUGCAUUCGCCGAAUCUUACACAUGUGUUUGAUCAAGGAGUUGUAAGUAGCCACAUUAGGUUCAACACCCCUUUCGCUCAUGCACUUGAAAACUUCCAAUGCCUCAGGAACCCUCUUUUUGAAACAAAGAGCAUCAACAAUACAGUUGCAUAUCACAACAUCGGGCUUGCAACCUUUAUCCCACAUGCCAUGGAACAACCUCAGUGCAGUGCCAAGCUUCCCCUUCUUGGUCAUUGCCUUGAUAAAUGUUGCAUAAGUGAAAAGAUCUGGCUUGCACUUAGAUGCCAAUAUGUCUUUCCACAACCUCUUUGCCUCAUGUGUGUUCCCUAAGAUGCACCAACCAUGGAGGAUCACGUUCCAGGACUUUAUAUCAGGUGGAAGCUCAUUCACCUUGCUGCGAAACAAAGUUUCUGCAUCUUCUACAUGCUUGUACCUGCACAACCACAUCAAGAGGGUCCUAAAUGCUUUAGAAUCAAUCUCCAAUCCAAACUCUUUCCUCCUAUAGAAUAUUCCAACAGCUUCCUCCACCUUAUGUGCACCCACAUACCUGUAAUCGGAGAACACCCAAAAUUAACCAUUCACAUAUUUACAUGACACCUAGUUAAUUGACUUAAUGCUCAUAAAAUGUACCAAAGUGAUAUUAAAGAAUUCAGAAAAGCUAAUAGGAAUCAUUGAGAUCACAUAUCACAUAAGAAAAUCAAACAUCGAAAGCUCUAUAAUAGAACAUUUAAUCUACCUACGAAUCAAUGUGGAAAAAACCAACUCAUUCAUGACACCCUGUCUAUGGGACAUUUCAUCGAGCACCUGGUAGAGCUCCUCAAACCGCUUCAUCUUCCCGAGAAUAUCCACAAUCUCAUUGAAAACGACGGAACUUGGCACAUACCCAUUUCGCUCGGGACUCGCUUUACAAGCCCAAUUAAAGAACACGAGGGCGGGCCUCCAAUCAGAAUGAUGCCGUUUAAGCACUUCGAAGACGAGUUUGUCGCUAAGCUGGAACCCACAUAGGUCGAGUGCUCGCUCCACUUCGAUGGCGGGCUUGUCCCUCCGGAACUUGAGGAGAUUCUGAAGAUAAACGAUUGGCGGUGGUGGUGAUGGUGGUUUCCAGUGGGGUGGGUCCGAAAGGGAAUGCAGGAAGCAUGUGGUUGGAGUUCGAAGGAGAGUGGCUGUGGCAGGGUAGAAUAGGAUUUUGAGUUCCCACCGGCAGAGUUGCCAGAACAUGUACGGCAUCAGCGGAAUUGAAUUGAUGGUGAGGUCUAUUAUGCGAAAGGAGCUUCUAAAUCUGGUCAUAAUUAAAUAAAAAUAUAAAAUUAUAAAAAUAAACUUAAAAUGAAAAGUUAAAAUGCACAUCUUCACAAACAUGUUAAUAACAAUCAAGUAUCAAUUCUUAGACAUAAUUAAUGAUGCAAAAAGAGAUAAUAAACUAGUCACCAGUACAAAAUACUUUCUCAAUUUAAAUGAACAAAAGAGAGCAAUAGAUAACACAAUCGCUAAGUUAAUGAUUAACAAAUUCAUUAAAAACGAAAUUCAAAUCUAUUCUUACAGCAACAAAUUCACCUCCUUGAUAAUUUCCAACAACAAAUUCAACUAUGAUAAUUUUCAGCAACAAAAAAAUUUAGCUAAGUGAUUAUUUCAGCAAGAUAGCAACAAAUUCAAGGUUUAGUGAUGAUAAUCAACAGCAAAUUCAACUUAGUGAUGAUUUUCAGCAACAAAAAAUAUUUAUACCAAGUGAUUAUUCACAAGACAGCAACAAAUUCAAGGUUCAAUCAGUAACAAAAAUUCAACUCAGUGAUGAUUUUCAGCAACAAAAAAAUUUAAUUAAGGGAUUACAUAUAUAGUGAAAAGAAAAAAAAAUUAAUACUCCAUCUUGAAAAUGGCCUAACUAAAAAUAGAGAGUACAAAAACACCUCGUUCAAAGAUAAGACUUCAGAAACCAUUUAGGCUAUAAUGAUAUAUACUACAAAGUGAAAUUACGCCAACAGACAUGUUCAAAAUGAUCCAGCAUUUAUAUAAAUUUAUUACAAAUAAAUCUAUAAGGAAUCUAAAGAAAGAUAACAAAUUUGUACAAGAAGAUCCUUACUAAACUGAAUGUCCGAGAAUUAACAAGUAAAUGAUCCCAAAACUACACCCAAGAUGAACUAUCAACACCUAAUGCAGCAUAAAAUCACAAUCCAGUUCAAAACAGAUCCAAUUACAAGAAAUACACACUUCAAACUGGUAACCAACAAUUCUACACCAAAAAUCCAAACGAAUAGUUUGAACUUAAUAGGAUCGGAUCAGAUCUAAUGAUCUCAAAUCAAACUACAGACAAAACAAAUACAAAGUUUUGACUCAAAACCAGAAUUUAUAAUCGGGAAAAUACUAUCAAAGAAAAUAUAUGGAAGCAACAAACAGCAUUUGAUUUGAUUUCCAUUUUAGCAUUCAGCAACAAACAUUACAAAACAGCAACAAGUAAUCCCUAAUCACACUAAACCCGAAAUCAAUAGAGCUAACAGAGCAUAAUCCCUAAUUACAAAACAGCAACAGCAACAAGUAAUCCCUAAUCCAUUUUUGGCAGCAGCAAGAAAAUUUCAACAAAAAUUUCAGAAAUUAAAAAAGAGCAGCAGAAAAAAUCAAUUAUUUGAUUUCUAUUAAUCCAUUCACAAUUUCACAUUCAAAAAUCAGCAAACAGAGCAUAAAAGGAAGAGAAGAACCGAAGAAGUGAAAGCAGUGCCACUAACCUUCGACGGAGACACGGACGGCGACUGGCGAAAUGGCGGCGAGCUGCUCCGAGCCUCGAACAGAGAAGCCAGGGAGGACGGGGACAGGGGGAAGGAGGACGCCGAGCUACAAGAGAGGGCCUGGGCUACAAGAGAGGACGCGGAUGCGCCGACAGCACGGACGACGGCGGCACUGCGGCAGAACCAUUUCAGAGAGAACCUAGGGUUUUGGUUGGGUGAUUUUGAACUUUGCUUCAGAGUUCAGGGGAUAGUGGUUCACG